rnacentral:lncRNA from 1 species
UCUUUAAGGUACAUGCCAGUAGGGAUUGGGAGAUUAACGGGUCUUAGGACCUUGGGUGAGUUCCACGUGAGUGCAGGAGGAGGUGUUGAUGGUAGGAAAGCAUGUAGGCUUGAAUCUCUUAAAAACUUGGAACACCUUCAAGUAUGUGGUAUAUGUAGACUGGGUGAUGUAUCAGAUGUGGGCGAGGCUAAGCGAUUAGAACUUGACAAAAAGAAAUACCUCUUCAGUUUGACCCUUGAGUUUGAUAAGACGUAAAGAGGAGGAGAAAGGAGGAAGAACGAGGACGAUCAACUUCUUCUUGAAGCCUUGCGACCACCCCUGGAUUUAAAGGAAUUAGAGAUACGGUACUACCGAGGCAACACUGUUUUCUUCCAUGUUGGAAUUGGAGGAGUGGGAUUAUGGGAUUACAAGAACGGGAAACACCGUCAUCAACAUCAUGCCACGUCUUUCUUCCUUGGAAAUUGUUGCCUGCCCCAACUUAAAGGCGCUGCCCGACCACAUUCAUCAAACGACAACAUUGAAGGAAUUGCGCAUUGUGCAUUGUGGGCUUCUGGAAGAACGUUACCGCACGGGGGAAGGAGAAGAGUGGCCUAAGAUAUCACACAUUCCCAGCAUAGAUAUUGAUUAAGAAGGAGAAGAGUGACCUAAGAUAUCUCACAUUCCCAACCUUGAGAUUUGGCCUUGACAAGUAAUUCCUUCUCUCACUCUGAUUUGCUUUGUUGUUCUUUUUAAUCUAAUCAAGAAGCAUAAAUAGCAUUUUGAAUUAAACUCUAUAUCAGAAAUCUGCAAUACAUAUUUACUAAUAUUCUGAUUUUCAUAUCUUAUGAAUGUACGAUUCUAAUUUGCGAUAUUUAACGUUGCUGUAAAAUAUUAUUAAUGCAAUAUGAGAAAUUCUUUUGCAGGACAAGUGACCUACGUUUAGUUUGGCUUUGGAGUUGAGUAAUAACCUUUCGAGGUCGCCACUAUAAAAACGCGAAGCUCCAUUUGCCACAGAUUACAUGUAUUGCCAUCAUUGACAAUUUUCUGGAUAAGUGAUGAAGGGUGAGAAUGGUGCUAGAAUAUUGAAUAAAGCUGUCGUGACUGAACUUACGUUGAUGUCAAAAGGGGUAAAUUAUUGGCAUGCCUAGCUAAUUUGACCAAUACCUGAUUCAUAAGCCUACAUCAAUUUUGAUUUUGAGUUGAGUGAUUAAUUUUGAAGGUUUGCUUACUUAACUGGUAACCAAUUUCUUUUAACUAAAUGUAUCAUAUGAUGCAGGAAGCAGGGCAGGAUAUGAAAUGAGAAGCUUAUUAGUGGAAGGAUUAUCAGAAACAGAACCCAAAGAAAAUGAAAACAUUUCAAGGCAGCAGUUGGCAGUUGGCCGUGAAUGGAGCCCCUUGAAAAAAUUCCCAACCCAUUGCACUGCAAUUACGAUCGUGAGUAUGAUUGCACUGCAAUUUCGAAGCUUCUUCUCCUGCAUUUUUGUUAUUUGCUAUCAUCCUCUGCUUCAGGUGAUUUCUUCUCCUGCUCUGUCGUUGUUUGUAUCUCAAUCAAAUUCUAUAACUGGAAUAUGCAAAAGUUUCGAAUUUUUAUUUCUAUCUGCUUGCAUUGAUAACAUCGCGGCAUAUGCACUAGUUAAAGAUCAAACAGAAACAGAGCUCAGGAAAAAGUUUCUUCUGCCAUCAUAUUUGAAAAUUCAUGUAAAAUGUAGACAGUAAUCAGCAAAAAGGUGAUUCGCAAUUUGAUUUUUUUUAUGAAAUUAAUUGUUAGGUUGGAGUUGCCAAUUAACAAUUUUAACCCCCUUUGACUUUGAAGGAAUUAGAGAUAUGGUCAUACAGAGGCAACACUGUUUCUGCAAGUAGUCCUCUCUUUUCUUUUUAUUAUAUUUUAUUUAGUUAUUAUUUAUUAUUUAUUUUUUGGUUUACUCUGCUUCUUCUUUUUACGUUUCUCAAAUUUUGAAUUUCAUUGCUUUUGAACAUACGACAGUCUGUUAUGUGGCGACCCUGGUUCUUAAUUAAGGUUGUGAAAUAUUAUUGUAAAAGAUGAUUUAUUCAAUUUGAGUAAUUCGUUUGCUUUGAUAAUGAUAGUAAUUUUUUAUUUUGACAAUUUGCAAGGUGAGAAUGGUGCUGAUUGGUGAUUCAGGAUAUGGUUCAAACACCAUUGAAUAAAGCUAUGGACAUGGUGGCUCAACUUAGCUAGAUUGCUAUCAAAAUUGGUAAGUUGGCUUGUCAAUGUACCGAUGCUUUUGUUUUCUCUCAACCCUAAUUACCUUAACUUCAUUUAGUUUGGCUUUGGAGUUGAGUAAUAACUUAUUGUUCAAAUGUUAUUUCCUUAUUGUUCUAAUUCAUCAAAUGUUAUUUCCUUGUUGUUCCAUUGAUAUAUUGGUUGCAUAUCAAGCAGAAACAGAAUCCAAAGAAAAUGAAACCAUUUCCAGGCAGCAGUUGGCAGUGAAUUCAUGCAAAUGUUGAUGCCAUUCAUAGAUGUUGAAGACAAUGUUGAGCCAAAGGCGAUAAAUCAUUAAUGCAUAAUUCCCAAAACCUCUAUCCUUCUCUCAUUGUAAUUUGAUUUGAAAUGAAUAAUUGCUAGGUAAUUGAAGCCAAUGUUGUUAAAGACCGUGUUGAGCUACCCAAGCUAAGAAGUUAGUUGCCAAAAAAUGCAGGGGAUCAAAAGAAGCAUUGCAUUUGAAAAGGCAUGAGAUUCUGGUGGCUACAUGUCAACUCAUAUAUGUUUGAAUAAGUUUGAUGGUUCAAGAUUGUUAGCUUCUGUUUAAAUUUGUGCUACUGCAGUGCUACAAUGCUGCUACUGGGAAAUUUGAAUCCCAUAUUAGACUUUCCUCACAUCAGAAGCUGUGGAUCUUCGGACAUCAGGUUUUUUCACAGUUCUGAAACACUCAGGAUUAAACUCUAUUAAAGUGUUGUAGUUAUCUUGUUGUCAGAAUUCCCAUAUUAUUAUCUUUUUCAUGUAAAAUUAUCUUGUUGUCUUCGCCCAUGAAUCUAAGCUAAAAUUUGAACCAAUUGUUUGCUAUUAUAAAUUUCGUUGUUAAAUGUUAAUUGUGAUGUUGGUGUUGAGUUUCUUUUAAAGUCAGAGAAGCCUGACGAUUGAGUUCCAUGGGAUUCUGAGAAGCAGUAAUAUUUUGAACAAGUGAAGGUUCUUCGUUUUUAAUUACGUUCUGCACUUUUACAGUAUGUGCAGAUGUCUAAGAGGCAGGAUUUUAAUUUCUGUAAUGCUAAAUUUCGCAAAACAAUAAAUAAAUAAAUGCAUGACAGUGACUUCAAGAAUUUAGAUUAUUGAAUUUGGUCAUUUUAAAAUUGUUGGAAUAUUGAACUUAAGUAAUUUUGAUAAACCAGAGCUCAGAAAUGUAGAAUAUAAAUAUUGGAGAUUUGGACUUCAAUCAUUAGAUUUGAAGCUAAAGAGGUAAGCCAUUAAUUACAUCAAAGGAUUUGGAAAAUGGAGGGAUUGGAAAAAGGAAACUUUUUCAUAAACUACAAGCAUUGGGCAGUUUCAUUUGUCCGAUUCAAGAGGAACGUCACAGAAAGGGGUAAAGAAAAGAGUAGCCUAAGAUAUUUAAGACAAUGUUGAGCCAAAGGAAACAUAAAUCCCAACCAUUGCAUGCGAACAUGAUCACAAUAAGGUCAAGAACCUACCAAACCAUUUUUUUGAGAAUUUUCAAUUGAAAGUGAAACCUUUGGACAUUUACCUAGUAAAGUUAGUUAAACGAGAGAAAUAAAGGGGAAAAGAAAAGUUGACUCAAGUCAAUACAGAAUAAUUAGUUCAAUCUGGAGUAACUAAAACAGAGCCACUAUAUUUUCAAAAAUAUCUGCAUUCAUCACCUUCUCCUACAGCUAGUGAGCUAAACACGAAUCAUUUCCUUUUAGCAUUUUUGCAGCAUCAACUUCUCUCCUCGUUUGUCAUCCAAAAUUAUUCACCAAUACCAUGGCUGAUGCAAUCGUUUCCCUUCUCUUGGAGCAGCUGAUUAUCUUUGCUGCUGAAGAGUCGAAACAACAGGGGAAGCUGGUGAGUGUUGGAUGAGUGGAUCACAGCAUGCGCCAAAUCGCAAAUUGAUCAAUGCUCUUGUUGCUCCUUAUCUGAAGAAGAAGGUGCAAAUUGAGAGCUGCAUUGCACUGUCAUAACAUUUAUUGUAAUUUCAUUUGGAGAUUUUAUGGAUAAUGAUUUGGUAGACUUUAUAUGCCGUCUUCUUUCUUUUUGCAGUGAUAUGUUUGUAUUCAAUGUGCUUGUGCUUAUUCUGUGGUUUUUAAAGUAGGUGUUUUUAUGAUAAACUAGGUCUUGUGUAUUGUAUGUACUAUCUAGAGAAGAAUAUUGACUGGUUGCAGUCGAAAUUGGAACCACUUUUGAAAGGUAAGAAGAGGCCAUUUUCCUUCAUUCUAAUGCCAAUAAUGCUGUCAUGAGACUCAUAAAAAAUGUUAAAACAUUAAUGUUUUUGGUAUUUUGCAGAUCAUUAUCUUCUGUUUGAUUUUCCUGGCCAAGUUGAAUUAUUUUUUCUUCAUUCCAAUGCCAAGAAUGUUAUCAUGAGACUCAUAAAGAAGUUAAAUCUCAGGGUAUUGUUACAUCUUGCAUCUAUGAAGGGACUCAAAGAGUUGACAUGAAUUCAUCUUUGUUAUUUUGAUGCCAGAAUUGUGCAAUUCUCAGUUGGUUCCUUUCACAUGCAGUUGACUGCAGUGCAUCUAGUUGAUGCGCAUCUUUGCAGUGACACUGGAAAGUAUGUUAGUGCUUUGCUUCUCUCGUUGUCUACGAUGCUACAUCUGGAACUUCCCCACGUCAAUGUCUUGUCUAAGAUCGACUUGAUUGAGAAUUAUGGAAAGCUAGGUGUGGUUUUAAGUGUCUCCCUCCUACUUGUUUGUUUAGUUUGAAAUAUCAGAUAUUAUCACGAGCUCCUAUCUGCUACGUUUCCUCACCAAUCAAUUACUUUGGGUAUGUUGCAGCUUUUAAUCUCGAGUACUAUACGGAUGUGCAAGAUUUGUCAUAUUUACAGCAUGCUCUGGGUCAGGACCCUCGUUCUGCUAAGUACAGGUUUGAAUUCUAGCUGAAUCAAUGAUGCAAAUUAUGUCCAUUGCUAUUUUUGACUGUCGUUUCUAUCAUUUUCAAUUGUUACCUCCCCUUGCCAUCUACUGCCACACUGCAAUGCCUACACAAAUGUUAUGAAAUUUGUCAAUGGCAAUGCCAUCCUGUUUGUCCAGAGACAGCUCUUAGAUGCAAGUGAACAAUUUUUGGCUUUGGCCGUUGUACAGCCUUAGAUUUCAACUUGCCAUAUCUUGUCUCGGAAGUCAAAAGAAAGCGUAUAUGUUAGCCAAAUUUUAUUUGAAUUUAUUGAGUAACAAUGAAUGGUUCGGAAAAACAGUUCCUCUUUUGUUUUGAUCAGACUCAAUGAAUAAGUGUUUAAAAUGUGCCUGUCCUAGAAAUAUAGAUGUGUGGUUUCGCAAAAUUUUCUUGAUCUUAAGAAAGAGUUAUCUUGAAAAGAAGAUAACAUGGAGAAUUCAGCAACUAUACAGUCAUAUUGCGUCUGUCAACUUGGGUCAGAUGGUGUCGUUUGGAUGGAGAUGUUAGGUCCCAGAUGGUAUGCUUGUUAUCAAAUUCCAGUCUAAUUCAUUCAUGCUUUGAUGACAUAUGCGGUGCAGCUUCUUAUCUAAGACCUGCAUAUGUUCAGUCAUCAUUCAGUUCUGUAUUUGGCUGUCAUUCUUUCAAUGAAUUCAAACCACUUUCUGAAUACUUGCAAAUUCAUCCAGUGUUGUCAUUGAGAUUCCAAUAUGUAAAGGAGCAAUAGUUGCCCUUGAUAGUAUGCUUAUUGAUUGCCUCUUGCCUCACUCAGCCUAAGGAGUCUGGUUGUAUGGUGUUCUUGUAAUUUCAUUUGGAGAUAAGUAAUAUCUGUUGUUCAAAUGUAUUUUAUAUACAAGCAGUUAAUAAUUCUGCUUGCAGAAAGCUUACAAAGGAGCUGUGUGAUGUAAUAGAAGACUACAGUCUGGUCAAUUUUUCAACCUUAGAUAUUCAGGUCAUCAGUUUCUCUUGAAUUCUUUCUUGAGUUUCUUUGAAUUAUUUGUGAAUAAGAUCUUAGUUGGCUGCUCCUCUUCAGGAUAAGGAAAGUUUGGCAAAACUCGUGAAGCUGAUAGAUAAAAGCAAUGGGUACAUCUUUGCUGGCAUGGAUGCCAGGGCAGUUGAAUUCAGCAAGAUUGCCGUUCGCGAUGUGGAUUGGGAUUAUUACAGGUAUCCUUCUUUUCACCUAUUUUCAAUCUUGUGAUUCUCAUAUUCAUAAAACUUUCAUGGUUCAUUGUAUGCAUCUGCAUCUUCUAAUUUGUACGUUUGAGAGACUAAUUUUGCUGUUAGGUAGGCGUCAAAUUUGAUUCAUGCGUUUUUCAUAAAUUUACCAAAAUCAUGGAAACUUCUUUUUCCCAGAUAUUGUAUCCACACUUUUCCCAUGUAAUUCAGUCAGACAAGUUCUGCUUAACAAAGAUAUCUACAGUAGCUGAAGUGCAGGAAAAGUACAUUAAGGAUGAUGACGAUGUUAACUAAAAUGGGACACGAAGAUAUGUGGUGUGCAAACCGUAAGCAUGCCUCUUACUUUUGUGCAUGUUUACUUGCUUGUGAUUCAUGUUUGUUAAUCUAUUAUGCUCUUUUGUUGGGUUUAUAAAGUUUUCAAUCAAUCAAACAUUUGACUGAUUCAGACAGGACAAGCGGGGAAGAGGUGGUUUUAAUCAAACCACUACUAAUUAUGAUGUAUCUCGGACCUUUGUACAAUAUCAAGCGAUUUUUUUAGUUGAAUCAGCUGGUGUACACAAAUGUCGUUUAUUGAUUUUUCUCUAGUAUAGUUCGUAAUUUUGGUAACACAUCUACUCUAGUAUCGUUUGUAAUUACAAGAAACAAAGUAAUGAAAUUUAUCACUGCAUUCAUAGUUAUGCUUAAGCUCAAAGAUCACUGUGAAUAUCAUUUUGGGGCCUCUAUUUGUUCUAUAACAUGAUGUUGACACGUGUCAAAUUUUGAAGCUUGUGAUUAAAAUACUAUUCACAUAUAUAUUUUAAGUACCACUAAUAAUUAAAUAUAUUAAUAAAUAUGGGCAAUGGGGAUAAAAUAAAAUGGUUUUAUUUUUUGAAUUACUCAACUGCUUCAAACUUCUAAGAAGUAGAUUUACGAUGAGUGGAAUCUUAAAUUGAGUACGAGUUAGGGAUAACUUAUAAAAUUGGGAUACAAGCUUCAAAGAAAGUGUAUUACUAUUCAUAUGUAGAUUUCGAAUUAAGAAGAUAUGCCAGCUAAUUGUAUAAGAAUGUAAAAAUUGAUCACAGGCAUAAUCGCAAAUGAUGAAAUGAGCUACCUUGAUCAAAAGGUCAAGAACCUACCUUACUUCUCUUAGGGAUAAGUUGCAUCAACCGUUGUGAUAUUGAUAUUUAUCUUGAGCCAGUAAAAGUGAAAGCUUCCCAAUUGAAGGAAAGUGAAGAGAAGAUUCUAUGCUCUAAUUAUUAUUAUUAUUAUUAUUUGUUAGAAUGAAGUGCGAAGUGAGCACAUCAUGCAAGCUCAGCAGAUGUGAUAAGGUGACUUGUAACUCAGCUGGCACAAGAGACAAAGUGUAGUGGAGAAAAGUUUCCCAAUUGAUGGAAAGUGAAGGGAAGAUUCUAUGCUCUAAUUAUUAUUAUUUGACAAUGAAUUGGCAAAUAAAAACAAAAUAGCAGGCCUGUAAAGUAAUGAAGUGGAGACAAUGACCAUGUGAUUGAUUGGUAAAUAAAAACAAAAGAGCAAGCCUGUAAAGUAAUAUAAAUUAUAGUGUAUAUUCAAGUUAAAGUAAUGGAAACAGUGUGCAUCCACAAAAAAUUCUUUUAUCUCUCGUUGUCUUAUUCUUUUCUUUAUUUACGUUUUCCAGAAGUAAAGCCAUACAUGUGAUGAAGCAUAGAUAAGAAAGCUAUCGCCCGAAAUUCAUUUUGCACAAACACUUCAAUAUCCUUUUGAUCACUUUUGCAAACAUCAAUUUGUCUCCUAUUGUAUUCACCAUGGCUGAUGCAAUCGUUUCCACUAUCUUGGAGCAGCUGAUUUCCUUCGCUGCUGAAGAGAUAAAACAACAGGUGAUCGAAGUUACACCCCUCCUAUUACAAAUACUUCCAAUGAUUUUAAUUGGUUUUGUUUUUAUCAAAAACAUUAUAUAUUUUUGCUUUAUUUUAUUUAUCUGAUAGUUUUAUAUUUUGAAAUUUGAAUUGAAAUCAUGAAAUUUGGAUAGGAUUCACUAGAAAUAUGUACAAGACUCUCCAUAAAGUUUCAUAAUUUUCAUUCGGUAUGGGGUGGUGCAGGUGAAACUUGUGGUUGGUGUUGAAGAAGAAGUGAAAAGCCUUACCAGCCACCUUGAAGCCAUUCAAGUUGUGCUCGAUGAUGCAGAGGAAAAGCAAGUGAAGGAAAAAGCUGUUAGUCUUUGGCUGGGUAGGCUCAAGUAUGCAUCCUACGACAUUGAAGAUGUGUUGGAUGAGUGGAUCACAGCAAGACGCAAAUUGCAAAUUGAGGAUGGCGUUGAUGAAAAUGCUCUUGUUGUUCCUCAUAAGAAAAAGAAGGUAUGUCUCUGCUUUCCCGGCUCUUGUUUUGGAUUCAAACAAGAAGAAUUUGGUUUCAAACAAGUCUUUUUCCGUCAUGACAUUGCCAACAAGAUCAAAGAAAUGAAUGAAGAGCUACAUGAUAUUGCCACUCAGAAAGACAUGUUUAAUCUUGUUAAGAGUGGCAAUAAAAGUAGUGAAAGACCAAGGCGUGUACAGAGUACCUCCUUGAUUGAUGAGGAAGAGAUUUGUGGUAGAGUUGGUGAGAAGAAUGAACUCUUAAGCAAGCUGUUGUGUGAGAGUAGCGAGCAACAAAAAGGCCUCCAUAUCAUCUCAAUUGUUGGUAUGGGAGGCAUAGGGAAAACUACUCUUGCACAACUAGCUUGUAAUCAUGACGAGGUGAAGAGAAAGUUUGACAAAAUUCUGUGGGUGUGUGUAUCAGAAACUUUUGAGGAGUUUAGGGUAGCCAAAGCGAUCGUUGAAGCUUUGGAUGGUCGUGAAUCUCAUUUAGGUGAAUUCCAAUCUCUUCUUAAACAUAUUUAUGAAUCAAUUGCAGGGAAGAGCUUUCUUCUUGUCUUAGAUGACGUGUGGGAUGGAAAUUACUUGAAAUGGGAACCAUUCUACCGUUGUCUAAAGAAUGGUCUCCAUGGAAGUAAAAUUUUAGUUACUACACGUAAAGGGUCAGCCGCAUCCAUGAUGGGAUCCACAGAUAUUAUCUCCGUUAAGGAGUUAGCUGAAGAAGAAUGUUGGUUGUUGUUUAACAAGAUAGCAUUUUUUGAUCGGUCCAUCGAGGAACGUGAAAAAUUAGAACAAAUUGGGCAAAGAAUUGCAGGCAAGUGCAAAGGUUUACCUCUUGCAGCAAAGACAAUCGGGAGUCUCAUGCGUUCUAAACAAACUGAAGAAGAGUGGAAAAGAAUUUUAAAUAGUGAUUUAUGGAAAGUAGAAGAGAUUGAGAAAGAUGUUUUGUCCUCUUUAUUGUUGAGUUAUAAUGAUUUGCCAUCUAGAGUAAAAAGAUGUUUUUCAUAUUGUGCUGUCUUUCCAAAAGACUACGAUAUAAAAAAAGACAAACUAAUCACAUUAUGGAUGGCUCAAGGUUAUCUUAGUGUAGAACAAGACGAAGAGAUAGAGACAAUAGGUGAAGAGUAUUUUGGCAUCUUAGCUUCUCGCUCGUUUUUUCAAGAGUUUAAGAAAAGUUAUGAUAAUCGGAUUAUAGCGUGUAAGAUGCAUGAUAUGGUACAUGAUUUUGCCCGAUUUGUAAGUCAAAAUGAAUGUUUUUCGAUGGAAAUUAACGGUAGUGAGGAACCAAACGCCACAAACUCUCUUGAUGAGAAGGUCCGUCAUUUAAUGUUAAUCUUUAGUAAAGGGGCUUCAUUACCUGCUUCCACUCGUAGAGUUAAAAGAAUGCGUACCCUCUUAAUUAACUAUAGUAGAUCUGAAUCAUCUGAUCAUUCAUUAUUAAAUGGUGAGAUCCUAGAAGAAUUAUUUAGGGAAUUGAAAAGUUUAAGGGCAUUAGAUUUUGGCGGAUCGUACGACACACAUUUUUCUUUGACUCUGGAGAUUCCAAGAAACAUAGAAAAGCUGGUACAUUUAAGAUACCUUAAUUUGUCUCUUCAGAAAAUAGUGGAGCUACCGGAGACAUUAUGCGAGUUGUAUAAUCUAGAAAAGUUAGAUAUUAGUUAUUGUUAUAAGCUAGAAGAAUUACCUGAAGGGAUUGGGAAGUUAAUAAACAUGAAGCAUUUACUAAAUAAAAAUACUAGUUCUUUAACGUACAUGCCAGUAGGGAUUGGGAGAUUAACGGGUCUUAGGACCUUGGGUGAGUUCCACGUGAGUGCAGGAGGAGGUGUUGAUGGUAGGAAAGCAUGUAGGCUUGAAUCUCUUAAAAACUUGGAACGCCUUCAAGUAUGUGGUAUACGUAGACUGGGUGAUGUAUCAGAUGUGGGCGAGGCUAAGCGAUUAGAACUUGACAAAAAGAAAUACCUCUCUUGUUUGACCCUUGAGUUUGAUAAGAAGGAAAGAGGAGGAGAAAGGAGGAAGAACGAGGACGAUCAACUUCUUCUUGAAGCUCUACAACCACCUCUGGAUUUAAAGGAAUUAGAGAUAUGGUACUACCGAGGCAACACUGCUUUCCCUAGCUGGAUGACGUCAUUAACCAACUUAAAAAGUUUAGAUCUCUCUUUGUGCGAAAAUUGCGAGCAGCUGCCUCCUUUGGGAAAAUUGCAGUCCCUUGAAAAUCUCCACAUAUGGCGCAUGGCGAGUGUGAAGAGAGUGGGUGAUGAAUUUUUGGGGAUAGAAAGUGAUCAUCAUGACUCAUCUUCUUCUUCAUCAGUUAUUAUUGCCUUCCCCAAAUUGAAAUCACUUUCAAUUAACGAAAUGGAGGAAUUAGAGGAGUGGGAUUAUGGGAUUACAAGAACGGGAAACACCGUCAUCGACAUCAUGCCACGUCUUUCAUCCUUAACAAUAAUUCUUAGCCACAAAUUAAAGGCACUGCCCGACUACAUUCAUCAAACGACAACAUUGAAGGAAUUGCACAUUUUGGGGUGUGACCUUCUGGAAGAACGUUACCGCAAGGGGGAAGGAGAAGACUGGCCUAAGAUAUCUCACAUUCCCAACUUCGAGAUUUGGCGUUGACAAGUAAUUUCUUCUCUCACUCUGAUUUGAAUCAAACUCUAUAUCAGAAAUCUGCAAUACUUACUUUCUAAUAUUCUGAUUUUCAUAUCCUAUGAAUAUACGAUUUUUAAUUUGUGAGAUGGGUAACGUUACUGUAAAAGAUUAUUAAUGCAAUAUGAGUAAUUCUUUUGCAGAACAAGUGACCUACAUUUAGUUUGGCUUUGGAGUUGAAUAAUAACCUUUCAAGGUCCCGACAACCAAAAAACGAAGCUUAAUUUGCCACAGAUGGCACGUAUUGCCAUUAUUGACAAUUUUCUGCACAAGCUUAGGUUGAUGUCAAAACAGGUAAAUUACUGGCAUGCCUGACUAUUUUGACCAUUACAUGAUUCAUAAGUUUACAUUAAUUUUGAUUUUGAGUUGAGUGAUUAAUUUUCUAGGUUUGCUUACUUUAACUGGGUGACCAAUUUCUUGUAACUAAAUGUAUGAUGUGAUGCAGGAAGCAGGGCAGGGCAUGAAGAGAGAAGCUUAUUAGAGGAAGGAUUGCCAGUAACAGAAUCCAAAGAAAAAAGAAACCAUUUCGAGGCAGCAGUUGGCAGUUGGCAGUGAAUGGAGCCCCUUGAAAAAUUCCCCAAGCCGUUGCACUGCAAUUACGAUCAUCCUCGGCCUCAGGUAAUUUCUUCUCCUGCAUUUUUGUUAUUUGCUAUCAAGUGACUAUUUUAAGUAUGAUUGCAUUAAGCUGCUGCUGGGAAAUUUGAGGUUUUGAUGACUGCCCAUGCUAUUGUCAGAAGCUGCGGUUCUUUUCAUCAGCCUGAACCUGGACCUGCCGCUAUGGAUAACUCAGGUUUUUUUUUUUUAAUCAACAGCCAUCUUUUCCACUGUUUAGAAACUCUUAAGAUUAAACUUUAGUAAAGUUGUUUUAGUUAUCCAUGUAAUCAGGCUGAGGAUACUUAGCUGCCUAUUUAGGCAAAUGUUAGAAUUUAGUUUGUUUGCUGGGAACUGGUGUGGACUGGCAAAGGAUGAUGAGAUAGUUUUUUGAGUGAGUAAAUUUUGGGAGCUUGAGUGUAUUGGGAUUUGCAAUUACAAUCAUCGUCUGCCUCAGGUGAUUUCUUCUCCUGCUCUGUCAUUGUUUGUUCUCUAAUUCAAAAGCAUAAAAUAUUUCAAUCAAUUUUUAUGCCAGGAAUAUGCAAAAGUUUCUAAUAUUUUAUUUCCAUCUGUUACAAGAUCAAACUGAAGCAGAACUCAAACAAAAGUAUGCUACUUCUUGCGGAAAUCUUGCCUUUGUUCAGAUUAUGAAACCAUUUCCAGGCAGCAAAUUCAUCCAAAAGUUUGAAUAAGUUUCAUGGUUGGACACUGUUGCCUUCUUUUUCUUCUGGGGUGCAUUUAGGUGCUAUCAAGUGACAGCUGUAAGUAUGAUUGCACUAAGCUGCUGCUGGGAAAUUUGAGGUUUUGAUGGCUGCCCAUGUUAUUUUCAAGAAACUAUUGAUGUAAGAAGCUGUGGUUCUUUUCAUCAGCUUGAACCUGAAACUGUCGCUAUGGAUAACUCAGGUUUUUGUUAUCAACUAUAUCAUCUUUUUCACUAUUUUGAAACUCUUAAGAUUAAACUUUAGUAAAGUUGUUUCAGCUAUUCAAAUGAAAAACUCAUUGAUUUGAGACUGACUUCAUUAUUGUUUCUAAUUACAAUGCUAACGAUCCAGAUAAAAUAAUAUUUAAUCGGCGAAGGUGUCCCUUGGAAGUACAUCCUUCUUUUUCUUUUAUUAUAUAAAUUCUUGCAAUGAGCUUAGUGAAGCUGUUGUGCUAAUCAUGCCACUGCAUAAUUUGGCCCCUAAUGUGGGUACUCUGUUACAUUGUUCUGCAAAUUCUCCAGAAGUUAAAAUCAAUAAAUUUUCUAUUAGCUCUAGUGCUUUGACCUAAAUGCCAUUCUAUAUUUUGAUUACAAUGUUUUAACCUUUAAAUUAACUACCCCUAGAUGUUGGAUUUUCUAGAACUUCAAAAUGAUUAAUGGAGAAAGAUCCCAUUAUCGUUAUUGCUAUAAGAAAUUGAUUUAUGCAUCCAAAGAUACAUUAUAUAUUUCUGUGUCUCUAUUUGUAGAUGACAUUUAAGCAUCCAUAAACCGUCAGACAGAGGAAGGGGGUUCAGUGCAAAGAUUCUGUUGACCUAGGGUUGACUGCAUAAUGUCACUUGUUCGCAAUCUAUUAUUUAUUUUAUAUUUUGAAGAAUUUAAUGGGUAAUCCUAAUUGUUUGUUUUGGCAGGUAUGUGUUGUUAUCUCCUUCUAUCUAACAGUCGUACCUAAAUAGCAUAGUUUCAUCUGCGUUACCAUGUGAUGUACAUAAUUUCACAUUUGCCUCAGAUUAAGCUUAAUUUCCCACAGAAUAGAGCUGUCGCGACUGGACUUUUUGAUGUCCAAAGAGGUAAAUUAUUGGCAUGCCUAGAUAAUUUGGCCAUUUCCUAAUUCAUAAGUCUACAUUAAUUUUGAUUUUGAGUUGACUGAUUUCUUUUCAAGGUCUGCUUCCUUAACGGAGUGACCAAUGUUUUUCAACUAAAUUUAUCAUAUGAUGCAGGAAGCAGGGCAGGAUAUGAAAUGAGAAGCUCAUUGGUGGAAGUAUUGCCAGUAGCAGAACCCAAUGAAAAUGAAACUAUUUCAAGGCAGCAGUCGGCAGUUGCAAGUGAAUGGAGGCCCUUGACAAAAUUCUCAAGCGAUUGCAAUGCAAUUACGAUCAUCCUCAGCCUCAGGUAAUGUCUUUUAUUGGUACCCAACAAAAAUGCAAGGUCUGUGAGAAGACAGUUUGUCCAGUUGAGCAGUUAUCUACUGAUGGGGUUGUUUAUCACAAGUCUUGCUUCAAGUGCUCUCACUGCAAAGGCACACUCAAGCUAAGCAAUUACUCAUCCCUGGAAGGUGUUCUUUACUGUAAGCCUCACUUUGAGCAGCUUUUGAAGGAGUCGAGUAACUUCAACAAGAAUUUCCAAUUACCUGCAAAGUCAGCUGAGAAGUUAACUCCUGAGCUGAGAAGGUCGCCUAGCAAAGUUGCCAGCAUGUUCUCUGGGCCCAAUAAAAAUGUGCUUCUUGCAGUAAAACAGUGUGUCCGUGGGAGAAGGUAGCAGCGGAAAACCAAGCCUCUCACAAGACAUGUUUCAAGUGCUCACAUGGUGGUUAUUCCAUUAGCCCGUCAAAUUACGCAGCCCUAGAAGGCAUCUUGUAUUGCAAACAUAAUUUCUCCCAAUUGUUCAAGGAAAAAGGCAGCUACAACCACCUUAUAUCAAAUCUGCUUCCAUGAAGCGUGCUGCAGUCUCUGUUCAAGAAGCUUGAACAUGUUAUGUUAUCUUCCAUAAAUCUUAUUUGGCGUGGGUUUUCUCUGGCUUGAGGGUGUGCUGCUUUCUAUUUUGAUCCCUCUUGUUUUUUUUGCGGGGAACUACCAAACCUUCGGUUCCCUCUGCUUCUUUGGAUCAUCUUUGUUGGGACAAAUUUCAUGUAAUUAGAGAUACUGAUUUAUGGGAGGCAUAAUCCCAUGGUCGUAAAUUGACCAUUUUCUGGCAAUGUUCUUUUUAAAAAGAGAUGAGCAGUUGUUUAACAAAAAAAAUAUUCGGCCUUCAUCAUUGUAUGUUACCAAACUGCUAUGUAUAGCUGCUAACUAUGAGCAUCCGAAAAUAUGGUGCAUCGUGAUUCAUGUAGUGCAAUAUGGCUACCAACGCAUCCUAAAUGGAGUAUUACUCAGUUAGUCAGCAAAAUAAGACAACAUAACAGAUAUUAAAAAAAAAACUACAUUAAUAAGUGGGCAAGAUCAUGCCAGUUUAACUUUUCGCGCGUCGCUGCUGGAGAUAAUCAAAUCGGGGCAGAGAAAAGGAGAAUGGAAUCAGAGGCUAAGAUUAAUAAGUGGGCUUCUGCUUGCUUUGCGCCUCUUUCUUAAACGAUUGGUAGACUGCUGCUUCCACCGAUUAACCGGGACUUCAACCACUGCUUUUACUGCCUGCCAUCUUGUUGUUUGUCGAAGGGAUGAAUUCAAGUCGAAAAGAGAAAGCGCGCUGAAAAAGAUAAAUCACUAGUGGUUAACUGCUGACUCAGCCAAGUGUUGGCUUCACUUGAUUCACCGAUUGAGGUUAUUUUGUCUUCUAUCUAAUGCAGCGAAGAAGCUUUGCUGCUUAACAUGCUGCAAUGCAACUUUAUCCUUUGAAGUUCACACUCCAGGGCUGCGCACUUUAUGUAAUCCUAUGAGUAAAAAGAAUUUGUUUUCAAAUGUGAAAAAAGAAAAUGUAAGGUAGUAACUAAAUAUAUUAUAGCAUCAAAGCAAGAUUUGAUAUGAAUUUAGUACAACAAAGAACAUCAAAUCUGUGAUUCCUUGUCUAAUGUCACCAUCGAGCAACAAAUUUAAAAGCCUACCUAUCAAAUACACGAGGCAAUAAACGGAGAAAAAGUUGAAUUACAAGAACAAGUUUACAAUUCUUGUCAAUGGUUAAUGAUUUGUGAACUGCAUAGCAUUCAAGAAUCCAAUUUCAAUACAACAACCUAAAAGAUAAACAGAUGAUGAAUUUUAUGAGAUAAAGAAGGAGAUCGUGUUUUAUCGUAUCUCUAUUUUCUUUCUUUUUAAAUUUAAAAUAAGCUUUUCAACCGGUUUGGUAACUGGUUAUAAUAUUUUUUAAAAUAAUUAAAUAUUUUCAUUAUUAAAAAUAAUGUGUACCGUUGAUUACAUCUAACGGUACAUAUUUCUUACACUACUAAUACCGUAAAAAAAAAAAGGCAUCAUAGAAGGACCCUUAAAACAUUUUCAUUUGAAAUUAUUUGGUGUAGUCAAAAAGUUAAGAAAGAAAUAGUUGUCCCUUUGGUCAUUUCACAAAAAUGAAAGCCCCAUAUAACAUGGACUUGAAUGGAAGCCCAAUUGUUUGUGUUUGAUUUCAAGCUUUAUCGGACCUUUGGACCUGGAUACUUUACUGCGGCCUCUAAGCCCUAUAAAUUUUUUUUUGGGAUAAAAGGUGCUUCAAUGAAAAAGCACUUUAAAACUUUGGAUUUUGCCAAAACUUCAAAGCGGUUGGUCCAGUUACGGUGUGUUAUGCUAACGGGUUUAAAGGUUCCGAUCCAAUGAGUUAGGGUGGAAUAUGAAUAUAUAAAUUCCAUAGCAUGUAAGGACUAGGAUUUGUUUGUUCAUAUCAAGAAAAAAAAUCUGAAAAUUUGAUGAUCAGAAGAUAAAAACACUUAAACACGUUUAUUACAGAGAAACAAACGACAACAUGAUACUAGUAGUAGUUAUUCUUUUCAUCCGAUAUAUUACAUGGUAAUAUCACUACUCGUUCCACUGGUUUCAUAUACACCAUCGAUCAGCAACAUGAUAAUUUUGUGUCAGUUCAUUUUGUUUGUAGGAAAGAGCAGUGUAUUUAUAAUAAAAAGAUUUUAAAAUAUAAAUUGCAUAUUUGUUUAUUACUGUUGUUUGGUCUAAUUUCUUAUGUAGAAUUGCUUGUCAUUCUUUGGACGUUAUUGGUUAUAUUUUUGUCAGACUUGGCGUAUAUAUUCACAUACAUUUUAUUUUGUCAUUUUUUAGAACAUUUUUACACGCCAUAUUAUCACUACUCUUCUCUGUCUGAAUAAGAAGAAAGCAUCAACGGAGGUGUAUUACCACUGUUUCUUACUCAGUUAUCAUCAACGGAGUACCAAGAGGCUUGAUUUUUCCUGAAAGAGGACUUAGGCAAGGGUGUCCACUCUCCCCAUACCUGUUCCUUUUAUGUGCUGAGGUCUUUUCCAGCUUGCUGUCCCAGGCAGAAAGAAAUUAGCAAAUUAAGGGCUUGAGAUUCACUAAAGAUGUUACUAUCUCCCAUCUCCUCUUUGCGAAUGAUAGUCUAAUUUUCACAAGAGCUGCAGUGGCUAAUUGCAAGCAUCUAAAAGGUCUAUUUGAUACUUAUGCGAAGGCAUCGGGGCAUAUUUUUAACUUUGAAAAGUCAUCUAUGUUUUUCAGUGGUAAAAUUUUUUAGGGGCAGAUUUCAGCGAUCAAGAGUAUCUUCAAGCUUAAGGUGGUUCCUGUUGUGCAAAUUUUAAUGAACUCGCAAGCGCACGAAUCUAUUGUAGUAUAGAUCAAUGGUGACGAGUGUCGAUCCCACGAGGAGGUGGAUUUUAAUUAUAUGUAGAAUUAAUUUUGUAAAUGGGUGGUUGGAAUUGUAGUGGAAAUGAUUUGGAAUAUGCUAAAACUUAAAUUAAAAUGGCGAGAAUAAAUUAUGAAAUUGGAAUUGCAAUGGCGAGAAUAAAUUGAAGUGAAAUCUAUUGAAAUAACGUACUUGGGUAUCCGGAUCCGUAUCAACAUGCAUCAUGGGCUAAAUAAUCCGUAUUAAUGCCAAUUAAAUCAUGAGGGGGGAAUCCACACCUCAUGAACCACGCUCUAAUCAAUAUGGUGCUAAGGGCUUAUCGUGCCAAAUAAUAAUAACCUUAUACUAGAGAGCCGGUGUAACCAAGGCGGUAUCUAGACAAGAUUACUAUUAUUUGUCGACGAAAAGUCAAAACAUCCACAAAAACUAGAGGGGAAGAGAAAAUAAAUUUACCAAAUUAAGCCCAUGAAAAUAAUCCUGUGUGAUGCAUGCACCGUACGCGAAAUUUUUCGUCCACUGAUAUGCUGCCACGUCACCAUCAACAGUACAUAAGAAUUUUAGUCCAACAGGAUCGUGACACCUCAUCAGUCAAUGCCACAUCAUCGGUCAAUGCCACGUCAUCGAUCCGUCUAUGUGAACAGUGUCGUGAACAGUAACGUAGACAGUACCGUAUACGUGAAUAGUACCGUACAUGUGAAUAGUGCCAUUUUUCCUUUUAUGCUCCUCCUAAGGUUUUCGACCGUCCUGAGUUCAAAAGUGAUGUCCGUUUUGCUGUCUGAUCUCUCCUUUAUUGUGAAAUGACUAUAAUGCCCCUAAAAUACAUAAAAUACUUAAUUAAAAUAACACACACGUAAUUACAUCACAAAAAGGUUAAAUACAUAAAAGUAAGGGUUGUUAGUAAGACUUGAAAUGUAAAAUGAUGGUUUUCUCCUUUAUAAAUAUGCAUUUUCUAAUACUCAACACACCCCCCAACCAGCUUAUUGCUAGUCCCUAGUAAAUAAAGCGAAAACAAAAUUCAAAUUCAAAAUAUUUUUUUAGAAACACUCGUGUUUAUUCAAUCAGAUUAAUGAUAGCAAUCAAAUAAAAGUAUAAGCAUUAUCUCCAGUCUAAAGCAAUAUCACACCCAUAUCAACCAUCCACAUGAAUCGGCCCAGUAGACUUUGUUAUAGCUACUUUCAAGAAUGACAUGUUAAACCCCAAAAUCUCACUGGAAGUAGUGACACUCUCACAAAGAAAUUAAAACCCAAUAAACAUAGUCACUCCAAUGAAUAGUAAUUGAGAGAGAAAAUAAUAAAGAAAUGAUAUCACAUGCUCUCACCAAGAUGAAAUAAAUAUGCCCUCAGCUUAGAAAUAAUACGAUCUCAAGUCAAAUAAAAUGUUAGUCAACCCACUUUAUUUAUCUUCUUUUUUUUUUUAUUAUUAUGCAUCACUACAUCUUUUUAGCCCAUAUAACUAGCUUCUACUUCAAACUAUAGUUCCCUAAAAUCAAGAAGGACUUUUAUUAGGACGUAACGUAGGCUAGGGAUAUGGCUAACAAAGAAAGGAAAUAAGGAAAACAAAGUGUAUGUUUGAGAAAAAUGCAGAAAUAUAUAUAUAUAUAUAUAUAUAUUUUUUUUUUUUUUUGAAGUUGCAAGGUGGAUUUCACCUAUUAUUGUUAUUUUAUUCUUUUGAAACAACAACUUUUGUUUUUUUGUUUUUUUUUUAUUUUUUGUUUUUUUUUUUGCUUUUAUUUGGCAUAACUUCACUGAACAACAUAAUUAUUUACAUUUUCUCAAACAUAAAUAGGUGAUGGAACUUAUAAGACAUCGAGUAAUACUCCAAAUCGGAGUGAGUCAAGAUGAUAAGUUGACAAAGAAAAGGUUUUAUUUAUUUAUUUUUUUUUAAAGGCUCAAAAGGGGUAACUAUGGAUAUUUAAUAAAAGGGAUGGCUAGAAAGGCUCAAACGGAUCAAAGAUGGCCUUUCCAUCGUCUUUUAGGGCUCUAAAUAAUUAUCCAUAUCUACUAGUUAGAUGGGCCUCCCAAUGUAGCAACACACAUUUUUUUUUUUUUUUUUUAAUUUUACCAUUUUUUUUAAAGGGUUAACUCAAAAGAAAUCUAGAGAUCGUGUAUAAAAUAAUAAACUGCUAAGCUGUAUAGAAAAUGGGCAAAAGGGUUACUCUCCAAGAAAAUGAUAGGCUCAACAACUCACUUGACACUUAUUUAUGACAUGUUCAUUCCUUCAAGCAACUCAUAUUUGUCUCCGACAUCAACAUGUAAAGUAGCAAACAUAGCGUAACAUCACUUAAGACCAAAGAUAAUACAAAUACUAAAAUUUGAAAUUAAUCAUGUCAUCCAAUGUUAAAACAAAUAACACAAAUUUUUUUUUUUUUAAACAACAUUCUACCCCCCAACCUAUUCUAAACAUGAAAAGAAAAUAUGCAUGCAGAAAUGUGAAAAUGAUGUAGAAAAAUUAAUUAGAAAAAGAUUUUUUUUUUUUAAAACUAAGAAGAUGCGUUUCUAGAGGCACUACACUCCAUAUUCAGCCAUCUUCGACUCAAAAGUUGGAAAAUGUAUAUUUAUAGAGGAGAAAAUAAAAAGAAGAAGAAAAAUGAAGUAGAAAAAUUAAUUAGAAAAAGAAUUUUUUUUUUCGAACAAUGAAGAUGCGUUUCUAGAGUAACUACACUCCAUAUUCAGCCAUCUUCAACACAAAAAGUUAGCAACAGUUAGUUUCUACAACAAAAAAUUAGUAAAAACUUAACCAAGAUUCCACAAUUGUCGACUAUUCCCUCCCCCCAACCAGAACGAAACAUUGUCCUCAAUGUUUGAAAGGAAAGAAGUAGAGUUUAGAAGACAUCACCUGGGUGGUGCAACACAGAAGAAUAUAUUUACAGGCGGAGAGUUAAAUCUAAUUUGUACUUCUUACUGCGGCUACUGUUACCAUCAUUAGUUGGUCGCUCCAACACAAAGGUCCAGGGGUCUGGCUCCGGUUUAUAAGCUUGUAACAUAUCAAGUAGCUCAUUAGCAGUGUGAGCACAAAUAAAGAGUUUUUUCACAUUAGAAUGCGAUAAAGUCAUCAUAAAAGUUAUUGACAUUUAACAAACCAAUAGGUUUCUGGUGGAUGUGCAGAUGGGCCCAAGAUGCUAGUGUCAUAAAUGCUUCUAGUGUUGCAAGAUCUCCUGGAAGGAAAAUAAAAGCAUCAGCAUGAUUAAGCAUUUCAGUUAUUCUUUCUUGCAUACCUGAGACGACUAACUCUUCUCCAGUUGAUGAGUCAGACGAACUGCCCAAUGGUUUUAGGACUCUUGGGAUGAUGCCUAACACUUGACUUCCUCUGAUAAAAGCUGCUUCUGAGACCAUUUUUGAUAACCCUCGGUUACCUCCUCCAUACACCAAGUGUAAUUUUCUCGCUGCUAUGCUUCGACCAAGAUCUAUGGCUGCCUCCACAAACUCUUUAUGUUUGCCACAGGUAAAUCCAGAAAGCACACAAAUGUUCUUGAAUUGUCUAAUGGGAGUAGCUGCCAUUGUGAUACUUCUCAAAAACAAUUUGUGAGUGCUUGACAAAAGAUAAAUCACAUUUAAGAAUCUUGGUGACAGUGGAUCACAACUGUGAAUGAGGUAACAUGUCAGUGUCAAAUAACGCGUAAAGCACGUGGCUCGCGAGUCAAAAAGGAAACAAUAAAAAAAAGAAAAAGCAAACAGUAACAAAAUUAUUAAAGACAAAAAUAAAACAACAGUGAAAUGAAAUAAAAUAACAGUAAAGUAAAAGGAUAUUUACACGUAGUUGCGACUGUGGCUCACAUCUUCCUCUGGUUUUACGUCCAGAAACGGCUUGAACGCCCUCUAUGGGUCGAGGAUAGGCUUCCUAUCCAGUUUUCUUAUAAACUGGCAAACAGGGUCGUUUAUAGUCAGAUUCCCGAGACUAUAUCGUGCAUGCUCUUUCUGGAAUAAUGGCCAUAACUGGAGAACCGCUCCUUGCACAUAUCCACUAGGAUGCGUUUCAAGAGACAAAAGGAUAUCAUCCAAUGACUCCUUAUUCAAGCCAUCCCUAAUGAAUUGAAUCUUAUAUUCCCUGUUAUCAGACACCAUUCCUAAAGAACAUGGGUUUCUAUCGCAACUCAUUCUGGCACACUUAUGACAAGCAACAGAAAUUCUUCGAGCUCGUCGUUUUCUUCCAUAAUUUCCUUUACCACAACCAGGCAUGAAUGCAAUAAAUUUUGGAGGAAACUCACCUGCCGAUCGUACUUUAGCCUCGAUUAACCAACGGAUGUCAGCAGGUAUGUUAUUCCUCAUGAGUAAUCGCAUGCGUUCGGAUCGAGCUUUAUAGAUCGUAAGGAGGGCAUUCUGAGGAAGUGAAGGGAAUCGCUUGUGAAGCUUCGCUAGAAUCUCGUUUCUGUUCAUACUUUCACCUCAGAAUGUCAGUUAUUAUGGGAAACUGAAGUAACCGACUUGAUUGUCACGGAGUACCGUUAUCCGCCACUUCACCGGGGUAACAAACUAAAGCACAUAAACAGAAAAACAAAUCAAAACACACAAAGAAAAUUAAAAUCGUCCUCUUAUUGAAUUUACCUCAAGCUCCAACUGGAUGUCGUAAACACUUCUCUCAAUGUCUCUGAGUUGGCGUUCUAAACCCUCAACAUAGGCUACUAACUCUGGUGGUUGUAGAGCCCAAAUGCGUUGUGUUUUACAAAAUUGAAUCUGCCUUUUGAGAUGAGUUUUGAUACGUUGAAGUGGUUUAAGAAUGUUCAGGAGGAACGGUCUAAGUAUGAGACUCAUGAUUAAAAAUGAUAAGAGAAAACUUAAUGGUAAAAUAAACACACUUAUGCAAAAACAAUUUCAAUUAGCAAAAGAAUAAUAAUAAAAAGAAAGAAAGAAAAAUCAAAUCAACGAAAAGAAAAAAAAUCAAUUCAAAUUUGGUGGGUCACUCAAAUUUAUUUCGGUGUCUUCUCUAUGUGGUUGGUACUCAAGAUAUGGCUUUAAUCUUUGACCAUUAACUUUAAACGUGACACCGUUCUUUGGGUCCUUAAUUUCAAUUGCCCCAUGUGGAAAAACAGUAUGAACAAUAAAGGGACCAGACCAUCGAGAGCGUAACUUACCUGGGAAUAGGUGCAAGCGAGAAUUGAAUAAAAGCACUUUCUGACCUGGAGUGAAAGAUUUUCUCAUAAUGUGCUUGUCAUGAAAGACUUUCAUUCGUUGCUUGUAAAUUUUGGCAUUUUCGUAUGCAUCAUUGCGAAUUUCUUCAAGUUCUGCCAGCUGUAAUAUUCUUUCUGAGCUGGCUUGUUGCAUGUCAAAAUUGAAUUUCUUGAUGGCCCAAUACGCACGAUGCUCGAGUUCCACAGGUAGGUGGCAAGCUUUUCCAUACACUAGCCUGUAGGGUGACAUCCCAAUCGGGGUCUUGAAAGCCGUUCUAUAUGCCCAUAAUGCAUCAUCAAGUCUUAAUGACCAAUCUUUCCUGUCUGGCCUCACCGUUUUUUCUAAUAUGUGCUUUAUUUCUCGAUUGGAUAUCUCAACUUGGCCACUGGUUUGCGGAUGAUACGGGGUCGCCACUUUGUGUGUGAUUGAAUACUUUGUCAAAAGAGCCUUGAAUGCUUUGUUACAAAAGUGGGCACCACCAUCACUGAUUAUCGCUCGAGGGAAUCCAAAGCGUGAAACAAUGUUGCUUUUCAAAAAUCCUAUCACCACUUUGUGAUCAUUGGUUCUGCAUGGAAUUGCUUCCACCCAUUUCGAUACGUAGUCAACACCAACCAAUAUGUAUUGAUGGCCAAAAGAAGGGGGAAAGGGUCCCAUGAAGUCGAUACCCCAUACGUCAAAAAUCUCAACCACUAAAAUUGGAUUUAGUGGCAUCAUGUUCCUUCGUGUAAUGCUCCUCAUUCGUUGACACCUAUCACAUGAAGAACAAAAAGUGUAAGCAUCUCGAAAUAUAGUUGGCCAAUAAAAACCACAUUGUAAAACUUUAGUCACGGUUUUCUUAGCACUGAAGUGGCCUCCACAAGCUUGUUCAUGGCAGAAUGAAAGGAUAUUCUGAAUUUCACUUUCUGGGACACAUCGUCUAACAAUUUGGUCUGCACAAUACUUGAACAAAUACGGGUCAUUGUUGAGUGUUAGAAAAUGCAUAUUUAUAAAGGAGAAAACUGUCAUUUUAUGUUUCAAGUCUUACUAACAACCCUUACUUUUAUGUAUUUAACCUUCUUGUAAUGUAAUUACGUGUGUGUUAUUUUAAUUAAGUAUUUUAUGUAUUUUAGGGGCAUUAUAGUCAUUUCACAAUAAAGGAGAGAUCAGACGGCAAAACGGACAUCACUUUUGAACUCAGGACGGUCGAAAACCUUAGGAGGAGCAUAAAAGGAAAAAUGGCACUAUUCACAUAUACGGUAGUAUUCACGUAUACGGUACUGUCUACGUUACUGUUCACGACACUGUUCACAUAGACGGAUCGAUGACGUGGCAUUGACCGAUGAUGUGGCAUUGACUGAUGAGGUGUCACGAUCCUGUUGGACUAAAAUUCUAAUGUACUGUUGAUGGUGACGUGGCAGCAUAUCAGUGGACGAAAAAUCUCGCGUACGGUGCAUGCAUCACACAUGAUUAUUUUCAACCAAACCGCGUUACUGUUCAUCCGGGUCAAACCGUGUUACUGUUCAUCCGCGUGGUCAAACCGUGGACUGUUGACUGAUGACGUGGCGCAAUCCUGAGCGUCCAAACUGUUUUUAAUCCGAUGGCCAUGAUUUACUCCAUGUAUCUAUAAAAAGGGGGCCUCCCCCCCAUAAUUUGAUAUCUCUGAAUCCAUUUUUGGGAUCCAUUUUCUGUAAUUCCUUCUCCAUCUUGUAUUUUCUUUGUAUUUUAAUAAAUUCCCUUUUUGCCCCUAGUUCAAUUAUGAGUAGCUAAUUUCUUUUCAAGCUUGGGUUGAAGGUGAAGUCUCAACAUGUGUCAUGGGCUUUAUUUGGUAAAUUUAUUUUCUUUUCCCCUCUAGUUUUUGUGGAUGAUUUGACUUAUCGUCGAUAAAUAAUAAUGAUCUUGUCUAGAUACCGCCUUGGUUACACCGGCUCUCUAGUAUAAGGUUAUUAUUAUUUGGCACGAUAAGCCCUUAGCACCAUAUUGAUUAGAGCGUGGUUCAUGAGGUGUGGAUUCCCCCCUCAUGAUUUAAUUGGCAUUAAUAUGGAUUAUUUAGCCCAUGAUGCAUGUUGAUACGGAUCCAGAUACCCAAGUACGUCAUUUCAAUAGAUUUCGCUUCAACUUAUUCUCGCCAUUGCAAUUCCAAUUUUAGAAUUUAUUAUCGCAAUUUCAAUUCCAAUUUUAGGAUAAUUUAAAUCACUUCCACCACAAUUCCAACCACCCAUUUUGCAAAAUUAAUUCUAUACACAAUUAAAAUCCACCUCCUCGUGGGAUCGACACUCGUCACCAUUGAUCUACACUACAAUAGAUUCGUGCGCUUGCGAGUUCAUUAAAAUUUGCACAACAGUCAUCCCAAAAGAAAUUCUUUAUUUCUACAAAGAAUUUAGCCUUGUCUUGCUUGGUCCAAUGCUCUGGAAAUUUACCUGUAACAAGAUAAUUAACUAUAUCAGCAUACCAAGGUAAUACUUCCACAUUCAUCAAUUGUUCAUCUGGAAAUGACUCAUUCAAUAUUAAUGGCUCUGUAAUUGUGUCAAAAUGGAGACGAGAGAGGUGGUCCGCCACAACAUUCUCUGUGCCUUUCUUAUCUUUGAAUUCCAAGUCAAACUCCUGCAAAAGUAACACCCAACGAAUUAGUCUAGCUUUUGCAUCUUUCUUUGUGAGAAGAUAUUUAAGAGCAGCAUAAUCUGUGAAUACAAUUAUUUUACAACCAAUGAGAUAAGAUCGAAAUUUUUCUAAUGCAAACACUACUGCUAGCAUUUCUUUUUCAGUAGUUGAAUAAUUCAACUGUGCAUCAUUGAAUGUCAUACUAGCAUAGUAAAUAACAUGGGGAAUUCGAUCAACUCUUUGUCCUAAUACUGCUCCUACGGCAUAAUCAGAUGCAUCACACAUUAGCUCAAAUGGUAAGCUCCAGUUUGGGGCCUGAAUGAUGGGUGAUGAUGUCAACAACUGUUUUAAUUUUUCAAAUGCAACAAGACAUGAAUCAUUAAAGACAAAAGGUACAUCCUUAGCAAGUAGAUUGCAUAAGGGUCUAGAAACUUUGCUAAAAUCUUUAAUGAAACAUCUAUAAAAACCAGCAUGCCUAAGGAAAGAUCUUACUUCUCUGAUUGUUUUGGGUGGAGGAAGAUUAGAAAUGAGAUCCACCUUGGCUUUGUCAACCUCAAUACCUUUGCUCGAAAUGAUGUGACCGAGAACAAUACCUUGUUUUACCAUAAAAUGGCACUUCUCCCAAUUUAAGACUAAGCUCUUCGCGGUACAUCUCUGCAGAACUAGCGUUAGAUGAUGUAAACAUUGAUCAAACGAGUCACCAAAGAUAGAAAAAUCAUCCAUAAAGACUUCAAGGAAUCGUUCAACCAUAUCAGAAAAAAUGCUCAACAUGCAUCGUUGAAAUGUAGCAGGUGCAUUACAUAAUCCAAAUGGCAUUCUCCUAUAUGCAAAAGUGCCAAAAGGGCAAGUAAAAGUAGUUUUCUCUUGAUCUUUUGGUGCUAUGGGAAUCUGAUUAUAUCCUGAGUAGCCAUCUAGAAAGCAAUAAAAUUCAUGGCCUGCUAAUCUAUCAAGCAUUUGAUCAAUAAAUGGUAAAGGAAAAUGGUCUUUACGUGUGACAGAAUUCAACUUUCUAUAAUCAAUGCAUACACGCCAUCCUGUAGUUACUCUAGUUGGUAUCAAUUCAUUAUCAGCAUUGGUAACUACUGUGACUCCUGACUUUUUGGGGACAACUUGUACAGGACUGACCCAUGAACUAUCAGAAAUUGGGUAAAUGAUACCUGCGUCUAAUAGCUUAAGGACUUCUGUUCUAACAACUUCUUUCAUAUUAGGAUUUAACCGACGUUGCAUUUCCCUAGUAGAUUUAGCAUUUUCAUCAAGGUGAAUGUAAUGCAUGCAGUCUACUGGAUUUAUACCUUUUAUGUUCGCUAUGGUCCAUCUUAAUGCUCCUUUGUGCUAUUUAAAACAUCCAACAACUUACCUUUUUGUUCGUCAUUUAGGGAUGAUGAGAUGAUUACCGGCAGAGUACUUUCUUCUCCCAAAAACGCAUAUUCCAAUGUGUUGGGUAAUGGUUUGAGCUCGAGUUUCGGUGGUGAUUCUGAUGAUGGGAUGAGUUUCUUCUCUGAUGGUGCUAGUUGUUCAACUCUUGACUUCCAUUUAUUAGUGUCCAUGGAUGGUGCUGAGUCAAGUAGGGCGUUGACCUCAUCAACUGAUCUGUCAAUAUCAAAAUCCAAACCAAAGUGAGUUAAACAUGUUUAUAAAGGAUCAUCACUAAGGUUUGAAAGAAAAGUAUUAUCAACUAUUGUUUCUAUUAAAUCCACAUCAACAAUUCCAUCAUCUGCACUGUGAGGUUGUUUGGCAAUGUUGAAGAUGUUCAGCUCCAUAGUCAUGCUGCCGAAGGACAACUGCAUAUUUCCAGUCCUGCAUUGAAUGUGAGCAUCCGCAGUUGCCAAGAAAGGUCGACCUAGAAUAAUAGGGAUGUGCUUCCUUGAAUCCUGUAUUGGUUGAGUGUCAAUUACAAUGAAAUCAACAGGAAAAUAAAACUUGUCUACCUGGAUAAGCACGUCCUCCACAAUACCACGAGGUAUUUUCGUGGACCGAUCUGCAAGCUGUAACACCACUGGAGUUGGGUGUAAUUCUCCCAGUCCAAGUUUCACGAAUACAGAGUAAGACAAAAGAUUUACACUAGCUCCUAAAUCCAACAAAGCAUUCUCAAUUGUGUGGUUCCCUAUACUACAUGAGAUAGUGGGGGAGCCUGGGUCUUUGCAUUUUAAAGGAAUUUUAUGUUGGAGUAUAGAACUAACAUUUACUGUUAAAAAUGCCUUCUUUUGAACAUGCAUAUUUCUCUUUUUAGUACAAAGGUCUUUAAGAAACUUGGCAUAAGAUGGAACUUGCUUUAUAGCAUCAAGUAAAGGGAUGUUAACACUUACCUGUUUGAAGAUUUCGAGAAUCUCACCUGUGGAUUUUCCCUUCUUUCCUUUCGCUAACCUCUGAGGAAAUGGAGCUUUGGGAACGUAUUCUCGUGGGUUGGUUUCUUCUUUUUCCUCCGGUGGUGAGUCCUCAACAUUCACAGGUACAAUUUGAUUUUCUUUUGUCACCGGCAUCUCCACUUUGUUGUCGACUUCCUUUCCUUUUCGCAAGGUCAUGACUGCUUUGACCUCUCCAUGCUGUUGUGGUGAACUGGUACUUGCUUCAUGUACUCCUUUAGGAUUAGGCACUGGUUGACUUGGAAAUUUACUUUUCUCAACAGUAAUUGCCAAGGUCUGAACUGAAGAAGCAAGUUGUCCCACCAUCUUCUCGAGGCUUGAAACUGAUUGGGCUUGUGAGUUGAAGCCCGCUCUCAACUCAUUUCGUAGUCCAUCAAUAGUGCGGUUCUGUUGCUCAAUCGUAGAGUGAGUAACAUUCUUGAGAUUUUGGAAUGAAUCCUCCCAUGGUCUGGGUUGAGAGUAGUUCUUGUUCUGAUUGUAUGGUCUGAAUGGUGGCUGAGAGGCUUGAGGAUUUUGAGGAAUUUGUUGCAUUGGUGGAGCUGGAGCUGCUGGUCCAUUCUGUUGGAAUCCUUGAGACCAUGAAAAAUUGGGGUGGUCUCUCCAUCCAGGGUUAUAUGUGUUGGAGUAUGGGUUGUAAUUAGAUGGCUUUCUCAUUACACCUAUGGCAUUGGCUUGAUCUGGAUAUGAGUCAGGGUCACGUGAUUCUGUUGAUUUAGCAGUCGAUAACGAUGUUAUUUGUCGAGCAAGACCUUCAACCAUCUCCUUGACUUCUUUGAUUCCCGAAGUUGACUCGCCAAUGUGAACCUCAUUCACUCCUUUAAUCCUUCUAGUAUUCCUGAGUGAUCGACUCCGUUGUUGGGAAUUGUCCGCUUGUCGCUGGAAAAACUCCCAAAUUUCUGAUGCACUUUUUGACAUUAGCUCUCCUCCACUUGUUGCCAUUAGCCAUUCUUGCACAUUCGGCAAUAAUCCCUUCAAAAAGUAUUGGUAUUGGUGCCAUUUCUCGUACCCAUGAUGUGGACACUUCAAGAGUAGUCCAUUGAAUCGCUCCCAAGUUUCGAAAAACUGCUCGUCCUCUCUUUGUGUAAACUCUGAGAUUUCCCUGCGAAUAGAAUUGGUUUUAUGCACUGGGAAAUAUUUAUUUAGAAAUUUUGUAACCAUUUGUUCCCAUGAUGCAAUGCUAUUAGCAGGCAAAGUAUUUAACCAUGAACGAGCUCUAUCCUUUAAAGAAAAUGGGAAUAAUCUAAGUUUAACAUCAUCGUCUGAAAAAUUUUCAUAUUUAAAAGUUUGACAAAUGGCAUGAAAAUCAUUCAGAUGAUUAUAUGGGUCCUCAUUUUCUAGGCCAUAGAAUGUGGGGAGACAAUUUAGCACACUAGGUUUUAAUUCAAAACUCCUAGCAGCUACAUUUGGGUAUCUUAUGCAUGAUGUGCUCAAAUUAGCUAAGGGACUAAAAUAAUCCUUAAAUGGCCUCUCCUGUGGUGCUUGUAAAUCCAUUUUAUUUUUAAAUUGUUUGUGUGUGCGAAGUGUUUUUUCUAAUUCAAGGUCUAUAGGUUCAAGAUUUGGUAAUAAUGACCUACGACCAUGCAUGCAAAACAAAUAAAAUAAAAAUAAAGAUGGGAAUAAAACGAAUAAAAAUAAAGAAAAAUGAGAAAUUACGAUACUAACCUUAUUGCGCUGUUACAACUUUUCUAUAAAAACACACUAAAACAAAUACGUGAAAUAAAUUAACUAAAAAUAAAUUAAUUAAAAAAAAUUACAAAGAAAAAUAACUUAAAAAUUAAAUUGCAGAAUUGUAAAGAAUAGAGAAAGAAAAGAAAUUAUUACCUCUAAUUGCAGAUUCACUUUUUUUUUUCUCUUUUUUUUUAUAAAAAAAUACAAGAAAACAAAUAAAAGAAAUUAUUCACAAAAAUUAAUUCUAUGAAUUAAAAUUACUUACCUCCCCGGCAACGGCGCCAAAAACUUGUUGUGCAAAUUUUAAUGAACUCGCAAGCGCACGAAUCUAUUGUAGUAUAGAUCAAUGGUGACGAGUGUCGAUCCCACGAGGAGGUGGAUUUUAAUUAUAUGUAGAAUUAAUUUUGUAAAUGGGUGGUUGGAAUUGUGGUGGAAAUGAUUUGGAAUAUGCUAAAACUUAAAUUAAAAUGGCGAGAAUAAAUUCUGAAAUUGGAAUUGCAAUGGCGAGAAUAAAUUGAAGUGAAAUCUAUUGAAAUAACGUACUUGGGUAUCCGGAUCCGUAUCAACAUGCAUCAUGGGCUAAAUAAUCCGUAUUAAUGCCAAUUAAAUCAUGAGGGGAGAAUCCACAUCUCAUGAACCACGCUCUAAUCAAUAUGGUGCUAAGGGCUUAUCGUGCCAAAUAAUAAUAACCUUAUACUAGAGAGCCGGUGUAACCAAGACGGUAUCUAGACAAGAUUACUAUUAUUUGUUGACGAGAAGUCAAAACAUCCACAAAAACUAGAGGGGAAGAGAAAAUAAAUUUACCAAAUUAAGCCCAUGACACAUGUUGAGACUUCACCUUCAACCCAAGCUUGAAAGAAAAUUAGCCACUCAUAAUUGAACUAGGGGCAAAAUGGGAAUUUAUUAAAAUACAAAGAAAAUACAAGAUGGAGAAGGAAUUACAGAAAAUGGAUCUCAAAAAUGGAUUCAGAGCUAUCAAAUUAGGGGGGGGAGGCCCCCUUUUUAUAGAUACAUGGAGUAAAUCAUGGCCAUCGGAUUAAAAACAGUUUGGACGCUCAGGAUUGCCCCACGUCAUCAGUCAACAGUCCACGGUUUGACCACGCGGAUGAACAGUAACACAGUUUGACCCGGAUAAACAGUAACACGGUUUGGUUGAAAAUAAUCCUGUGUGAUGCAUGCACCGUACGCGAGAUUUUUCGUCCACUGAUAUGCUGCCACGUCACCAUCAACAGUACAUAAGAAUUUUAGUCCAACAGGAUCGUGACACCUCAUCAGUCAAUGCCACAUCAUCGGUCAAUGCCACGUCAUCGAUCCGUCUAUGUGAACAGUGUCGUGAACAGUAACGUAGACAGUACCGUAUACGUGAAUAGUACCGUACAUGUGAAUAGUGCCAUUUUUCCUUUUAUGCUCCUCCUAAGGUUUUCGACCGUCCUGAGUUCAAAAGUGAUGUCCGUUUUGCUGUCUGAUCUCUCCUUUAUUGUGAAAUGACUAUAAUGCCCCUAAAAUACAUAAAAUACUUAAUUAAAAUAACACACACGUAAUUACAUCACAAAAAGGUUAAAUACAUAAAAGUAAGGGUUGUUAGUAAGACUUGAAAUGUAAAAUGAUGGUUUUCUCCUUUAUAAAUAUGCAUUUUCUAAUACUCAACAGUUCCCAAAUAUGAAAGAUGCUUAGGCCUCCCAUCCAUGAUAGGCCGGAAGAAGAUGAGUUUUUUCAAGGAUGUCAAAUUAAAGGUUUUAAGAAAAAUUUCCAACUGGCACCAUAAAAUGUUCUCUAGUGGUGGAAAGGAAGUUCUUUUUAAAGCAGUCGCUCAAGCCAUCCCAGCAUAUGCCAUGAGCGUUUUCAAGCUCCUGAAGGGGCUAUGUGAAGACAUCCAAAGAGUUAUAGCCAAAUUUUGGUGGGGUUCGAAUCAAGAUAAGCAAGCAAUACACUGGUCGAGAUGGGAAAAAUUAAGUUGUGCAAAGAGUAGAUGGGGGCUGGGAUUCAGAGAUUUUACCAGCUUCAAUCAAGCAAUGGUGGCUAAACAAGGUUGGAGGCUGCUUCAGUUCCCGGAUUCCCUGGUAUCCAAGUUACUGCAGGCCAAAUACUACAGGAACUCCUCAUUCUUGAAUGCAAAGGAAGGUUCUAAUCCUUCUUUUAUCUGGAAAAGCAUCCUUUGGGGUAGGCUAGUUAUAAAAAAAAGGGCAAGAUGGCGAAUUGGGAAUGAGAGCAAUAUUCGGGUGUACAAAGACAAUUGGCUGCCAAGAUUGGAUACUUUCAAACCGAUAUCCCCUCCAACAUUGCCCAUGGAAACAACAGUGGCCAAGUUGAUAACUGAGGACAGCCACUGGAAUGAAGCUAAGCUAAAGCACCACUUUUUCGAGGAGGACACAGAAGCAAUACUCAAAAUUUCCCUCCCCCCAAGCCAUAAAGAGGAUUCCUUACUAUGGCAUUUUGACAAAAGAGAGGCAUACACUGUAAAAAGUGGCUACCAGGUGGCUCUCAAGCUUAAAUUCCCAAAUCAGGCCAGCAGCUCAGCCAGCCCCCCCCCCAAGAUGGAAUAAUCUGUGGUCUCUUAACUGGCCUGAAAAAAUCAAAAUCUUCAUGUGGAGAGCAUCCAAAAACCUUUUUCCAACAGCUGAAAACUUGUGGAAAAGAAAAUGUCUCCAAGAUCCAAUUUGCAAAAGAUGCUGCAGAAGUGUAGAAACCACUUACCAUGCUCUGCUAGAGUGUAAAGCAACGAAGAAGAUCUGGAAUCAUGCUCCUCUCCAGCUGAUAAGAAGCUACGCAGAACUAAUCGUGUAGCCAAACCCAACAGCAAGUACAUGGAAUAUGCAUGGGCACGUCAUUAGCCAUGCAACGUUUGAGAUGAUGAUCUGGAGCUGACUUCUUCAAAUUAACCGUUGCUUAUUUGGAGGAGAUCUUUCAUGCAAGUAUUUGUUUUGGUAUAUUUUGGAAUAAUAGUCAGGUUGUUGAGAUGUUGUUAACGACUUGAUUUAGUUAGCUUUGUUCAAGCCUUGUUUCACGGCUAAGGAAAUUAGUUUUGUAUUAGACUAUAAAUAAGCUCUUUUAUUCAAUAAGAAGAUCAUCAGAUUUUUAUUCCAAAAACAUUAUUUGUGGUAGUUCUCGCCCAAAGAAGAACAAGCAAUUUACUUUGUCAAUUCUGCUAGUUUUGACUGGGACCUCUAUUAGUGGUAUCAGAGCUAGGUUAGGAUGGCAACCAACAAAGAGCGUAUCGAGCGAAUAGAAACAGAGGUCGGAGAUAUACAAGACAAGAUGCAACAGUUGGAGUUGGGGAUCAAUGACAAAUUGGCACACAUUGAGGCAACAUUAAGCAAGCUUGCGGACUCAAUCAAUACUUCAAGAGGGUUGCCAAGUAUCAACAACAAUACUGCAUCUUCACGACUGGGCCGAGAAGUCAGUACAGGAGGGCCUCAACAUUUCCAAUCCAAGGUAGCAAAACUAGAAUUCCCUCACUAUUCGGGCGACGACCCCACCGAAUGGUUCAAUCGUGCAAGUUAGUUCUUCGAAUAACAGGAAUCAACAGACGAUCAGAAAGUGGUUCUAGCGUCAUUCCACUUGGAGGGGGAAGCAAAUCAGUGGUGGCAGUGGCUUCGAAGGUCUUAUCAAGAUGAAGGCAAAGUCGUGACUUGGGAGGUGUUUAUGGAGGAGUUAUGGGCAAGGUUUGGACCGACAGACUGUGAAGAUUUCAACGAGGCUCUCUCACGGGUUAAACAAACCGGUACUCUCCGUGACUACCAGAAGGAAUUUGAACGACUCGGAAACCGUGUUCAAGGCUGGACACAGAAGGCACUUGUUGGAACAUUCAUGGGAGGGCUUAAACCAGAGAUAUCUGAAGAAAUUCGGCUGUUUCGACCGAGGACUCUUAAGGAAGCAAUAAGCUUGGCAAGAAUGAGAGAUGAGCAACUGACCCGACAACGGAGACUGUUGAGAUCACCAAUCCUCACUCGUUCACCAACGGCUCAAGUCACCAACCAACGUGCUUCACCAACAGUACCCUUUAAGAGACUUUCUUGGGAGGAGAUGCAAAAACGCAGGUCACAAGGAUUAUGUUUUAACUGUAAUGAAAAAUUCUCUGCAGGUCAUAAGUGCAUAAAGGCGCAAUUGUUAAUCUUAGAAGCAGAUGAUAACGAAGAGUCCACGGAAACAACGCAACAUGAGUAUGAGACGGAAGAGCACGACAAACCUAAAAUAACAUUCUAUGCUUUGGCGGGUUAGGCUGCUCCUCAGACAAUGCGAGUGAAAGCUAAGAUUGGGCCACACGAGAUUAUUGUACUAGUGGACAGCGGCUCAACGCACAAUUUUAUCAACUCGCGUUUGGCUAAUAUGCUUCAGCUCCCAGUUCAACCGACAUCAGCAUUUCCAGUAAAAGUGGCCAAUGGAGAGAAAGUUAUUUGCCAGGGGAAACAUGACAAGGUACAUGUUUUAAUUCAGGACAUCCCUUUUGAACUUACUCUCUACUCAUUGCCGAUUACAGGACUCGACGUGGUGCUUGGUGUCCAAUGGCUUGAAAGCUUAGGGUCGGUGGUUUGUAAUUGGAAACAAUUAACAAUGGACUUCGAUUGGGAUAAUGCUAAGCGAAGGUUGCAAGGGCUGGAUCCACAAACAAUUCAAGCUACAACAUUAUCUGAAGUUGCCAAAGAUAUGAAACAAGGGCACAACGUGUUUGCUAUAUGUCUCUAUUUAAACAAUGAGGAAUCAUAUACAGUAGCACCGGCCAGCAUGAGGAGUUUGCUAGAGGAAUAUUCCGAGCUGUUCGUGGAACCCAAACAACUCCCACCAACACGGGAAAUCGACCACCAAAUCACUCUUAAAGAAGGAACAGAACCAAUUAAUGUGAGACCCUACCGGUACGCUUAUUUCCAAAAAGCGGAGAUUGAGAGACAAGUGAACGAAAUGCUGUCUUCCGGGCUCAUUCGACCAAGCACCAGCCCCUUCUCAUCACCGGUACUCCUAGUAAAAAAAAAGAUGGCAGUUGGAGGUUUUGUACUGACUACAGAGCACUCAACAAGGCCACAGUAAAAGACAGAUUUCCAAUACCAACAGUAGAAGACAUGUUAGAUGAAUUGCACGGUGCAACAUUCUUCACCAAACUAGACCUCAGAGCCGGCUACCAUCAGGUACGGCUAAACUCAUCAGAUAUACAUAAGACGGCUUUUCGCACACACAAUGGCCAUUAUGAAUAUCUGGUCAUGCCAUUCGGCUUAUGCAAUGCUCCCUCUACUUUUCAAGCAAUUAUGAAUGCUAUUUUUCGGCCCCAUCUUCGGAAAUUUAUAUUGGUAUUUUUUAACGACAUCUUGAUUUAUAGUCCCACGUGGGAAUGUCAUUUGAAACACGUUAGACAGACCUUGGAAAUUCUUAAACAACAUCAAUUUUUUGUCAAGGCUAGCAAGUGCAAUUUUGGCCAGCAAGAACUUGAAUAUUUGGGACACAUCGUCACUUGCCAUGGUGUGAAGGUGGAUGAACAGAAAAUUGCAGCAAUGGUGUCAUGGCCAAAGCCACGGAAUAUUACAGAGCUAAGGGGAUUUUUAGGCCUAACAGGGUAUUAUCGCAAGUUCGUUCGUGGGUAUGGCCUGUUAGCCCGGGCCCUAACCAAUCUUCUUAAGAAAGGACAAUUCGGGUGGAAUACUGAAGCUGCAACAGCAUUUGAGCAAUUGAAACUUGCCAUGACUCAAACUCCAGUACUUUCUAUGCCUAAUUUUAACGAUGUUUUUGUUAUUGAAACUGAUGCGUCCGGUGAUGGCAUAGGAGCAGUACUGCAGCAAAACGGAAAACCAAUAGCUUACAUGAGUCGAGCGUUGGGUAUAACAAAAAAGACUUGGUCGACAUAUGCGAAAGAGAUGUUGGCAGUGGUAGAGGCGGUCAGAUUUUGGAGGCCUUAUUUACUGGGACAACGAUUUGUGAUACAAACAGAUCAAAAAAGCUUAAAAUAUCUCUUGGAGCAGAAGAUAGCAACUCCUGAUCAACAGCAAUGGAUGGUCAAACUCAUGGGUUACGAUUACGAAAUCCGAUACCGCCCCGGCAAGGAAAACGCUGCUGCCGAUGCACUCUCUAGAAGAACUGACAGCCCAACUCUUAAUCAUCUUUUUGUACCGCAGGUGUCACUAUGGGGAGAAAUUAAAAAGGCUAUGCAUGAAGAUGAUUAUCUAAAGAAGAUUGCACAGCAAGUUGAGACUCAACCCGACGGCCCUUACACGGCAAAAAACGGCCUCAUAUUCUUCAAAGGCAGGGUAAUAGUUCCGCGAAAGAUGCGUGACUUAUUAUUAUUUGAGGCCCACAAUACGAAAAUAGGAGGGCAUUCCGGAGUCCUUCGCACUUACAAACGCUUAGCGCAGCAAUUUUAUUGGCCCUCAAUGUUUCAAUCUGUUCAUGAUUAUGUAAGUAAGUGUGUUGUUUGCCAGAAGACGAAGAGUGAAACGCUACAACCAGCAGGGCUUCUUCAACCGUUGCCUGUUCCUUGCCAAGUGUGGGAGGAUAUUUCUUUAGAUUUUAUUGAAGGGCUGCCUAAUUCACAAGGAAGAGAUACAAUAUUUGUGAUAGUCGACAGGCUCAGUAAAUAUGCAUUCUUCCUUUCCUUAUCUCACCCAUUUACCGCUAAAUCUGUUGCUGAAAGAUUUGUUGACGGAGUGGUAAAACUACACGGCAUGCCCAAGAGUAUUGUAAGUGAUCGGGAUCCAAUAUUUAUUAGCAAAUUUUGGAGUGAAUUUUUUACACUGUCAGGCACACAAUUAACGAUGAGUUCAGCCUAUCAUCCGCAAACGGACGGCCAAACAGAGGUUGUUAACAGAUGUCUGGAGCAAUAUUUACGCUGCUUUGUCCACCAGUGGCCACGCAAGUGGAACAUGUAUCUGUCGUGGGCUGAGUUUUGGUACAAUACCACUUUUCAUGUAUCCACCGGAAUGACCCCUUUUCAAGCUCUCUAUGGCCGGCCUCCACCUUCUGUCCCCAUGGAUUCGAUCGGGUCUUCACCGGUUCACGAAGUCGAUCACGCCUUACAGACCAGAGAUGAGUUAUUGCGGCAACUAAAAUCUAACCUUGCUGCAGCGGCUAAUCGAAUGAAACAAACGGCCGACAAGAAAAGGAGGGAUGUCGAAUUCAAAGAAGGAGACAUGGUGUACUUGCGCUUGCAUCCGUACCGGCAAUCUUCAGUUUUUAAACGUGCACAUCAAAAAUUAUGCAACAGGUAUUUUGGACCAUAUCAAAUAAUUCAAAAAGUGGGGCCUGUCGCUUUUAAGCUCCAGUUGCCAGAAGGUGCCAAGGUCCAUUCUACAUUUCAUGUUUCAGUACUAAAAAAAGCAGUGGGAGAUUCGACAGAGAGCAGCACGGAGUUACCUCCUAUAGAUGAUGAAGGUGUGCUGGUUUUGGAGCCUAAAUCAGUUCUGGACACUCGGUGGCUUAAAAGAGGUGGUACUGUUAUUGAGCAAAGUCUGAUUCACUGGAACAAUCAACCAAUGGAAGAGGCCACUUGGGAAGAUACUGUCGUCAUUAAGCAGCGGUUUCCUUCGCUGACCCUUGAGGACAAGGGUCCUCUUUCAUGGGGGAGUGAUGAUAAGAAGCUACGCAGAACUAAUCGUGUAGCCAAACCCAACAGCAAGUACAUGGAAUAUGCAUGGGCACGUCAUUAGCCAUGCAACGUUUGAGAUGAUGAUCUGGAGCUGACUUCUUCAAAUUAACCGUUGCUUAUUUGGAGGAGAUCUUUCAUGCAAGUAUUUGUUUUGGUAUAUUUUGGAAUAAUAGUCAGGUUGUUGAGAUGUUGUUAACGACUUGAUUUAGUUAGCUUUGUUCAAGCCUUGUUUCACGGCUAAGGAAAUUAGUUUUGUAUUAGACUAUAAAUAAGCUCUUUUAUUCAAUAAGAAGAUCAUCAGAUUUUUAUUCCAAAAACAUUAUUUGUGGUAGUUCUCGCCCAAAGAAGAACAAGCAAUUUACUUUGUCAAUUCUGCUAGUUUUGACUGGGACCUCUAUUACCAGCCCAAUUUUCAGAAUUCUCCAAACCAGAGCAUCCUCAGCAUCAUCCAAAAUAUGCCCUCCAAUAUGCGGAAGUCUAAUUUCGAUCUCUUGAUCUCUCUAUGUUGGGUGGCUUGGUAUGCUCGAAACAAGUUUAUUUUCGAAGGUAAGAAGAUAGACCCAAGGCUCUCUGUAGCUAAAGCUGAAGCAGUGAUUGAUGCUUUCCAAAGAGCUAGGAAGCCUGGAGCCACUCAUAUCCAUAACAGCAGCAAAGUACCUCAGCAUAAGUGGAAUCCCCCUCCGAAGAAUGUUGUCAAGGUUAACGUGGAUGCAGCCAUCAACAGCAAGAGUCAAAUGGCAGGCUUAGGAGCUGUAAUUAGAGACUCAAAGAACAAAUUUGUAGCUGCAGGCAUCAUGCAAACUGGUUUGAAGGAGCAUGUCAACUAUGCAGAAGCUGAAGCCAUUGUAUAGGGUUUAAAGCUAGCUAGAAGGGCAGCUCUUUCCACUUUGAUCAUAGAGUCAGAUUGCCUAGAAGUGGUUGAGUUAGUAAACAACAUAAAGAGCAACAAAACAGGACAAUGGUGGAUAAUUGAAGAGAUCCAGAACUAAAAAAGUGAGUUUUGUAAUGUAAUUAUCAAUCAUAUCCCUAGAACCUAUAAUGUUUGUGCUCAUUCCCUAACAAAACUUACUGUGGGAGCAAAUACGCCUGCUGUCUGGUUAGACCAUAUUCCAACAGAGGUGAUGAAUGUUCUGAUUUAGUGUUGUUUUUAAUGGAAAGGAUUACUUUCUUCAAAAAAAAAAAAAGAAUAAGAAGAAAGCAUAAUGCGACCCUCCAACAGCUUAAUCUAUGGAAUUAUCGUGUUUUGUAAGUUAGGGUCCAAUGGCGUUUUGGCACAUCAUAUGAUAGACCACUAUAUUGCGUUGCUUUACAAAAGAUUAAUAUUUUUAAAAUUAUUAGGUAAGUUUAGGCUCAGUGGCACUUUAACUCAUGAUAUGAUAGUCCAGGUUUUCGAGGACCACUAUAUUGUAUUGAUUUAAAAAAAAAUUAAUAUUUUUUAAUAUUAAUAUUCUAAAUUAUAUUCAGUUAAAAUAUUAAAUAUUAAAUACAUUCUUAAUAUUAAUAUUCUUAGACGAAAUUCUUUUGCUGGCUUAAGAAUAAAAUAUUAAAUAAUUUUAUUUUUCUUUUAUUGUGUAACGUGGACCCAAAAAAAAAAAGGAAAUGAAUUUAAUAAAACCUUCAUUCCGCCACCAUCCAUGUUAAUUGUUUCCAAAUUCCAACCUCCGUACUCUCUUGAGGAGUUUCCCAUUCAUCAAUUAUUAUUUUUUAUAAUCCAUACCAUCCUGAUAUAAUUAAACACCAUUAAUAAUGUACCAGCCUUUAAAUAGUAAUUAAUUUAUUUAUCUAAUUCACCAAAUGUUUUUUCCGGUACAUAUCUCCAUUGGUAUCAAGAAGAAGCAGAACCCAAACAAAUGUUUCUUGCAUCUUCAUAUUUGUGCAAAUUCAUCCUUUCAUUGAGAAUAACCAUUUCCAGGCAGCAGUUGGCAAUCAAUUCAUGCGCACGUCGAUGCUAUUCAUAGAUAUUAAAGACAAUGAUGAACCAAAGGUGAUAAAUCAUAAAUGCAUAAUUACCAAACCUCCAUCCUUCUCUCAUUAUGAUUUGAUUUUAAAUGAAUUAUUGCUUGGUAACAUUAUUUCCAACCAUUGCAAGCCCUUUUUUUUUUUUGGGAGAAAUUUCAAUUGAAAGUGAAACCUUUAGACAUUUACCUAAUGAAGUUAGUUAAUCGGGAGGGUGGAAAAAAAAAAGGUUGACGCAAGUCAAUACACAAUAAUUAAUUAAAUCCGGAGUGACUAAAACAGAGCCACGACUUUUUCAAAAAUAUCUGCAUUCAUCACUUUCUCCUCGUUUGUUGUCAUCCAAAAUUAUUCACCAAUACCAUGGCUGAUGCAAUCGUUUCCACUAUCUUGGAGCAGCUGAUUUCCUUCGCUGCUGAAGAGAUAAAACAACAGGUGAUCGAAGUUACACCCCUCAUAUUACAAAUACUUCCAAUGAUUUUAAUUGGUUUUGUUUUUAUCAAAAACAUUAUAUAUUUUUGCUUUAUUUUAUUUAUCUGGUAAUUUUAGAUUUUGAAAUUUGAAUUGAAUUUAAUUAAAAGGUCAUGUAGUAACCACUUAUUUUUAUUUUAUUUCAUUUAUAUUCUCAAUAACUAACCAUAUUUUGGUAACUUAAUAUAACUCUCGUACAUAAGAAAUGAUCAAAACCCACAAUUUUAACUCUGUAUAAAUAUUCAACGUUGAGUCAUUAAUUCUCAACUCAGCACUGAAUCCCAAAGCUAUUACUUAGACUCUAUGAAAAAAUUCAUAGUUUUCUUACAUUCUUUGAGUUUGGUAAGUGAUUUCGUAUAAUUUCUUUUCAAGUUAAAUUUUAAUUUGGUUUAUGAUAUAGUCUCUGUGCCGAAUUGUAUCUUUUAUGAUUCUUGGAUUUUGGGCUCCAACUUUUUAGGAUUUGAUAGUCAUAUUUUAUGCCAUGCUCAGAUUGAUUUUCAUGAUUUUUAGUAGCCGUUAAGUGACUUACAAUUUGACGAAAGUUUGAAAGGAAAAAUGUUUCAGGAUUAUGUUUUAAUUGACCUUUUAGUAGAAAUAGGAUGCUUAUAACUUAAUGUGGAUGGUUCGUAAAAUCAUGAAAUUUGGAUAGGAUUCACUAGAAAUAUGUACAAGACUCUCCAUAAAGUUUCAUAAUUUUUCAUUCGGUAUGGGGUGGCACAGGUGAAACUUGUGUUUGGUGUUGAAAAAGAAGUGAAAAGCCUUACCAGCCACCUUCAAGCCAUUCAAGUUGUGCUCGAUGAUGCAGAGGAAAAGCAAGUGAAGGACAAAGCUGUUAGUCUUUGGCUGGGUAGGCUCAAGUACGCAUCCUACGACAUUGAAGAUGUGUUGGAUGAGUGGAUCACAGCAAGACGCAAAUUGCAAAUUGAGGGUGGCGUUGAUGAAAAUGCUCUUGUUGUUCCUCAUAAGAAAAAGAAGGUAUGUCUCUGCUUUCCCAGCUCUUGUUUUGGAUUCAAACAAGAAGAAUUUGGUUUCAAACAAGUCUUUCUCCGUCAUGACAUUGCCGACAAGAUCAAAGAAAUCAAUGAAGAGCUACAUGAUAUUGCCGCUCAAAAAGACAUGUUUGAUCUUGUUAAGAGUGGCAAUAAAAGUAGUGAAAGACCAAGGCGUGUACAGAGUACCUCCUUGAUUGAUGAGGAAGAGAUUUGUGGUAGAGUUGGUGAGAGGAAUGAACUCAUAAGCAAGCUGUUGCGUGAGAGUAGCGAGCAACAAAAAGGCCUCCAUAUCAUCUCAAUUGUUGGUAUGGGAGGCAUAGGGAAAACUACUCUUGCACAACUAGCUUGUAAUCAUGACGAGGUGAAGAGAAAGUUCGACAAAAUUCUGUGGGUGUGUGUAUCAGAAACUUUUGAGGAGUUUAGGGUAGCCAAAGCGAUCGUUGAAGUUUUGGAUGGUCGUGAAUCUCAUUUAGCUGAAUUCCAUUCUCUUCUUCAACAUAUUUAUGAAUCAAUUGCAGGGAAGAGCUUUCUUCUUGUCUUAGAUGAUGUGUGGGAUGGAAAUUACUUGAAAUGGGAACCAUUCUACCGUUGUCUAAAGAAUGGUCUCCAUGGAAGUAAAAUUUUAGUUACCACACGCAAAGGGUCAGUCGCAUCCAUGAUGGGAUCCACAGAUAUUAUCUCUGUCAAGGAGUUAGCUGAAGAGGAAUGUUGGUUGUUGUUUAAAAAGAUAGCAUUUUUUGAUCGGUCCAUCGAGGAACGUGAAAAAUUAGAACAAAUUGGGCAAAGAAUUGCAGGCAAGUGCAAAGGUUUACCUCUUGCAGCAAAGACAAUAGGGAGUCUCAUGCGUUCUAAACAAACUGAAGAAGAGUGGAAAAGAAUUUUAAAUAGUGAUUUAUGGAAAGUAGAAGAGAUUGAGAAAGAUGUUUUGUCCUCUUUAUUGUUGAGUUAUAAUGAUUUGCCAUCUAGAGUAAAAAGAUGUUUUUCAUAUUGUGCUGUCUUUCCAAAAGACUACGAUAUAAAAAAAGACGAACUAAUCACAUUAUGGAUGGCUCAAGGUUAUCUUAGUGCAGAACAAGAUGAAGAGAUGGAGACAAUAGGUGAAGAGUAUUUUGGCAUCUUAGCUUCUCGCUCGUUUUUUCAAGAGUUUAAGAAAAGUUAUGAUAAUCGGAUUAUAGCGUGUAAGAUGCAUGAUAUGGUACAUGAUUUUGCCCGAUUUGUAAGUCAAAAUGAAUGUUUUUCGAUGGCAAUUAAUGGUAGUGAAGAACCAAACGCCACAAACUCUCUUGAUGAAAAGGUCUGUCAUUUAAUGUUAAUCUUUAGUAAAGGGGCUUCAUUACCUGUUUCCACUCGUAGAGUUAAAAGAAUGCGUACCCUCUUAAUUAGCGCUAGUGGAUCUGAUCAUUCAUCAUUAAAUGCUGAGAUCGUAGAAGAAUUAUUUAGGGAAUCGACAAGUUUAAGGGCAUUAGAUGUUAGCCAGGUGUCUUUGCCUACAGAGAUUUUAAGAAAUAUAAAAAAGCUGGUACAUUUAAGAUACCUUAAUUUGCGUUUUCCGAAAAUAGUGAAACUACCGGAGACAUUGUGCGAGUUAUAUAAUCUAGAAAAGUUAGAUAUUAGUUAUUGUUUUAAUCUUAAAGAAUUACCUGAAGGGAUUGGGAAGUUAAUAAACAUGAAGCAUUUACUAAAUAGAGGUACUAAUUCUUUAAGGUACAUGCCAGUAGGGAUUGGGAGAUUAACGGGUCUUAGGACCUUGGGUGAGUUCCGCGUGAGUGCAGGAGGAGAUGUUGAUGGUAGGAAAGCAUGUAGGCUUGAAUCUCUUAAAAACUUGGAACACCUUCAAGUAUGUGGUAUACGUAGACUGGGUGAUGUAUCAGAUGUGGGCGAGGCUAAGCGAUUAGAACUUGACAAAAAGAAAUACCUCUCUUGUUUGAGACUUCGGUUUGAUAAGAAGAAAGAAGGAGGAGAAAGGAGGAAGAACGAAGACGAUCAACUACUUCUUGAAGCCCUGCGACCAUCUCUGGAUUUAAAGGAAUUAGAGAUACAGUUCAACCGAGGCAACACUGUUUUCCCCAGCUGGAUGACGUCAUUAACCAACUUAAAGAGUUUAGGUCUCUCUUUGUGCGAAAAUUGCGAGCAGUUGCCUCCUUUGGGAAAAUUGCCAUCCCUCGAACAGCUCUUCAUAUCGUACAUGUCGAGUGUGAAAAGAGUGGGUGAUGAAUUUCUGGGGGUAGAAAGUGAUCGUCAUGACUCAUCGUCAUCUUCAUUAGUUAUUAUUGCCUUCCCCAAAUUGAAAUCACUUAGAAUUGAGGGAUUGAUGGAAUUGGAGGAGUGGGAUUAUGGGAUUACAAGAACGGGAAACACCGUCAUCAACAUCAUGCCCCAUCUUUCUUCCUUGGUAAUUGAUAGUUGCUACGAAUUAAAGGCACUGCCCGAUCACAUUCAUCAAACGACGACAUUGAAGCGAUUGUGGAUUUUGAAUUGUGGGCCUCUGGGAGAACGUUACCGCACGGGGGAAGGAGAAGACUGGCCUAAUAUAUCACACAUUCCCAACAUACAUAUUCGUUAAGAAGGAUUUGCGCAUUUGAGAUUUGGCGUUGACAAGUAAUUUCUUCUCUUACUCUGAUUUGCUUUUGUUGUUGUUUUUAAUCUAGUUAAGAAGUGUAAAUAGCAUUUUGAAUCAAACUCUAUAUCAGAAAUCUGCAAUACAUACUUUCUAAUAUUCUGAUUUUCAUAUCCUAUGAAUAUACGAUUUUUAAUUUGUGAGAUGGGUAACGUUACUGUAAAAGAUUAUUAAUGCAAUAUGAGUAAUUCUUUUGCAGGACAAGUGACCUACAUUUAGUUUGGCUUUGGAGUUGAAUAAUAACCUUUCGAGGUCCCGACAAACAAAAAACGAAGCUUAAUUUGCCACAGAUUGCACGUAUUGCCAUUAUUGACAAUUUUCUGCACAAGUGAUCGAGGGUGAGGUCCUGUCCUGAAUAAAGCUCUCGUGACUGAACUUAGGUUGAUGUCAAAAGAGGUAAAUUAUCGGCAUGCCUGACUAUUUUGACCAUUACAUGAUUCAUAAAUUGAGUGAUUACUUUUCAAGGUUUGCUUACUUAACCGGGUGACCAAUUUCUUGUAACUAAAUGUAUGAUAUGAAAUGAGAAGCUUAUUAGUGGAAGGAUUGCCUGUAACAGAACCCAAAGAAAAUGAAACCAUUUCAAGGCAGCAGCCGGCAGUUGGGAGUGAAUGGAGGGCCUUCACAAAAUUCUCAAGCAGUUGCAAUGCAAUUACGAUCAUCCUCAGCCUCAGGUAAUUUCUUCUCCUGCUUUGUUUUUAUUUGUUACCUAAUUAAGAAGCAUUAUUUGUUUUUAUUUGUUACCUAAUUGAAGGACAAGUGCUGAAGAGUGGGAAUGGUGCUAUAUUGGGGAAUAAUGCAGGAGGAGGUAAAUUAUUGGGAGUUUCUUCAACCUUGUUUUCUUUGAACCAGCGCCUGAUCCACAAGACUCCGUUAAUUUGGCUUUUGAUCGGCUGAUUGAUAAAUUUUCAAUUUCUUUUGUGAUAAAUGUAUAUGUGAAGCAGGCAGCAGGACAUGACUGUGGAAAAGAGAAGAUCUUAGUGAAAGCUGAGACUCAGAUAUUUCUACAAAGUAUGUGUUUUGGCUGAUUUAUCUAAUUCAUGAAAUUUUAUUUCCAUCUGUUACAAGAUCAAACUGAAGCAGAACUCAAAGAAAAGUAUUCUACUUCUUACGGCAAUCUUGCCUUCGUUCAGAUUAUGGAACCAUUUCCAUGCAGCAAAUUCAUCCAAAAGUUUGAAUAAGUUUCAUGGUUGGACACUGUUGGCUUCUUUUUCUUUUGGGGUGCAUUUAGGUGCUAUCAAGUGACAGCCGUAAGUAUGAUUGCACUAAGCUGCUGCUGGGAAAUUCGAGGUUUUGAUGGCUGCCCACGUUAUUGUCAAGAAACUCCUCAUGUAAGAAGUUGUAGUUCUUUUCAUCAGCUUGAACCUAAAACUGUCGCUAUUGAUAACUCAGGUUUUUGUUAUCAACUAUAUCAUCUUUUUCACUGUUUUGAAACUCUUUAAGAUUAAACUUCAGUAAAGUUCUUUCAGUUAUCCACAUAAUCAGGCUGAGGAUACUUUAGUAAAGUUGCUUCAGCUAUUCAAAUGAAAAAUCUCAUUGAUUUGAGACUUCCUUCAUUAUUGUUUUUGAUUAAAAUGCUAAGGGUCCAGAUAAAAUAAUAUUUAAUUGGUGGAAGGUGUCCCUUGGAAGUACAUCAUGAUUAGCUGUUGUGCUAAUCAUGCCAAUGCAUAAUUCGGCCCCUAAUGUGGGUACUCUGUUACAUUGUUCUGCAAAUUCUCCAAAAAAGUUAAAUCAAUAAAUUUUGUAUUAGCUAGAUUAGCUCUAGGUUGUGAGGAGUCUGUCAUAUGGGAGAACCCAUUUCCAGAAAAUAUCUGGUAUUUGUUCCAGUCUUCUAAUGAAUGAAAGUUAUGAUUCCUUUUCAAAAAAAAAAAAGAAUUUUGUAUUAGUUCUAGUGCGUUGACCUAAAUGCUAUUCUAUAUUUUAGUGCCUUAAUUCUAGAACCUUGGCUCCUGCCAGAGCAUGCGGAGAUAAUGGUAGGGAGAGUGUUUGUGUAUUUUAACCAUGAUAAAGCUAAUGUUCCCAAUGAUUUCUGCUGGUGAGACUUGUGAAGAGGGUGAAUGAGGCAACUGCUAAUAUUCCUGGGUGGGAUACAGUAACUAGAGGCUGAGAUCAGGUGGUGGAAUUUUUUGUUUGAUCGAUGAUACCAGAAUUGUCCACAAAAAGUUUGUUGAUACAAAUUACAGGUGAUAGAAAGAGGUAUAGGUGGAGAAGAGAAAUCUGCGAGUCAAAUUAGGGAUAAUUGAUUUGCUGAUGCAAGUUACAUUGAAUAAUAAUAAUAACAAUUGCAUGAAGAUCCCUUAUUAAUCUUGUGUUCUCCUAUCUUUUACAUUCAGCUGGUAUACUUAAGCCUUGCUUGUGGAAUGUUUUAACCUUUAAAUUCACUACCCCUGGAUGUUGGAUUUUCUAGAACUUCAAAAUGAUUAAUGGAGAAAGAUCCCAUUAUCGAUAUCGCUAUAAGAAAUUUUAUUUAUACUUCCAAAGAUACAUUAUAUAUUUAUGUGUAUCUCUUUAUACAUGACAUUUAAGCAUCCAUAAACUGUCAGACAGAGGAAGGGGGUUGAGUGUAAAGAUUCUGUUGACCUAGGGGUUGCCUGCUUAAUGUCACUUGUUAGUGAUCUAUUAUUUAUUUCAUAUUUUGAAGAAUUUAAAGGGCAAUCCUGCUUGUUUGUGUUGUUAUCUCCUUCUAACUUACGGUCGUACCUAAAGAGCAUAGUUUCAUAUGUGUUACCCUGAGAUGUACAGAAUUUCACAUUUGCCUCAGAUUAAGCUUAAUUUCCCACAGAAUAGAGCUGUUGUGACUGAACUUAGGUUGAUGUCAAAAGAGGUAAAUUAUUGGCAUGCCUAGAUAAUUUGACCAUUUCCUAAUUCAUAAGUCUACAUUAAUUUUGAUUUUGAGUUGACUGAUUUCUUUUCAAGGUCUGCUUACUUAACGGAGUGACCAAUGUUUUUCAACUAAAUUUAUCAUAUGAUGCAGGAAGCAGGGCAGGAUAUGAAAUGAGAAGCUCAUUGGUGGAAGUAUUGCCUGUAACAGAACCCAAAGAAAAUGAAACUAUUUCAAGGCAGCAGUUGGCAGUUGCAAGUGAAUGGAGGCCCUUGCCAAAAUUCUCAAGCGGUUGCAAUGCAAUUACGAUCAUCCUCAGCCUCAGGUAAUUUCUUCUCCUGCUUUGUUUUUAUUUGUUCUCUAAUUAGGAAGCAUAAAGUAUCUUGAAUCAUUUUCUGUAUCUGGAAUAUAUGCAAGAGUUUCUAAAAUUUUGAUAUGAGUGUAAUGAUGGUAAUUUCUGUUUUCUGUCUGUCAUCAAAUGUUAGAAAACUUUCAUUGAGACCCUUGAACCGAGUCAUUUUUGACAAGUGAAGUGCUGAAGAGUGAGGAGUAAGAAUGGUGCUAGAUUGGGGAAUAAAGCAAAAGGAGGUAAAUUAUUGGCAGCUUCUUCAGCCUUAUUUUCUUUGGACCAGUGCCUAAUUCACAAGUCUCCGUAAUUUGGCUUUUGACCAGUUGAUAGAUAAAAUUUUAAUUUCAUUGGUGCUAAUGUACCCGUGAAGCAGGCAGAGAAGGACUGUGGAAAAGAGAAGGUUUUUAGUGAAAGCUUAAACUCAGGUAAUUCUAAAAAUUAUAUGUUUUGGCUGAUUUAUCUAAUCAGGAAAUUUUAUUUCCAUCUGUUACAAUAAAACAGAAACAGAACACAAAGAAAAAUAGUCUACCUCUUGUGGCAAUCUUGCCUUCAUUCAGACUAUGAAACCAUUUCCUUUCACCAAUUUCUUCCAAAAGUUUGAACACGUUUCAUGGUUGGACAUAGUUAGCUUCUUUCUCUUUUGGUGCAUUUAGGUGCUAUCAAGUGACAGCCAUAAGUAUGAUUGCAUUAUUGGGAAAUUUUAGGUUUUGAUGGCUCCCCAUGUUAUUGCCAAGAAAUUUUAAGUCCUCAUGUCAGAAGCUGCGUUUCUUUUCAUCAGCCUGAACCCGAACCUGUCACUAUGGAUAACUGAGGUUUUUGUCAUCAACUAUAUCAUCUUUUUCACUGUUUUGAAACUGUUAAGAUUAAACUUCAGUAAAGUUGUUUCAGUUAUCCAUGUAAUCAGGCUAAGGAUAUUUAGCAGCUUAUUUAGGCAACUGCCAGAAUUUAGUUUGUUCGCUCGAAACUUGUAUGGUGACAAGGAUACUGGCAAGGAUAGUGAGAUAGUUUUUUGUGUGAGUGAAUUUUGAAAGCUUGGGUGUUCUGGGAUUUGCAAUUGCAAUCAUCCUCUGCUUUAGGUGAUUUCUUCUCCUGUUCUGUCUUUAUUUUCUCUCUAAUUGAAAGCAUUUCAAUCAAAUUCUGUACCAGGAAUACGAAAAAUUUACUAAUAUUUUAUUUCCAUCUGUUUGCAUUGAUAACUUGGCCGCAUAUGUACUAGUUAAAGAACAAACAGAAGCAGAGUUCAGGAAAAAGUUUCUUCGGCCACCAUAUUUGAAAAUGAAACCAAUUCCAGGAAGCAGUUGGCAGCAAAUUCAUACAAAGUAUAGACAAUGAUGUGCAAAAAGGUGAUUCGCAAUUUCAUUUUUUUAAAAUGAAAUUAUUUGUUAAGUUGGAGCUGAUAUUGUUAGAAGGCCAUUGAGCUAACCUAUGACACUGCUUGCCUAGAUUGCAGGAGGUCAAGGCUCAAAAGAUGCACUGAAUUUUAAAAGGCAUGCAAUAAUUCUUAUGGCCAUUUGUCAAUGGUGGAAUGCUUUUAGCUUCUUUUCCUUUCGUGCAUUUUGGGGUUCUAUCAAGCGACAGCCGUAUGUAUGGAUGGAUAUAGCUGCUGCGUUGAUUUCUAAUGCGGUGGAGUAAUCGUCGUUAGAAUCUGAAUGAUAUGUCUAAGACGUUGCAUGCAUCAAGAAAAUUGCAGAUGAUUAAACCUUGCCAUCUAUGCGUUGUAUGAGGUUAUAGCAACUAUCUAUCUGGUCACCGUUUUAAAAGAAUAAGACAAAGGGAAAAAGAGAAAGAAAAGAAUGAUUCGACAAUGGCAUUAAAGUUCAACAUACCCCAAGAUCUUGUAAUAAUGCCAUUAAUCAUUUCUAGCUAGGCUAGCCUUAGAGAAAAGUGAAACUGUUGCACAGGUAGAAUCACACCCCUCAGAGAUAAUGUGUUUUUAUUCAGCUCUUCGAAUGAAUGAAGUUUAUUUUCUCGUCAAAAAAAAAACUGCUCGUUCCGCUGGUUUCAUACAAUGUCAACUAGAAACAUCAUACUUUCGUAUAAGUUCAUUAUUGUUUCUUGGAAAUAUCAGAAUAUUUCUUAGAGUUUGUAUAAAAUGAAAAGAUUUUAAAAUAUAAAUUUAAUAUUUGUUUAUUACCGUUGUUUGGUCUAAUUUCCUCGGGAGAAUUUUCAGAAUUUAUAGGACAUUAGUUUAUAAUUUGCGCAUUGACAUAUAUCUUAUUUUAUCAUUUUGAAUGAAUUGCACGGCGAGGCUUAUCAACUUUGGAUGAAUCCUCCAAUUGUCGCAGUCCAAGACUGGCUGCAGUGAGUGAAAAUUUACCCAUAUAUAUGCUGGCUAUUUUUAUUGGCGACGAAUUCGUUGUAGUUGGUCCAUCUUGCUAUUCUCGGACAAUAUUAGAGAAAAUAAUCAUAUUAUUUCGCGUGAUGUGACCUUCCAUAACUUAUCAAUUGAAUUACUGUAAAAUUAUUGUGUAAGUUUAGGCCCAAUGGCACUUUAGUUCGAUAGCCUGGAUUUAAAAGGAAAACUAUAUUGCAUUGCUUCAAAAAAAAAAAAUUAAUGUUUUUAAUAUGAAUAUUCUUAACUAUAUUCAGUUAAAAUAAUAUAUUCUUAAUAUUAAUAUUCAUAGAUGAAAUUCUUUUGUGGAUUUAAGAAUAAAAUAUCAAAUAGUUUUAUUUUUCUUUUGUUGUGUAACUUGGACCGAAAAAGAAAAUGAGCUUAACAUGACCCUCCUUCCGGCACUAUGCAUGUUUUUCUUUUAUUGAUGACAGUGCUCUUGGUGCUUCUCAUCUGCUUCUUGCUUUGGUUUCAAACAAGUCUUUCUCCGUCGAGACAUUUAUUGUAAUUUGAUUUGGAGACAUCUGUCGUUCAAAUAUAUUUCAUAUGCAAGCUGUUGAUAAUUCUGCUUGAGAAAGCCUACAAAGCAGCUGUGUGAUGUAAUAGAAGACUAUAUAUGCAAACGGUCAUCAGUUUCUCUUGAAUUCUUUCUUGAGUUUCUUUGAAUUAUUUGUGAAUGAGUUCUUAAUCGGCUGCUGCUCUUCAGGAAAAGGAAAGUGUUGCAAACUGGUGAAGCUGAUCGAUAAAAGCAAUGUACCAUCUUUGCUGGCAUGGAUCGAUGCCAGUGAGUUUUUUUAUUUGUCAACCUUUUUAAUAAUGCAUAUGUUUUUCUUCAACUUGAAGCGGCAUAUAAGACGAAAGAAGUGAUCUUUAAAGCAUUCUAUGGCAUUAUCCUUUCCUAUUAUAUAUAUCCAAUUGCUCCAAAUUAUUUGUAAAUUACUGAACACGAAUGCUGAUGAAUAAACUGAUGGCUCUAUGUAUGUAUGCACAUGCAUGGAGAAAUUUUAAGUCAGACAUUCUCAUAUAUAACUCGUGGGACCAAAUCAUUAAAUAAUCUUGAAAUCAAAGUAAUAAUUAAAUACAAAUAAAUUGCUCGAAUUGUACAUAUAUCUGAAUCAUGUAGUGAAGAAAAUACAACAACAACAACCAAUGGCUCAAAUUCCCCAUCAACUUCUAGUCUCAACACUUUUGAGUGUCAGAAGCAUUACUCUGCUACCAGUUAACAAACAUAUAAUUAGUAAUUUGCCAUUCACUUCCCUUUUAGGCCUAACACAUUUUCUAUAAAGGAGCCACAGAGUGAACUCAGCAGGAAACACUCAAUUUCAACCUACGUAGGACCAGGAAUUUCAACAAAAAAAAAAGUGUGCAAUUGCUUAUCCUAUCCUAUUGCUACUAGAAAGAAAGUGAACAAUUAAUUUCAGUGAAUAAAUUAAAAAAAAUUACUUCUGCAGAUACUCAAGCUAAGAACACAUUAACCCAUUAAAGACUCCAAAUUGCAUCAAACAAAUUGUUGUUAAACAAGUAAAACAAAGAAAGAGAGUUAAGGAAGCUGACCUAGUAGUAGGGGAGCUGAAGAAAGACUGCCAGUGAAUGUAAGAGAAAAUAAAAUGCAAGAAAUGGUGAAGUGCAGCUUUUCAUGUCAACUUGAAAUUGUUUCUUCUGUUUUUUGUAAUCUUUUGGAUUUUUCAAACAAAGAAAAUGAGGAGCAACCAGGGAGAUAAAAAGGGCGCCAAGGCAACUGUGUGUUGGGUUUAGAGCCAAAAAAAAAAAAGAAUAAGACAUCGUGUUCUUGUGGAGACCAGACCUAUUACGUAUAGGGAUGGCAAUGGGGCGGGGUGGGGGUGGGGAUGCCUACCCCAUUCCCCACCCCAUUAAAAAUUUUUGCCUCCAUUCCCCACCCCAUUCCCCAAUAAAUUUAGUGGGUUGGGGAUGGGGAAUCCCCACGUGGGGAAUGAUUCUCCCAUCCCCACCCCAUUCCCCAUUUACAUAUUUUAUAGUAGAUAUAAAAAUAUGAUUUCAGUAAAUUAAAAAUUAGAGACUUAAGAUAAAAUCAUCACAAUAUUAUAAAGUAUUUAAUUUUAAAAAAAAAUCUCUAAAAAUUUGAAACAAUAUCUUAAAAUGAUAUUAAAAGUGAAAAAUAUUUAAAGAAAGCAGCACCUUAAAAGAGAAAAGAAAAUAUAUUAAUGUUUUAAAGUUGAAAAAUAUUGUAGAAUUUUCUUUUAUUCAUAUUCUAUUUAUAUUACAUAAAAAUUAAAAAAAAUUAUUAAUUGACAUUAUAGUUGAUAAAAUAUAAAUUAUUAAAUAAGAAUUAAAAACAUAUUUAUAUAUAAUGGGGAUUGGGGUGGGAGUGGGGUGGGGAGUGCAAUACCAAACCCCACCCCGUUAACAAUUUGGGGAUUAUUUUUUCCCCACUCCCCACCCCAUUCCCCAAAAAUUAUUAAAAAAUUUCCCCAUUUGGGGUGGGGCUCCAUGGGGCCCCAAACCCGUGGAGGAUUUUGCCAUCCCUAAUUACGUAACGUCCCCUUCAAUACCACUUGUUCCGUAUCUGGUUUUUUCUUCGUCUUUUACAUAUUUAUCCUGUGAUUUUACAAUAACUAAAUAAUCCCCGCAUAGUUUGCAAUUUUAUUCAUUUGGGCCCUACAGAUUUCAGUAAUAGGAAUUAUUAAGGGACAAGAGCGCAAAACAGAAACUCUGUCCACUACUGAUGAUAUAACAACGAACCUUUGUAGUUUCUGCCUGUUAAUAUGAAUUGAUCAGGAGUGUUUCCUCACUUACAAAUUACGAAUUUACAAAAUAUGUAUGUAAGUAUGUGUGUACGUACGUGUGUAUGUAUGUACAUAUAUGCAUACACCUAUGUAACAUUUACUUAUACAUUCUUUUGAGUUUAAAUCUUAAUACACAUUUUCAUGAAAUUUUUAUUUUAUUAAGUAUACAACUACAUACAACUACAUUAAUGUAUAUAUUUUUUAUAUAAGACAUGCCGUCCUAUUAUUCAUAAGUAAACAAUGUGUUGUAAAUAGUAUUCUGUGUUUUCUCAAAGUUGACUUUUCGUCUUUUAUUUUCAGACGCAGACGCUAUGUCAUUUUGUAAUCUUCAAAACAUAUGCAGAGCAGAAUUGGUGUUAUAUGAUUUUGUGAUGCAAUAAGAUUUGCACUUCCUGUGCACUCAAUGGAAUCAUUUCUUUGUAACUAAUUGGGUGGUGGAAUGGUGGUCAAAUAUCGAACGAAGACAGAUCUAUCAAACUCCAGAAACAGGGAAACCAUGCCACGCUAGUAGACAAUAUGCUAGUAUGAACAAACUUGUUUGAAUGGCAAAAACGACAUGACCUGCUGUAGUAUUAGUUCUUUCCCGAACCAAAGGGUGAUUUGCUACGUUAGAUCAUGAAAAUUGAAAAAAAAAAUUAACCAAAAUAAAAAUUCUUACGGUAAGAAUAAAAAUUCUUAAGGAAUUAGUUAGUUAAUUGAUUGAUCGAAUUUAAUCUAAAUUGGAAAAUGAUAAGAUAAUUUUGAAUUUUUUAUUAUAAUUAUUAUUUUAAAGUGGGGUGGGUUUAUACAAUUUGAGGCUUUGAGCGGUGUAAAUAUCACUGCUGAAUUAUUAAAUAUACAGUGUAAAAUUUUGACCUUUAAAAUAUUCCUUUUUUUCAUUUAGCACUAUAAGUUUAAAAAUUUAACAUUUUACCUCAAUAAUUAAAUACUUUUAACUUUAAUCUUCAAAUAUUUACCCUACAACAUUCGGACCUAAAUUUUUAAUCCGACUCGGCCCCUGACCCAAGUGGGAAGAAGAUCAGGCUUAUAAGUUAUAACUAUCACCAACAUAACAUCUUCUGGAAAAUAAUAAGAUUACUCACCUGCAAUUAUGUGAUCAAACUAAUGGUAAGCAAAAUAGAACAGCGUUAUUUCAGUCCCCUUUCAGUUUCUUUAUCAUUUUUCUUUUCCUAUUUAUAAGCUUAAUUCGGUCCAAUAUCGGCUAAUUCACUUUGAUUUCACUUUUCUUUCUUUCGGUUCAAAAAAAUUGAACCCAUUGGCUGUCAAUUCAAUUUUGUUGAAAACCAACUUUGCCUGAAUUUGAGUAAUAAUAGAGGAAAAAAAAAGUGUACUUAGCAGAAGAGAUUUCUCAUUUUUUUCUCAUUCAAACUUCUAAAAUAAAGGGAAAAAAAAAACAAGAGUAAUUGUUAAUUAUCAAAAAUUUGUUUAUACUAUUCCACCAAGAAAAUUAUAAAAAAAAAAUUUAAAAAUUGGAGAAGAAAUAUGAGGUGAAAUACGUGGAUGGCUUAGACUAAUAAUGUGAACAAAUUCCUCUCGGAAACAUGUCAUUGUUCAUCCGGACAACACGCGGCAAUGAGAUUCAAGAAUUAAAUGAUAGGAAUCAACUGUAACCUCAUAAACAAAUGGCCUUGGAGUUGUAAACACCAAGCUCGGCAGAUUAAUUAAACAAGAAUAUCCGAAUUUUCUAUGAUAAUCUCUAGGAAACGAUCAGCUAUAAUAUACGAAAUUAAAAUAUUGCAUAUAUUUUUGAACUCAUGCAUUAAUUUCAAAAAUUAUAUCGUAUUAUAAUUUAUUCACAAAAGAAAGAAAAAUUCACUAAUCAAUUGAAUAAAUAUAAGUAUUUCAUCCAGUGUAAUACUUAUAUCAAUUGAAUAAAUAUAAGAAAAAUCACCAAAAUUCACUAAUCAAUUGGAUAAAUAUAAGUAUUUCUUCCAGUGUAAUUUUUGUUUAAUAGAAAAUCUAUUUGAGAUUUUGUGAGAAGAAACUCAACAAUAAAGUGUGAUAGACUUUGUGGGUAUUAAGAGUUUGACAAGUAUUUGAAAUCUGAAGUUUACGAGCAAACAAACUGAAAUCCGAAGUUUACUGAAGUUUACUAUCAAGAGUUUCAAAACAGUGAAAAAGAUGAUAUAGUUGAUGACAAAAACCUGAGUUAUCCAUAGCGACAAGUAACAUACUGAAGUAAGCCGUUGGGAGCUGGCCUGUUCAUGGGCUAUUUUUCUCUGAUGAUCUGCAUUUUUCUUCCUUUUAAGUGAACCUUGACUCGUAUCAAACCUGUCAAAAGAACAGUUCAUCAACUGAGCUGAGAUUUGCUUUCCUUUUUCAAAACCCACCUGAGAUAUUGUAAUUCCCAAAUUUCUCUCUCUCAGCUACACGAGCAAGCAGCCGCUUUUUCACUUCAUCGAAGAAGGUAAGCGAUAUAUCUAUUUCGUCCGAUUGAUUUCUUGUUUCCUUUUCAGUGUUCCGGUAAAUUAUUGGCAUGCCUGACUUUUUGACCAUUACACGAUUCAUAAAUUUAUAUUAAUUUUGAUUUUGAGUUGACCGUUUACUUUUACAGGUUUGCUUACUUUGACUAGGUGACCAAUUUCUUGUAACUAAAUUUAUGACGUGGGCAGGAUAUGAAAUGAGAAUCUUAUUAGUGGAAGGAUUGCCAGUAACAGAACCCAAAGAAAAUGAAACCAUUUCAAGGCAGCAGUUGGCAGUUGGCAGUGAAUGGAGGCCCCUGACAAAACUUCAGUAAACUUCAGAUUUCAGUUUGUUUGCCCGAAAAUUGCAUGGUGACAAGGAUACUGGCAAGGAUAAUGAGAUAGUUUUUGUGUGAAUGAAAUUACGAUCAUCCUCAGCCUCGGGUAAUUUCUUCUCCUGCUUAGUUGUUAUUUGUUACCUAAUUAAGAAGCAUAAAGUAUCUUGAAUCAUUUUCGUUGUCCGGAAUAUAUGCAACAGUUUUUUACGAUCAUCCUGAAUGACUACUAGAGACAGUCAAGCUAAUGACUAUAAAUUAAGCGCUUCUUGGGAGGUAACCCAAGCUUUCUAAACUUUAUUAUUGUCAAUUUUUUUUCAUAUUUUUUUCUUUUCUUUUACUUAUUUUAUUUUGUUUUAUCUAGAUUUUGCACGAGUUCGAGGGUCGAUGAACAUCAACUUUCCACAUGUCUUUCAACGGCUUAGCUACAACUUUACAUCUUCAAGUGCAAAACCGGGGGAGUUUCUCUUUUCCUUUUCUUUUUCUUUACAUUGAGGACAAUGUUUAUUUUAAGUUUGGGGGUGGGAAUAUUUGCUUUUCAUUUUUUUCCCAAAAAAAAAAGAUUUUAAUGCCUAUGAUGAGUUUAUGAUUGAAAAUGAAUAUGGUUCUUAGAAAGGGAUGAAUAUUAUCUUAGUUUAUACUUGAUUCUUGUGUUAGUUUCGUCUUGAUUGAGAUUCUUUAAAGCGAUUCUUUUAGAAUUUUGACUUGAGAUUUGAGAUUGAUACAGCCUAAGUUGAGAAUUUUAGAUUGAGUAAAUGAUUGUUUGCCUCGAUUCUACAUUACUUAAGUUUACCCAGGCACCAUAGUCAGAAAUAGCUACCUACAACCCUUAAGAGUGAAGCUAUCCUCGAGUAAUUUGGGCCUAUGUAUCACCAGUAUGUAGAGGAUAAUCUACCAUGAGAAGAAGGUUACCUUAAGGGGUAGAGUGAAAGCUCCUGACUAUGGACAAAGAAAUGAAAAAAAAAAAGAAAAAAAAAAGAGCACGAGCUUCAAGAAAAAUCAAAAGAAAAUGCUAAUUUAUGCCUGAGAAAAAAAAAAAAAGAUCAAGAUGAUGAGGUUAGUUUGACCUACCCUGUUUAUUAUUCGAGACAAGGGCUGUUGAUGUUGAAGAUCUUGAGAAUGAGUUUUGAUUGAAUUGAUUCACACACAACACAUGAAUCCAAUAUGAGAUGAGGCUGACCAUUGAAUUAAAGUUAGAACUUUGCUAGUAUUUUUAAUUUUCUUUGAGCUAUAUACUUUAUGCAAUCUUUGAGGCAUUUUUUAUGAUGUUUGUGGGUAUCAUCGCUGGAAACCCUCACGAGACUAUAACUCGUCCACUAGGGCCGCCUAGGGGUUUAAAGGCUUGUUGCAUACGCUAAAUGCAAUCGCGAUCACCUGCGAAAGUGGUUUAGUUAGAAUUUUCUUUUCGUAGUUUUUAUUUUAGUUUUUGCUCGAGGACUAGCAAAAUGUUAAGUUUGGGGGUAUUUGAUGUGCUCAUAAUUUAUCUAUUAUUUUAAUGCUUCCAUAACUUAAUUUUAUGUUAAAUUAUAUUUUAUUAUAUUAAUUUUUAUCUUAAUUUUUAUAUUUUGUCAUUGUAGGAAUAUUGAGAAUAUUCAUGAGAAAAGAAGCUUAAAGAGGAAACAAGUUGGAGUAUAAUGGAAAUAAUGUGGAAGCAAGAGGGAAAGAAAUAAAAAGCCAAAUCAAAGAAAAUUUAAUUUAAGCAUCAUGCAUGCAGUCACGUGAUGAAUAAAGGAAGAGAAGAAAAGGUCAAUAGGCUUUUAAUUUCAAGCUAGUUACGUAGAGCCCAUUUGACAAUUUAAAUGGCAAGCUUACAAUAUAUUAAAGGAAGCAAAUAUUUUGGCAUUGUUUGAAAAGGCUAUUCACGUGGAUGGGCUUUGGUUUCAAUUUUGAUUGGCUUAGGAAUGAAAUAGGCGGCUGGGCUUUUGUUUUUAAUUCCUUUCAUAAGAGGAUUUGACAAGCCACAACAUUAUAAAAAGGGAAAAGCCAAGCGGAAGCCAAAAAAAAAAAAAAAAUAAUAGAGCAGCAGCCGCAAGUUUUGAGCAAAACCGAGAGCAGCAUGAAUAAUUUGGAGCAGAAGGAAGACACAUUAAUUCUUGAGUUUUUCUUUCUCUCUUCUCUAUUAUCUUAUUUGAAUGUUUCCCAUUAAAUUCAUGGAUUAUCUUUAUAUUCCCAUGAACUAAUUUAUUUUACUAGAGCUACGAUGUCCUAGUGUUUUAAUCUCUUGGUGAUUUCUAUUACUGCUUGCAUCUUUAUUUGAUUUUUAGUUAUUUUAAUUUUUAAUUUAAAUUCGCUUAUUUGAUUGUUCAAAUAAAUUAGGGUUAGGAUAAUUUCGGUAACUAAUAGGAUAUUCAAUCUCAGUGGGAUGAUACUCUACUCUUCACUAUAUUACUUGUGCCGACUAGUACACUUGCUAAUUUAUGCAAUAGUUGACAGUUGGGAGUGAAUGGAGGCCCUUGACGAAACUUCAGUAAACUUCAGAUUUCAGUUUGUUUGCUCGAAACUUGCAUGGUGACAAGGAUACUGGCAAGGAUAAUGAGAUAGUUUUUGUGUGAAUGAAAUUAUGAUUAUCCUCAGCCUCAGGUAAUUUCUUCUCCUGCUUAGUUGUUAUUUGUUACCUAAUUAAGAAGCAUAAAGUAUCUUGAAUCAUUUUCGUUGUCUGGAAUAUAUGCAACAAUUUUUAAAAUUUUGAUAUGAGUGCAAUGAUUGUAAUUUCUGUUUUCUGUCUGUCAUCGAAUGUAAGACAACUUUAUUAAGAUUCUUGAACCGAGUCAUUUUUGACAAUUGAAGGACAAGUGCUGAAGAGUGGGAAUGCAAAAAGUUUUGUUGUUUUUAGCCUUGUUUUCUUUGAACCAGCGCCUGAUUCACAAGACUCCAUUAAUUUGGCUUUUGAUCAGCUGAUUGAUAAAUGUUCAAUUUCUUUGGUGAUAAAUGUAAUUGUGAAGCAGGCAGCAGGGCAUGACUGUGGAAAAGAGAAGAUUUUAGUGAAAGCCGAGACUCAGAUAAUUCUACGCGUUUUGGUUGAUUUAUAUAAUUCGUGAAAUUUUAUUUCCAUCUGUUACAAGAUCAAACUGCAAUUAGCAAUUUAACAUUCCCUUAAAACCACUAGCUACAUUUCAUCUUUGCACAAUUACACUUAAAAUUCCACUAAAAGAAACUCUUGAGUUGCUCGCAAGCUAUAUAUCAUUAUUCAUUGAAUUCUUACUGUUGAUGCGAGAUUCUGGUUACACUCUUCCGGCUACCAGGAUAUCUGCUCGAUCAACCUCACCUCGACUAGGAUCUCUCCUCGUAUGCUUUCUUCUCCAAGUACUCAUGCGUUCACAGAAACAAGUCAGAGCACGCCGGUUGUUUUCCCGGCGUAAACCCUCCGACGCUCAAGUCAGAUAUGAAGGCUUUGGGAACGCUUGCCACAGAUCUUAUGGCUUUGUAAAUAGUUUUCUCUUCUUUUCAAUUUCCUUAAUCUCUCUUCUAAUCUCGAAAUUGCUAACCCUUUUACCUUCGCUGGCUACCUUUUUAUAGGCCACUUCUGAGCCCAGGCCUUUUUCCCUUUGCGCUCGUCAUCCUCCCACUUCUCGAAAGUGGAUGCUCCAUUUCCGUAGUCGUGGGUGGUUGCGUGGCCCUCGUGCCUAGAUUCUCGGACUGGAAAGCAUGCCACGCCAACUGUCGUUGACCGGGUCUUCUCGAAUCAACCCUUAGCAGGAAUACAGCAGGAAUGGCUUCAGGCUUCUUAUAGGAGAUUGGCCUCGCGGAUGACGUGCUCGUGGACGAGCAGGGUAUUCCUGCUCCUGCUCCUGCUCCCCCGGAUGCCAGGCUCUUACGGGACCCAUCGGCUCGCAGAACUCUACCAUCAGAUAUCUGCUCAUCAUGCCUGGUCUCGUCGACGUAUUUCUCCUAAACACCGGUCCCCCAGUUUCUGGUGUUGGGUAAUGUAGUGGACCAGCAGUAGAAACUCGACAGUACUUGCUCGCGUGGGGUUGGAAAAGGCUUCCAAGAGUCAUGUCGCAUUUAAUUGCGGACGAGGUGAUGUGGCAGAGAUCUAACCCUCCAUUUGAAUUUCAAACCAACGGUUACGAGACCCUUGGGAUUUGGUGCCGUUAAAUGCUGGCAACCCAAGAUUUCGUCCCCAUUAGGAAACCCAAAUCCUUUCGAACGACAAAUUCAUCAUUCACUCCGUCUCCAUCUCUGUCUCUCCGGCAAAGAAGUUCCAGCAUAAAGGCCUCCAUCUCUGUCUUUCACCGACUGAACCAUUACUUCAGGUAUUUCUUCUAUUUCCUUAGUCUCGGAUAGUUGUAGAUAAUUUCUCUUCUCUUUUGCUUGGGUAGUAGUUGGUGGUGGUGUUGUGGUUAGAGCUUAGGGAAUGUCGAAAGGCAAAGAGAAUGUCAUUGAGGUUGACGACGAUGAGUUGGACUUCCUGCCUAGUUUGCUCACCGAUCCUGCUUUUGACCCCGGGAUCCCCUUAGAGCUCAUUAGAUCUAGUGUUGGCACUAGCGCUAGGAGGAUGUCCCCCCAAACAACCUCCACGAGUGGAAGUAGUGGUGAGGAGAGACCCUCUGGCUCGGAAGACACCCUAAGUGAGGAUCAAUGAGGUGACUCUGGGGAGGGGUCUUCACCAGGAACACCGCGACCAGAAGGGUGUAGUACAGUAGGAGGUAGAGCCUUGUCGCGGGAUUAUGCCAUUGAUUACAUGACCUGUACGACCACAUUCAACGAGCUGGAUGACCUCCGGCUCAGGUAUAGCAUUCCUGGUGAAAUUCCUCUCAAGAUCCCAGGAAAGAAGGAUACACCUAGCCGGCCUCCUCGGGGAUACGUUACCCUAUUUUUGGAGAGUUUUAGGCAUGGGCUGAGGUGUCCCUUGCAACCCUACUUUGCCCGGAUUCUUAACGGGCUAAACCUAGCUCCUGGUCAGCUGAACCCCAACGGGUGGAGAGUGCUCUCUGGUCUGUUCAUACUGUGGGACAGAUGUUGUCAAAGCGAGCCCACGGUCGACGAGGUGAAGCACCUGUACCAACUGAAAAGCAGCCCCAAAGACGUCGGCUGGUAUUACUUCCAAUCAAGUACCAAGAUCAGAAAACCCAUAACCGAUCUUCUUACUGGUGAUGGUGGGAAUUGGAAGAGGAAGUUCUUCUUCGCAGGGGGUCCCUUGUUGUUUGCACUUCACUGGUUUGUCUCUAAUCAAAUGUUUGUUUGUGUUGCAGGUUCUUGGGGUGUCCACUUCCCGCUUAAACCUGACCAGCUCAAACGAGUCGAGGCUGUACUAGCCAAUUCCUGCUCGAACCGAGAGCUGUUAACUAUAUACAACUUGCUCGAGUCUCGCUUGAUGCUUCCUGGCCAUAGGAUGGAGGACGCUGUGAUUGGGGCUCUGACCAGGAAACGUUCUCGACCUCCAACCACGAAGAGGGACCAGAGUAAGGACGCCCCUACUGCAAAGCGGGCCAACGUCGUGCAGCAGGUCUCUCCCUUGAAGACUUUACCUCCUGCUCCUGUCAAAGUCGGGGAAACUAGUGGAGCAGCCACAGAUCCUGCUUCCUCUUCUUCUCCUGUCGGCACUCGGUCUCGCUUACCUGACAGCCGAUCAGAACAAUUGGUCCCCUAUCUCAAUGAGUUAUCUAACCUCGUGAGCAAGAAUGACAUGGAGGACUUCGAUGGCUGCACCUUGGGUGAGCUGGUGGGGGCCAUGCAGUAUAGCGCUUUUCACCUCAGCUGCAUGACCACCUAUUACAAGGCCAAGGUUGGGCGCUACGACCGAAAGAUGAAGGAGGACAUUCAAUCGGCGACGACUAGAGCUGGCGUUGCCGAGAAAAAGGCAGGGGAGCUGAAUGUUGAGAACCUCAAGCUGAUGGAGCAGGAAUCUCUUGCUCAAGCAAAAGCCAUUACCCUCGAGGAGGAGCUGACCAAGGUCAAGGGGGAUCUGCAAAGGCAGAAGGCCACGUAUGAGGCUCAGCUCGAAUCCCUCCGCGACUCCCACCGGGCUCACGUCGAGAACUUGGAGAGGGAGGCCAAGAACCAGUAUGACCAGGGACUUCGGCAUUCCUAUCGUUGCAUCAUGGCCGUCCUCGGGAAGCAGCACCCUGAUCUGAAGAUGGAUGAUCUUGCAGUUGGUGUUGCUCAACAUAUGGACGAGGAAGCGGCCAAGGAAGAUGCCGAAGGGGUAGAGCCGAUCGUGAUUGAGGGGGAAAACUCUCCUCCUCGCACAAUCCCUGCUGACGUUGGCGAGGCGAGCACCGCUACUGAUGUUGGCGAGGCGCGCACCCCCCCGGACGCAACUGGUGAUACCCCCCCCCCGCACCUGAGGAGGUCCAGCCAACCAAUGCUGCUCGGCUUACUGAUCCGCCAUCUUCUUGAUAUAUUUCUUGUAUUGUAAUGAACAACGUUGAUGGAGAUUAUCUCCUCUGUUAAUUAUUAACACAUAAAUAAAGAUGUUUUUGAUUAUUUUCGUGUUGUAAUCAUGAGUUAUUUUUCGUUUAAUAAUCUGCCCGUCAUCGUCUGGUUGAGCAGGUUCUGGCCUGGCAUAUGGUUUUACCACAUGCCCUAGAAAAUUCUUCAAUGAUUGAGAUUCUGCUCGCCUUCGCGUGGUCGAGCAGAUCCUGGCACGCUUGGCUUCUGUCUCGCCAUAAACAGGCUUUGAGACUCGACGAGCCUUUGCAUGCCUUAGAAAUAUUUUUUUUUUUCGAUGCUUGGGGGUUCUGCUCGCCUUCGCGUGGUCGAGCAGACCCUGGCACGCUUGGCUUCUGUCUCGCCAUAAACAGGCUUUGAGACUUGACGAGCCUUUGCAUGCCUUAGAGAUUUUUUCGAUGCUUGGGGAUUCUGCUCGCCGUCACGUGGUCGAGCAGAUCUUGGCACGCUUGGCUUCUGUCUCGUCAUAAACAGGCUUUGAGACUUGACGAGCCUUUGCAUGCCUUGGAGAUUUUUUCGAUGCUUGGGGAUUCUGCUCGCCGUCACGUGGUCGAGCAGAUCCUGGCACGCUUGGCUUCUGUCUCGCCAUAAACAGGCUUUGAGACUUGACGAGCCUUUGCAUGCCUUAGAGAUUUUUUCGAUGCUUGGGGAUUCUGCUCGCCGUCACGUGGUCGAGCAGAUCCUGGCACGCUUGGCUUCUGUCUCGCCAUAAACAGGCUUUGAGACUUGACGAGCCUUUGCAUGCCUUGGAGAUUUUUUCGAUGCUUGGGGAUUCUGCUCGCCGUCACGUGGUCGAGCAGAUCCUGGCACGCUUGGCUUCUGUCUCGCCAUAAACAGGCUUUGAGACUUGACGAGCCUUUGCAUGCCUUAGAGAUUUUUUCGAUGCUUGGGGAUUCUGCUCGCCGUCACGUGGUCGAGCAGAUCCUGGCACGCUUGGCUUCUGUCUCGCCAUAAACAGGUUUUGAGACUUGACGAGCCUUUGCAUGCCUUGGAGAUUUUUUCGAUGCUUGGGGAUUCUGCUCGCCGUCACGUGGUCGAGCAGAUCCUGGCACGCUUGGCUUCUGUCUCGCCAUAAACAGGCUUUGAGACUUGACGAGCCUUUGCAUGCCUUGGAGAUUUUUUCGAUGCUUGGGGAUUCUGCUCGCCGUCACGUGGUCGAGCAGAUCCUGGCACGCUUGGCUUCUGUCUCGCCAUAAACAGGCUUUGAGACUUGACGAGCCUUUGCAUGCCUUAGAAAUUUUUCACAGUUUCAAGUGAAUGAAAUUCCUCGACGUUCCAUUAAUUGUAGGAUUCAACUUACAUGAAAAUGUUUGGUCGUAAAAUAAAUAACAGCAAAUACGAACAGAAAGAUCUUGAAAAUAUUAACGACUCUUACUGGAAAUAUUUCCUGAGAUGUGCUGCGUUCCAUGGGCGCUUCACCUCGUGGCCAUCCAUGCGAACCAGCUUGUAAGCUCCUGGUCCCACUAGCUGCUUGACUCUAUAUGGCCCCUCCCAAUUUGGACCGAGCACUCUUUGAGUCGAGUCUUUGGUGUUCUGAUUCACUCUCCUUAACACCCAAUCUCCGACCUUGAACUGCCGUAUGUUCACCUUCUGGUUAUAAUACCGGGCAACCCUCUGCUGGUAAAUGACUGAUCGCUCGGCUGCUUGCUCCCUCUUUUCCGUUAGCAGAUCAAGAUUCAAACAUAUCUGCUCGUCGUUCUCCUGUUCAUUGAAAUGAUAUGUCCGGUGCGUGGUCGUUCCUAUCUCAGUUGGCACGACCGCUUCAUGUCCAAAAGCCAAGGCGAACGGUGUCUCCCCAGUUGCUGUUUUGUGGGUUGUUCUGUAUGCCCAUAGCACACCUGACAGCUCAUCAACCCAUGCACCCUUUUUUGCUCCCAGCCUGGUUUUCAAAAGCCUCUUGAUGGUCUUGUUGGCUGCUUCUACUUGUCCAUUCGAUUGGGGGUGAGCAGGCGAGCAAUACUUCAGCUCUAUUCCGAGGUUCUGGCAGAAAUCCCUGAAGCUGUGAUUAUCGAAUUGUCUGCCAUUAUCCGUUACCAGGGCAUAAGGGAUCCCGUAUCGACAGACCAGGUUUCUCCACACAAAGUCUGUUGUUUUCUUCUCUGUGAUCUUGCUAAGGGCUUCUACCUCUAUCCAUUUCGUGAAGUAGUCUAUAGCAACUAUUGCAUGUGUUGCUGCUCCUCGUCCCUUUGGCAGCGGGCCGAUCAGAUCAAUUCCCCAUUGAGCAAAUGGCCAAGGGGAGGCCAUAGAGGUGAGCUUUUCUGGUGGUUGGUUGGAGAAACUUGCAAAACUCUGGCAACUUACACAGCUCCUGGUCUUCUCCUGUGCAUCCUGGUGCAUUGUCGGCCAGAAAUAUCCCUGCCUUAGAACCUUGUGGGCCAGGGACCUCCCACCAGAAUGAUUCCCGCAAAUUCCUUCAUGUACUUCUCUCAGUACGUAAUCUGCGUCGUCCUCAUCCAAACAUCGGAGGAAAGGUAGUAUAUAUCCUCGCCGAUACAGUACCCCAUCAAUCAUCGUGUAUCUUGAGGCCUGGGCUCUAACCUUCCGAGCUCGCAGCUUAUCUGGUGGUAAUACCCCGUCUCUGAGGUAUGAAAUUAUCGGGUCCAUGCACGAGCAUUUUUGUUCUAUCCGCAACACCCCCAAAUUCUGCUCGAUACUUGGGCUGGACUUCACCUCCAGAGGGACCGACUUUGGCAUUUUUGGGUCGGCUACUGCUGCCAUCCUGGCCAAAGUGUCUGCUCGACUAUUCUGCUCCCUGGGGAUCUGUAUCACCUCCACUGCUUCAAAUUUCCCCAUCAUCUGCCUGACUAUCUUCAGGUACUGCUCCAUCUUCUUCUCUCUUGGUUGGAAUCUUUCGCUGACAUGAUUCGCAACCAGCUGGGAAUAAGUUCUGAUCUUCACUCUGUCUGCUUUCACGGCCUUAGCCAAUUCCAAACCUGCUAUCAAGGCUUCAUACUCUGCCUGGUUAUUUGUGGCUCCAAAUUCCAACUUCACAACAUAAGAGAUCUCCUCCCCCUCCGGGCCUUCCAAGACAAUCCCUGCUCCAGAACCCUGCUCCCCUGAUGACCCAUCCACAUACAUCUGCCAUACUUGAGCUUCGCCACUGUCUGUGACUACAUCUGGUCCAUCUAAACAUACUUCGGGCUCUGUGAAUUCAGCUACGAAAUCGGCCAUUGCCUGAGCCUUUAUCGCUGCUCGGGGUUUGUAGUCUAUGUCGAACUCGCUCAGCUCUAUAGCCCACUUGACGAGCCGACCAGAAGCAUCUGGCUUGUGCACAGUUUGACGCAAUGACUGGUUUGUUAUUACCGAGACCGGGAAUGCUUGGAAAUAUGGCCUCAACUUCCGAGCCGCAACCACAAGGGCAAGUGCCCAUUUCUCCAACGGUGGGUAUCUGGUCUCAGCGUCGAGCAGGGCCUUGCUUGUGUAGUAUAUCGGAUACUGAACUCCUUCUUCCUCUCUCACCAGAACAGAACUGGCGGCCCGAUCCGAUACCGCCAAAUACAGAUAUAACUUGUCCCCAUCCCUCGGUGUGGACAGUAGUGGAGCUUGCUGCAAGUAUUGCUUCAAGUUCUGGAAGGCUUCCUCGCAUUCUGGUGUCCAUUCUGUUUUCUUUCCCCUCCUUAUCACUUAAAAGAAUGGCUGACACUUGUCUGUAACCUUGGAUAUGAAUCUGCUCAACGCAGCCAACCUCCCCGUGAGGCUCUGCAUCUCCUUCAGGUUACGAGGAGACCUCAUCUGCACAAUUGCCUGGAUUUUCUCCGGAUUUGCUUCAAUCCCCCUAUGGCUCACCAUGAAUCCAAGGAAUUUCCCUGACUCGACCCCAAAAGCACACUUCUCCGGGUUGAGCUUCAUCUUAUACUUCCUCAAAAGCCCGAAUGUCUCCUCGAGGUGCCUGACAUGUUCCUUCGAGAUUUUGGAUUUGGUGAUCAUGUCGUCCACGUACACCUCCAUGGUUUUCCCAAUCAACGGCUUAAAGACUUUGUUCACCAGCCUCUGAUAGGUGGCCCCAGCAUUUUUUAGACCAAAUGGUAUUACCCUGUAACAGAACAAACCCUGGUUAGUGAUGAAAGCCGUGCUCUCCUCAUCCUGCUCGUACAUGGGGAUUUGGUUGUAUCCCGAGAACGCGUCCAUGAAACUAAGCAGACCGUGUCCAGCCGUUGAAUCUACUAGUUGAUCGAUCUUUGGUAAAGGGAAGCUGUCUUUUGGGCACGCCUUAUUAAGGUCUGUGAAAUCCACACACAUCCUCCACUUGCCAUUUGCCUUCUUUACCAACACCACAUUCGAUAUCCAUUCAGGGUAAUUGACUUCCCGAAUGAACCCUGCUCUCAAGAGCUUCUCCACCUCGACAUUUAUAGCCUCAUACCUCUCCUGAUUGAAGCACCUCCUCUUCUGCCUUACUGCCCGAGCACCUUUCUUUAUUGCCAGCUUAUGACAUGCUACCUCAGGGUCAAUCCCUGGCAUAUCUUCAUGUGUCCAAGCAAACACAUCUGCAUGAGCCUGUAAGCAUUUCACUAACUCCUGCUUUUGCUCUCCCUUAAGUCUCGACCCGAUUCUGAUUGUUUUUCCCGGAUUCUCUGGUCCCAGGCUUACUGUUUCCAGAUCCUCUACAGGUUCUUGUCUGCCAUUCUUGUUUUCCACUCGGGUAUCGAGGGAUGUUAUCUGCAUUGCUUCCCUUGCUGCUGAGGAGUAGCAGCUUCUUGCGAUCCUCUGAUCUCCUCGUACCACUCCAACUACCCCAUUCACCCGGUACUUCAGAGCCAGAUAAUGGUUGGACAGCAUCGCUUUGCUCAUCCUCAGAAAUGGCCGACCUAGGAUCAUCUGGUAAGGACCUUCCUCAUCCACUACCAUAAAGUCCAGUAUCAUUGUCCUUUCUGUCGGGGAGCUCCCAAUCGUGAUAGGCAGCUCGACCAUGCCCAGAGGGACCAGCCUUCCUCCUCCAAACCCCUUCAAGGAGGUAUUGGUGUAAUCCAACUUCAGGUCUGCUAUUCUCAUCUCCUUCAGGGUUGACUUAAACAACACAUCAACUGAACUCCCUGUGUCAACCAGUAUCCUGUCAAACUUCUUGCUAGCAACAGUGGCCUUGAUGACCAAAGCAUCCUCGUGGGGGUAUAUGAUCCCUUCUUCAUCCUCAUCUGUCCACAUGAUUGGCACUUGCCUGACUCUUGCACGUUUGGCUGCUGGGGUGUUGAAGAAUACCUUUUUGCUGGUCAUGGCGUAUCUAGCAUAAUUUUUCCUCGAUCUGUUAGAAUCUCCGGCCAAUGUUGGGCCCUCAGCUAUAACCCUUACUGCAGGCUGCUCGCGCCUCAAGUUCCUGUCACUCUGCUCCCCUUCACUUGUUGAGGCUACCAUUGGGAAGGUCCCAUCUACGAACUCGUCCAGAUACCGAUUUCUCACUAAAUCUUCAACCUGGGUCUUAAGAUCUCUGCAAUCUGCUGUGGUGUGGCCAUGAGUGCCAUGGAACUUACAAUAGCGUCCCCUAUCCCUCAUGCUGGGUAGCUUGGUUAUUGGAGCAGGGAGGUAUAGCAACCCCCGAUCCUUUAUGGCCUCGUACACCUCGUCCAGGGACAUCUUCAAGGAAGUGUACCGCCCAUAGUCCUAGUUCUGGUCGAUCAGGUGUACUGCUCUUUCUCUGUUUGCUCCGUUCUGGGUUGGGGGCGGUGGCAGUACUUCUGGUCUGCUCCCUCUGCUACCGUGGGAGUGUUGAUGAGCACCAUAUGAUGAAUCAUGCCUUCUCCAAGGCUCCCUAGCUGUGGAACGAGGAGGCUGCGCCCUGCUGCGCUGAUACUGUGGUGGGCUCUGAUGAGGCUGGUAAGCAAUUACCCGACCUCCUGCUCCAUUACCCGAGGCCUGGUGGUCCCUCCUCCUGAUCGGCCCAUUCCCCGGUAAUGCUUUCUUCUCUUUCCUCCCCAACCCUUCUAACUGGUCUAUCUUAAUUCGUGCUGCCUUCUCCUCUUCAAUCUCAAUGUCUCUCUUAGCCUGCUCGUAUGCGGCCGCAUACGUCUGGAUAGCUGGGCUUCUCAAAUUGUACCACAGCCUUCCUAUCUUCACCCUUUCUUUCAAUCCCCUUAACGCCUGAGGGUGGUUGAAGGCUCCCAAGUCGAGGACAGCCCGAUGAAACCUCUUGAUGAAUUCCCGAAGGGUUUCUUGCUCCCCCUGUUUCAUGCUUUUCAGCUCCAUCAUGUCAUCUUCUGGGGCCAUUGCCCCACUAAACUGCUCUGCGAAUUCCUGGCACAUCUGCUCGAAGGUUUUAAUGCUGCCCCGAGGAAGUUUCCUGUACCACUCGCGUGCACGUCCCUCCAGGGAUAGUGGAAACACCCUGCACCUUUGGGGCUGAGAUAAUCCUUGUACCCCCGUUAUGUCAUUGAAGCGUUCUAUGUGCACCAGCGGAUCAGUUCGUCCCGAAUAUCUAAGGUCCGGGAGACGGAAAUCCCUCGGAAUAAUUGCCCUCAUGAUCUCUGCUGCGAGCAGUGAUUCUCCGUCCAGCAUUAUCCUCCAACCAGGAGCUCUGCUCCUUCCUUGCAUAUCGUCAAUUAUCUGCGCUAGUCUGCGCACUUCCUCCUCCAGCUGUACUGCACGACCAGGGUCACGUGCUGCAACUUGAUCCCUCUCUUGCUCUACAUCAUGCAAGUGUUGCCUCAACUCUGUUUCUUCUGCAUUCGCCACCCCGUCGUCCUCGUAAAAAAUCUGUCUUGCCGGGGAUUGCUCUUCUUCUCUAUGAAAUUCUCCCCGUAGAGGUAUGUUACCUCUCUCACCACUAAAUCUCCCGGUGGUUUGACUUCUCCUCGUACCAUCGGGACCUGGUGUCACUCCACCACCUCUCACCAUUUCCUCCUGGGUUACCCUUCGUUCACUCCGCAACUCAUGCAGGAUGGUUGUCAGGGUCUCCAUCUGCUUUUCCAUCCGUUCCAUCCGGUCGAACAUGGCUUUUUCCCGUGCUUCGCUGGCUAUCUCCCUCAGCGUUACAGAAUCGUUAAGCCUCAUAUCACCCCCUUGUGCACUACUUCCUCCUGCCUCCAUUGCUUUUCACUUGCUUCACUCCUCUUCUUGCUAUCAACAGAAGCUUUUUGCUCAGCUCCCCACAGACGGCGCCAAAAUGUUGAUGCGAGAUUCUGGUUACACUCUUCCGGCUACCAGGACAUCUGCUCAAUCAACCUCACCUCGACCAGGAUCUCUCCUCGUAUGCUUUCUUCUCCAAGUACUCCUGCGUUCACAGAAACAAGUCAGAGCACGCCGGUUGUUUUCCCGGCGUAAACCCUCCGACGCUCAAGUCAGAUAUGAAGGCUUUGGGAACGCUUGCCACAGAUCUUAUGGCUUUGGAAAUAGUUUUCUCUUCUUUUCAAUUUCCUUAAUCUCUAUUCUAAUCUCGAAAUUGCUAACCCUUUUACCUUCGCUGGCUACCUUUUUAUAGGCCACUUCUGAGCCCAAGCCUUUUUCCCUUUGCGCUCGUCAUCCUCCCACUUCUCGAAAGUGGAUGCUCCAUUUCUGUAGUCGUGGGUGGUUGCGUGGCCCUCGUGCCUAGAUUCUCAGACUGGAAAGCAUGCCACGCCAACUGUCGUUGACCGGGUCUUCUCGAAUCAACCCUUAGCAGGAAUACAGCAGGAAUGGCUUCAGGCUUCUUACAGGAGAUUGGCCUCGCGGAUGACGUGCUCGUGGACGAGCAGGGUAUUCCUGCUCCUGCUCCUGCUCCCCCGGAUGCCAGGCUCUUACGGGACCCAUCGGCUCGCAGAACUCUACCAUCAGAUAUCUGCUCAUCAUGCCUGGUCUCGUCGACGUAUUUCUCCCAAACACUUACCACAUAUAUGUCACCUUUCAAUCAAUUGUUGAAAAAUUCAAAUUUGGAAUUCAAAUACAUGCAUUCAAAUUUGGAACACUUUGAACGGUCCGAUUCAAAACUUCAUAUUCCAAUUAUAUUCAUAAGACAAAUGGAACACUUUGAACGGCUUGUGUCCGAGCAUUGUAGUUUGAUUUAUUUUGAUGACAUUACCUUUUGACAUUGAGAUUCUUUCAGGAUUUAAACAUUCUUUUUAAAACCAAAUUAUUAAAAAAAAAUAACUAACAUAUAUUAUUUUAUUAGUGCUUUUUAAAUCAAAUAUACAUAGGAGAACUGUAAUUCUUAGCAAUCAAUUUUCCACUAAAUACACCUGCAACAAACUAUUAAUAACAAAGUGAUAGAAAAUACCUGAUUUUUCAUACUUUCUAAUUUCUUUUGGUCCUAAAAUAUGGGCAUUUGUGUAAUAAUAAGCCCAUGUGGAUCUCUAUGCCAUGAGUUUGAUAAAUAGCUAUCAAGGAUCACUUAUUAAGCUAAAAAUAUUUGGAGGACAAAAUUGUAAAACUAAAAGGGUGGAGCAAAUAUGGCUAUCUAGGAUUAAAUAGUAAGUCAACUAUAUUUAAAGGAUAAAAUAUUAAAACUUGAAUUGUGAUAUUAAAAAUAUCUCAACUAUUAUAUUAUUAAACCAUAUGUUCUAAUAGUUUUUUUUUUAAGCUUCAAAAUGUUCAGGAUUUUAGAUUGAAACAUUUUCAAUUGAAAUAAUUUGGUGCAGUCACAAGUUAAGAAAGAAAAAGUUGUCCCAUUGGUCAUUUCACAAAAAUGAAAGCCCUGUAUAACAUGGACGUGAAUGGAAACCCAAUUGUUUGUGUUUGAUUAAUUGAUUUCAAGCUUUAUCUAACCUUUGGACCUGGAUACUUUACUGCGGCCUCUAAGCGCUAUAAAUUUUUUUGGGGAUAAACGGCGCUUCAAUGAGGGCAUCUCCAAUGCUUAACACCAUUUUGGUGUAACACCAACAUUAAAAAUAUACAUUUUUCACACUAAAUUACUAUUUCAUCUCCAACCCAUUUACACCAAAUUUUACACCAAAAAUAAUAUUUUUUUUAUUCUUUUAAUUCUCAAGAAUUAAUUCAAUUAACACAAUAAAUACUACUAUUAACAUAGAUAAUUAAGUAAUAAGUAAUUUUAUCAAUUAACAAAAAAAAUAGAAAAUUAUUAAAUUUGCAUUUAAUUAACUAAAUUAGUACAUUAUGAAAAUUAAACAUUACAUUAAUAUAGAAAAAUACAAUAAAAAUAAUAAUAAUUUUAUAUCUAAUAUUUUGAUGAUAUUGGAGGAUCUAAUAAUGAUCUUCCAGAUUAUUAAAUAAUUGUUCUAAUUUAUACUAGUAGUAGUAGCUUUUUUAAUUUGUGUUAAUUUAAUUUUGUAAUAUGUAAUAUAGUAAUUAAUGUUAUUGGCAUUUUAUUUUUAUUAUUAAUUUUUGUGUUGAAUUUUUUUAUUUAAAAUAUUAGUAUAAUAUUAAAAAAUUAAAAAUGAAAUAAAUAAUAACAAAAAUAAUAAUAAUAACUUAAAAUAUUAUAUAAAAAAGGACAUAUAUGUAAAUAAGAAAAAGUAAUAAAGAUAUUUAGGACUCUUUUUUCCUAGCACCAAAUGAAUAGUGUUACACCAUAUUUGGUGCAAUACUAUUCAUAACACCAAUUUGCUGUUCGUUUUGAUGUUACAUUGGAGAAGCAUUUUACACAAAAAAUGGUGUAAAAGGUAGUUUGGUGUUAGUUUUGGUGUCACAUUGGAGAUGGCCUGGAAAAACACUUGAAAACUUUGGAUUUUUGGUUCGUCCAGUUACGGUGUUAUGCUAAUGGGGUUAAAAGUUCCGAUCCAAUGAGUUAGGAUGGAAUAUGAAUAUAUAAAUUCCAUAGCAUGUAAGGACUAGGAUUUGUUUGUUCAUAUCAAGAAAAAAAAGAUCCGAAAAUUUGAUGAUCAGAAGAUGAAGACACGUUUAUUACAGAGAAACAAACGACAACAUGAUACUAGUAGUAGUUAUUCUUUUCAUCCGAUAUAUUACAUGGUAAUAUCACUACUCGUUCCACUGGUUUCAUAUACACCAUCGAUCAGCAACAUGAUAAUUUUGUGUCAGUUCAUUUUGUUUGUAGGAAAGAGCAGUGUAUUUCUUAGAGCUUGAAAAUAAUAAAAAGAUUUUAAAAUAUAAAUUGCAUAUUUGUUUAUUACAGUUGUUUGGUCUAAUUUCUUAUGUAGAAUUGCUUGUCAUUCUUUGGACGUUAUUGAUUAUAUUUUUGUCAGACUUGGCGUAUAUAUUCACACAUACGUUUUAUUUUGUCAUUUUGUAGAACAUUUUUACACGCCAUAUUAUCACGACUCUUCUCUGUCUGAAUAAGAAGAAAGCAUAAUGCGACCCUCCAAUAGCUUAAUCUAUGGAAUUAUCGUGUUUUGUAAGUUGAGGUCCAAUGGCGUUUUGGCACAUCAUAUGAUAGCCCACUAUAUUGCGUUGCUUUACAAAAGAUUAAUAUUUUGAAAAUUAUUAGGUAAGUUUAGGCUCAGUGGCACUUUAACUCAUGAUAUGAUUGUCCAGGUUUUCGAGGACCACUAUAUUCUAUUGAUUUAAAAAAAAUUAAUAUUUUUUAAUAUUAAUAUUCUAAAUUAUAUUCAGUUCAAAUAUUAAAUAUUAAAUACAUUCUUAAUAUUAAUAUUCUUAGAUGAAAUUCUUUUGCUGACUUAAGAAUAAAAUAUUAAAUAAUUUUAUUUUUCUUUUAUUCUGUAACGUGGACCCAAUAAAAAAAGGAAAUGAAUUUAAUAAAACCUUCAUUCAAAAUCUUCAUUCCGCCACCAUGCAUGUUAAUUGUUUCCAAAUUCCAACCUCCGUACUCUCUUGAGGAGUUUCCCAUUCAUCAAUUAUUAUUUUUUAUAAUCCAUACCAUCCUGAUAUAAUUAAACACCAUUAAUAAUGUACCAACCUUUAAAUAGUAAUUAAUUUAUUUAUCUAAUUCACCAAAUGUUUUUUCCGGUACAUAUCUCCAUUGGUAUCAAGAAGAAGCAGAACCCAAAGAAAUGUUUCUUGCAUCUUCAUAUUUGUGCGAAUUCAUCCUUUCAUUGAGAAUAACCAUUUCCAGGCAGCAGUUGGCAAUCAAUUCAUGCGCACGUCGAUGCUAUUCAUAGAUACUAAAGACAAUGAUGAACCAAAGGUGAUAAAUCAUAAAUGCAUAAUUACCAAACCUCCAUCCUUCUCUCAUUAUGAUUUGAUUUUAAAUGAAUUAUUGCUUGGUAACAUUAUUUCCAACCAUUGCAAGACCUUUUUUUUGGAGAAAUUUCAAUUGAAAGUGAAACCUUUAGACAUUUACCUAAUGAAGUUAGUUAAUCGGGAGGGUCGGAAAAAAAAAGUUGACGCAAGUCAAUACACAAUAAUCAAUUAAAUCCGGAGUGACUAAAACAGAGCCACUACUUUUUAAAAAAUAUCUGCAUUAAUCACUUUCUCCAGCAACUAGUCAGCUACACACGAAUCAAUUUCUCUCCUCGUUUGUCAUCCAAAAUUAUUCACCAAUACCAUGGCUGAUGCAAUCGUUUCCACUAUCUUGGAGCAGCUGAUUUCCUUCGCUGCUGAAGAGAUAAAACAACAGGUGAUCGAAGUUUCACCCCUCAUAUUACAAAUACUUCCAAUGAUUUUAAUUGGCUUUGUUUUUAUCAAAAACAUUAUAUAUUUUUGCUUUUUUUUUAUUUAUCUGAUAAUUUUAUAUUUUGAAAUUUGAAUUGAAUUUAAUUAAAAGGUGAUGUAGUAACCACUCAUUUUUAUUUUAUUUCAUUUCUAUUCUCGAUAACUAACCAUAUUUUGGUAACUUAAUAUGACUCUCGUACAUAAGAAAUGAUCAAAACCCACAAUUUUAACUAUGUAUAAAUAUUCAACGUUGAGCUAAGGUUUUGCAGAACAUUCAAGUUUAUCAAAUAGUCAUUAAUUUAAUGUUUUAGUAAAACCUCAACUCAUCACUGAAUCCCAUAGCUAUUACUUAGACUCUAUGAAAAAUUUCAUAGUUUUCUUACAUUCUUUCAGUUUGGUAAGUGAUUUCAUAUAAUUUCUGUUCAAUAUAAAUUUUAAUUUGGUUUCUUAUAUACUCUCUUUGCUGAAUUUGUAUCUUUUAUGAUUCUUAGAUUUUGGGCUCUAACAUUUUAGGAUUUGAUAGUCACAUUUUAUGCCAUGCUUAGAUUGAUUUUCAUGAUUUUUACUACCCAUUAAGUGACUUAGAAUUUGACAAAAGUUUGAAAGGAAAUCUGCUUCAGGAUUCUGUUUUAAUUGACCUUUUAGUGGAAAUAGGAUGCUUAUAACUUAAUGUGGAUGGUUCGUAAAAUCAUGAAAUUUGGAUAGAAUUAACUAGAAAUAUGUACAAGACUCUCCAUGAAGUCUCAUAAUUUUUCAUUCGGUCUGGGGUGGUACAGGUGAAACUUGUGGUUGGUGUUGAAAAAGAAGUGAAAAGCCUUACCAGCCAUCUUCAAGCCAUUCAAGUUGUGCUCGAUGAUGCAGAGGAAAAGCAAGUGAAGGAAAAAGCUGUUAGUCUUUGGCUGGGUAGGCUCAAGUAUGCAUCCUACGACAUUGAAGAUGUGUUGGAUGAGUGGAUCACAACAAGACGCAAAUUGCAAAUUGAGGGUGGCAUUGGUGAAAAUGCUCUUGUUGUUCCUCAUAAGAAAAAGAAGGUAUGUCUCUGCUUUCCCGGCUCUUGUUUUGGAUUCAAACAAGAAGAAUUUGGUUUCAAACAAGUCUUUCUCCGUCAUGACAUUGCCGACAAGAUCAAAGAAAUCAAUGAAGAGCUACAUGAUAUUGCCGCUCAAAAAGACAUGUUUGAUCUUGUUAAGAGUGGCAAUAAAAGUAGUGAAAGACCAAGGCGUGUACAGAGUACCUUCUUGAUUGAUGAGGAAGAGAUUUGUGGCAGAGUUGGUGAGAGGAAUGAACUCUUAAGCAAGCUGUUGUGUGAGAGUAGCGAGCAACAAAAAGGCCUUCAUAUCAUCUCAAUCGUUGGUAUGGGAGGCAUAGGGAAAACAACUCUUGCACAACUAGCUUGUAAUCAUGACGAGGUGAAGAGAAAGUUCGACAAAAUUCUGUGGGUGUGUGUAUCAGAAACUUUUGAGGAGUUUAGGGUUGCCAAAGCGAUCGUUGAAGUUUUGGAUGGUCGUGAAUCUCAUUUAGCUGAAUUCCAUUCUCUUCUUCAACAUAUUUAUGAAUCCAUUGCAGGGAAGAGCUUUCUUCUUGUCUUAGAUGACGUGUGGGAUGGAAAUUACUUGAAAUGGGAACCAUUCUACCGUUGUCUAAAGAAUGGUCUCCAUGGAAGUAAAAUUUUAGUUACCACACGUAAAGGGUCAGUCGCAUCCAUGAUGGGAUCCAUAGAUAUUAUCUCCGUUAAGGAGUUAGCUGAAGAGGAAUGUUGGUUGUUGUUUAACAAGAUAGCAUUUUUUGAUCGGUCCAUCGAGGAACGUGAAAAAUUAGAACAAAUUGGGCAAAGAAUUGCAGGCAAGUGCAAAGGUUUACCUCUUGCAGCAAAGACAAUAGGGAGUCUCAUGCGUUCUAAACAAACUGAAGAAGAGUGGAAAAGAAUUUUAAAUAGUGAUUUAUGGAAAGUAGAAGAGAUUGAGAAAGAUGUUUUGUCCUCUUUAUUGUUGAGUUAUAAUGAUUUGCCAUCUAGAGUAAAAAGAUGUUUUUCAUAUUGUGCUGUCUUUCCAAAAGACUACAAUAUAGAAAAAGACAAACUAAUCACGUUAUGGAUGGCUCAAGGUUAUCUUAGUGCAGAAGAAGAUGAAGAGAUGGAGACAGUAGGUGAAGAGUAUUUUGGCAUCUUAGCUUCUCGCUCAUUUUUUCAAGAGUUUAAGAAAAGUUAUGAUAAUCGGAUUAUAGAGUGUAAGAUGCAUGAUAUGGUACAUGAUUUUGCCCGAUUUGUAAGUCAAAAUGAAUGUUUUUCGAUGGCAAUCAAUGGUAGUGAAGAACCAAACGCCACAAACUCUCUUGAUGAGAAGGUCCGUCAUUUAAUGUUAAUCUUUAGUAUAGAGGCUUCAUUACCUGUUUCCACUUGUAGAGUUAAAAGAAUUCGUAGCCUCUUAAUUAACGAUAGUAGAUCUGAUCAUUCAUUAUUAAAUGGUGAGAUCCUAGAAGAAUUAUUUAGGGAAUUGACAAGUUUAAGGGCAUUAGAUUUUUGCAAAUCGUAUAACGCAAGUUGGUCUUCGACUCUGGAGAUUCCGAGAAACAUAGAAAAGCUGGUACAUUUAAGAUACCUUAAUUUGUCUUAUCAGGGAAUAAAGAAACUACCGGAGACAUUAUGCGAGUUGUAUAAUCUAGAAAAGUUAGAUAUUAGUUAUUGUUAUAAGCUAGAAGAAUUACCUGAAGGGAUUGGGAAGUUAAUAAACAUGAAGCAUUUACGAAAUAGAGGUACUAGUUCUUUAAGGUACAUGCCAGUAGGGAUUGGGAGAUUAACGGGUCUUAGGACCUUGGGUGAGUUCCACGUGAGUGCAGGAGGAGGUGUUGAUGGUAGGAAAGCAUGUAGGCUUGAAUCUCUUAAAAACUUGGAACACCUUCAAGUAUGUGGUAUAUGUAGACUGGGUGAUGUAUCAGAUGUGGGCGAGGCUAAGCGAUUAGAACUUGACAAAAAGAAAUACCUCUUCAGUUUGACCCUCGAGUUUGAUAAGACGGAAAGAGGAGGAGAAAGGAGGAAGAACGAGGACGAUCAACUUCUUCUUGAAGCCUUGCGACCACCCCUGGAUUUAAAGGAAUUAGAGAUACGGUACUACCGAGGCAACACUGUUUUCCCCAGCUGGAUGGCGUCAUUAACCAACUUAAAGAGUUUACAUCUCCAUAGGUGCGAAAAUUGCGAGCAGCUGCCUCCUUUGGGAAAAUUGCCGUCCCUUGAAAAUCUCUACAUAUGGCGCAUGGAGAGUGUGAAGAGAGUGGGUGAUGAAUUUUUGGGGAUAGAAAGUGAUCAUCAUGACUCAUCGUCAUCUUCAUCAGUUACUAUUGCCUUCCCCAAAUUGAAAUCACUCACAAUUUAUUCGAUGCUGGAAUUGGAGGAGUGGGAUUAUGAGAUUACAAGAACAGGAAACACCGUCAUCAACAUCAUGCCACGUCUUUCUUCCUUGACAAUUGUUGAUUGCACCACAUUAAAGGCACUGCCCGACCACAUUCAUCAAACGACAACGUUGAAGGAAUUGAGCAUUUUUAUGUGUUGGCUUCUGAACAAACGUUACCGCAAGGGGAAAGGAGAAGACUGGCCUAAAAUAUCACACAUUCCCAACCUCCGUAUUGGGCUUUGACAAGUAAUUUCUUCUCUCACUCUGAUUUGCUUUGUUGUUGUUUUUAAUCUAAUUAAGAAGCGAAAAUAGCAUUUUGAAUCAAACUCUAUAUCAGAAAUCUGCAAUACUUACUUUCUAAUAUUCUGAUUUUCAUAUCCUAUGAAUAUACGAUUUUUAAUUUGUGAGAUGGGUAACGUUACUGUAAAAGAUUAUUAAUGCAAUAUGAGUAAUUCUUUUGCAGGACAAGUGACCUACAUUUAGUUUGGCUUUGGAGUUGAAUAAUAACCUUUCGUGGUCCCGACAACCAAAAAACAAAGCUUAAUUUGCCACAGAUUGAACGUAUUGCCAUUAUUGACAAUUUUCUGCACAAGCGUGACUGAACUUAGGUUGAUGUCAAAAGAGGUAAAUUAUUGGCAUGCCUGACUAUUUUGACCAUUACAUGAUUCAUAAGUUUACAUUAAUUUUGAUUUUGAGUUGAGUGAUUAGUUUUCUAGGUUUGCUUACUUUAACUGGGUGACCAAUUUCUUGUAACUAAAUGUAUGAUGUGAUGCAGGAAGCAGGGCAGGAUAUGAAAAGAGAAGCUUAUUAGAGGAAGGAUUGCCAGUAACAGAAUCCAAAGAAAAAGAAACCAUUUCGAGGCAGCUGUUGGCAGUUGGCAGUGAAUGGAGCCCCUUGAAAAAAUUCCCAGGCCGUUGCACUGCAAUUACGAUCAUCCUCGGCCUCAGGUAAUUUCUUCUCCUGCAUUUUUGUUAUUUGCUAUCAAGUGACUAUUUUAAGUAUGAUUGCAUUAAGCUUCUGCUGGGAAAUUUGAGGUUUUGAUGACUGCCCAUGCUAUUGUCAGAAGCUGCGGUUCUUUUCAUCAGCCUGAACCUGGACCUGCCGCUAUGGAUAACUCAGGUUUUUUUUUUUUUUUUAAUCAACUGCCAUCUUUUCCACUGUUUAGAAACUCUUAAGAUUAAACUUUAGUAAAGUUGUUUUAGUUAUCCAUGUAAUCAGGCUGAGGAUACUUAGCUGCCUAUUUAGGCAAAUGUCAGAAUUUAGUUUGUUCGCUGGGAACUGGUGUGGACUGGCAAAGGAUGAUGAGAUAGUUUUUUGAGUGAGUAAAUUUUGGGAGCUUGAGUGUAUUGGGAUUUGCAAUUACAAUCAUCGUCUGCCUCAGGUGAUUUCUUCUCCUGCUCUGUCAUUGUUUGUUCUCUAAUUCAAAAGCAUAAAAUAUUUCAAUCAAUUUUUAUGCCAGGAAUAUGCAAAAGUUUCUAAUAUUUUAUUUCCAUCUGUUACAAGAUCAAACUGAAGCAGAACUCAAACAAAAGUAUGCUACUUCUUGCGGAAAUCUUGCCUUUGUUCAGAUUAUGAAACCAUUUCCAUGCAGCAAAUUCAUCCAAAAGUUUGAAUAAGUUUCAUGGUUGGACACUGUUGGCUUCUUUUUCUUCUGGGGUGCAUUUAGGUGCUAUCAAGUGACAGCUGUAAGUAUGAUUGCACUAAGCUGCCGCUGGGAAAUUUGAGGUUUUGAUGGCUGCCCAUGUUAUUUUCAAGAAACUAUUGAUGUAAGAAGCUGUGGUUCUUUUCAUCAGCUUGAACCUGAAACUGUCGCUAUGGAUAACUCAGGUUUUUGUUAUCAACUAUAUCAUCUUUUUCACUAUUUUGAAACUCUUAAGAUUAAACUUUAGUAAAGUUGUUUCAGCUAUUCAAAUGAAAAACUCAUUGAUUUGAGACUUCCUUCAUUAUUGUUUCUAAUUACAAUGCUAACGAUCCAGAUAAAAUAAUAUUUAAUCGGCGAAGGUGUCCCUUGGAAGUACAUCCUUCUUUUUCUUUUAUUAUAUAAAUUCUUGCAAUGAGCUUAGUGAAGCUGUUGUGCUAAUCAUGCCACUGCAUAAUUUGGCCCCUAAUGUGGGUACUCUGUUACAUUGUUCUGCAAAUUCUCCAGAAGUUAAAAUCAAUAAAUUUUCUAUUAGCUCUAGUGCUUUGACCUAAAUGCCAUUCUAUAUUUUGAUUACAAUGUUUUAACCUUUAAAUUAACUACCCCUAGAUGUUGGAUUUUCUAGAACUUCAAAAUGAUUAAUGGAGAAAGAUCCCAUUAUCGUUAUUGCUAUAAGAAAUUGAUUUAUGCAUCCAAAGAUACAUUAUAUAUUUCUGUGUCUCUAUUUGUAGAUGACAUUUAAGCAUCCAUAAACCGUCAGACAGAGGAAGGGGGUUCAGUGCAAAGAUUCUGUUGACCUAGGGUUGACUGCAUAAUGUCACUUGUUCGCAAUCUAUUAUUUAUUUUAUAUUUUGAAGAAUUUAAUGGGUAAUCCUAAUUGUUUGUUUUGGCAGGUAUGUGUUGUUAUCUCCUUCUAUCUAACAGUCGUACCUAAAUAGCAUAGUUUCAUCUGUGUUACCAUGUGAUGUACAUAAUUUCACAUUUGCCUCAGAUUAAGCUUAAUUUCCCACAGAAUAGAGCUGUCGCGACUGGACUUAGGUUGAUGUCCAAAGAGGUAAAUUAUUGGCAUGCCUAGAUAAUUUGGCCAUUUCCUAAUUCAUAAGUCUACAUUAAUUUUGAUUUUGAGUUGACUGAUUUCUUUUCAAGGUCUGCUUCCUUAACGGAGUGACCAAUGUUUUUCAACUAAAUUUAUCAUAUGAUGCAGGAAGCAGGGCAGGAUAUGAAAUGAGAAGCUCAUUGGUGGAAGUAUUGCCAGUAACAGAACCCAAAGAAAAUGAAACUAUUUCAAGGCAGCAGUUGGCAGUUGCAAGUGAAUGGAGGCCCUGACAAAAUUCUCAAGCGGUUGCAAUGCAAUUACGAUCAUCCUCAGCCUCAGGUAAUUUCUUCUCCUGCUCUGUUUUUAUUUGUUAUCUAAUUAAAAAGCAUAAAGUAUCUUGAAUCACUUUCUGUAUCUGGAACAUAUGCAGCAGUUUCUAAAAUCUUCAUAUGAGUGUAAUGAUGGUAAUUUCUGUUUUUUGUCUGUCAUUGAAUGUUAGACAACUUUCAGUGAGACUCUUGAACCGAGACAUUUUUGACAAAUGAAGGACAAUUGCUGAAGAGUGGGAAUGGUGCUAGAUUGGGGAAUAAAGACAAAGGAGGUAAAUUAUUUGCAGUUUAUUCAGCAUUAUUUGCUUUGGACCAGCGCCUGAUUCACAAGUCUCCAUAAUUUGGCUUUUGACCAGUUGUUAAUAAAUUUUUUAUUCCAUUGGUGCUAAAUGUACACGUGAAGCAGGCAGAGCAGGACUGUGGAAAUGAGAAGGUUUUUAGUGAAAGCUUAAACUCAGGUAAUUCUAAAAAGUACAUGUUUUUGCUGAUUUAUCUAAAUCAGGAAAUUUUAUUUCCAUCUGUUACAAGAUAAAACAGAAACAGAACACAAAGAAAAAUAUUCUACUUCUUGUGGCAAUCUUGCCUUCAUUCAGACAAUGAAACCAUUUCCUUUCACCAAUUUCUUCCAAAAGUUUGAAUAAGUUUCAUGGUUGGACAUAGUUAGCUUCUUUUUCUUUUGGUGCAUUUAGGUCCUAUCAAGUGACAGCCAUAAGUAUGAUUGCAUUAUUGGGAAAUUUUAGGUUUUGAUGGCUCCCCACGUUAUUGCCAAGAAAGUCCUCAUGUCAAAAGCUGCGGUUCUUUUCAUCAGCCUGAACCCGAACCUGUCGUUAUGGAUAACUCAGGUUUUUGUCAUCAACUAUAUCAUCUUUUUUACUGUUUUGAAACUCUUAAGAUUAAACUUCAGUAAAGUUGUUUCAGUUAUCCAUGUAAUCAGGCCAAGGAUAUUUAGCAGCUUAUUUAGGCAACUGCCAGAAUUCAGUUUGUUUGCUCGAAACUUGUAUGGUGACAAGGAUACUGGCAAGGAUAGUGAGAUAGUUUUUUGUGUGAGUGAAAUUUGAAAGCUUGGGUGUUCUGGGAUUUGCAAUUGCAAUCAUCCUCUGAGUCAGGUGAUUUCUUCUCCUGCUCUGUCUUGAUUUUCUCUCUAAUUGAAAGCAUAAAGUAUUUCAAUCAAAUUCUGUACCAGGAGUACAUAAAAGUUACUAAUAUUUUAUUUCCAUCUGUUUGCAUUGAUAACUCGGCAUAUGUUCUAGUUAAAGAACAAACAGAAACAGAGUUCAGGAAAAAGUUUCUUCGGCCACCAUAUUUGAAAAUGAAACCAUUUCCAGGAAGCAGUUGGCAGCAAAUUCAUAUGGAGUGUAGACAAUGAUGAGCAAAAAGGUGAUUCGCAAUUUCUUUUUUUUUUAAGUGAAAUUAUUUGUUAGAUUGAAGCUGAUAUUGUAAGAAGGCCAUUGAGCUAACCUAUGUCGUCACUUGCCUAGAUUGCAGGGGGUCAAGACUCAAAAGAAGCACUGAAAUUUAAAAAGCAUGGAAUAGUUCUUUUGCCAUGUGUCAAUUAAUGCAAGUUUGAAUAAGUUUAUUGGCUGAACGAUGUUAGCUUCUUUUCCUUUCGUGCACUUUGGUAUGCUAUCAAGUGACAGCCGUAUGUAUGGCUUGCAUAUAGCUGCUGCUGGGAAAAUUGACGAUUUCAUGGCUGGCCGUGUUAUUGUCUUAAAUUAGUUGUGAUAAGCUGUUGCUUGGAGAUUCUGUUGCCAAGACUUUGCUCACAUCAGAAGCUGUGGAAUCUGAACCCUUCGUUAUGUAUCAUCUUUUUCAUUGUUUUAAAACUCUCAGGAUUAAACUUGAGCGAAUUUGUUCGGUUGUCUAUAUAAUCAUGUAUUGAGUAAACUCUCAGGAUACUGAGGGUGAGAGAAAUUAGAGGGUGUAUAGGGAUUUGGAUUUGUUAGGAAGUUAUCAUUUUUAUUUUUAUUUUUAUUUUUUUCCCAGAAAAUCUUCUGGUGGUGCUAUAUUUUCAAACGACAGUCCGAUUCAAAACUUGAUAUUCCAAUUAUAUUCAUAAGCUUCUACAGUUAUCUUCAAAAAGACAAAUGGAAGGCUUUGAACGGCUUGGGUCUGAGUAUUGUAGUUUGAUUUAUUUUGAUGAAAGUACCUUUUGACAUUGAGAUUCUUUCAUGAGUUAAACAUUCUUUUUAAAACCAACUUAUUAAAAAAAAAAAGUAACUAACAUAUAUUAUUUUGUUAGUGCUUUUUAAAUCAAAUAUAAAAAAGAGAACUGUAAUUCUUAGCAACCAAUUUUUCACUGAGUACACCUACAACAAACUAUUAAAAAAUAAAGUGAUAGAAAAUGCCUGAUUUUUCGUACUUUCUAAUUACUUUUGGUCCUAAAAUAUGGCAAUUUGUGUAAUAAUAAGCCCAUGUAUAUCUUUAUGCCAUUAGUUUGAUAAAUAGCUAUCAAGGAUAACUUAUUAAGCUAAAAAUAUUUGAAGGAUAAAUUGAUUUAUGCAUCCAAAGAUACAUUAUAUAUUUCUGUGUCUCUAUUUAUAGAUGACAUUUAAGCAUCCAUAAACCGUCAGACAGAGGAAGGGGGUUCAGUGCAAAGAUUCUGUUGACCUAGGGUUGACUGCAUAAUGUCACUUGUUCGCAAUCUAUUAUUUAUUUUAUAUUUUGAAGAAUUUAAUGGGUAAUCCUAAUUGUUUGUUUUGGCAGGUAUGUGUUGUUAUCUCCUUCUAUCUAACAGUCGUACCUAAAUAGCAUAGUUUCAUCUGUGUUACCAUGUGAUGUACAUAAUUUCACAUUUGCCUCAGAUUAAGCUUAAUUUCCCACAGAAUAGAGCUGUCGUGACUGGACUUAGGUUGAUGUCCAAAGAGGUAAAUUAUUGGCAUGCCUAGAUAAUUUGGCCAUUUCCUAAUUCAUAAGUCUACAUUAAUUUUGAUUUUGAGUUGACUGAUUUCUUUUCAAGGUCUGCUUCCUUAACGGAGUGACCAAUGUUUUUCAACUAAAUUUAUCAUAUGAUGCAGGAAGCAGGGCAGGAUAUGAAAUGAGAUCUCAUUGGUGGAAGUAUUGCCAGUAGCAGAACCCAAUGAAAAUGAAACUAUUUCAAGGCAGCAGUUGGCAGUUGCAAGUGAAUGGAGGCCCUUGACAAAAUUCUCAAGCGGUUGCAAUGAUGGUAAUUUCUUCUCCUGCUUUGUAUUUAUUUGUUAUCUAAUUAGGAAGCGUGAAGUAUCUUGAAUCAUUUUCUGUAUCUGGAAUAUAUGCAAGAGUUUCUAAAAUUUUGAUAUGAGUGUAAUGAUGGUAAUUUCUGUUUUCUGUCUGUCAUCAAAUGUUAGAAAACUUUCAUUGAGACCCUUGAACCGAGUCAUUUUUGACAAGUGAAGGACAAUUGCUGAAGAGUGGGAAUGGUGCUAGAUUGGGGAAUAAAGACAAAGGAGGUAAAUUAUUUGCAGUUUAUUCAGCAUUAUUUGCUUUGGACCACCGCCUGAUUCACAAGUCUCCAUAAUUUGGCUUUUGACCAGUUAAUAAAUUUUUAAUUCCAUUGGUGCUAAAUGUACACGUGAAGCAGGCAGAGCAGGACUGUGGAAAUGAGAAGGUUUUUAGUGAAAGCUUAAACUCAGGUAAUUCUAAAAAGUACAUGUUUUUGCUGAUUUAUCUAAAUCAGGAAAUUUUAUUUCCAUCUGUUACAAGAUAAAACAGAAACAGAACACAAAGAAAAAUAUUCUACUUCUUGUGGCAAUCUUGCCUUCAUUCAGACAAUGAAACCAUUUCCUUUCACCAAUUUCUUCCAAAAGUUUGAAUAAGUUUCAUGGUUGGACAUAGUUAGCUUCUUUUUCUUUUUGGUGCAUUUAGGUCCUAUCAAGUGACAGCCAUAAGUAUGAUUGCAUUAUUGGGAAAUUUUAGGUUUGGAUGGCUCCCCAUGUUAUUGCCAAGAAAGUCCUCAUGUCAGAAGCUGCGGUUCUUUUCAUCAGCCUGAACCCGAACCUGUCGUUAUGGAUAACUCAGGUUUUUGUCAUCAACUAUAUCAUCUUUUUUACUGUUUUGAAACUCUUAAGAUUAAACUUCAGUAAAGUUGUUUCAGUUAUCCAUGUAAUCAGGCUAAGGAUAUUUAGCAGCUUAUUUAGGCAACUGCCAGAAUUCAGUUUGUUUGCUCGAAACUUGUAUGGUGACAAGGAUACUGGCAAGGAUAGUGAGAUAGUUUUUUGUGUGAGUGAAAUUUGAAAGCUUGGGUGUUCUGGGAUUUGCAAUUGCAAUCAUCCUCUGAGUCAGGUGAUUUCUUCUCCUGCUCUGUCUUGAUUUUCUCUCUAAUUGAAAGCAUAAAGUAUUUCAAUCAAAUUCUGUACCAGGAAUACGUAAAAGUUACUAAUAUUUUAUUUCCAUCUGUUUGCAUUGAUAACUCGGCGGCAUAUGUUCUAGUUAAAGAACAAACAGAAACAGAGUUCAGGAAAAAGUUUCUUCGGCCACCAUAUUUGAAAAUGAAACCAUUUCCAGGAAGCAGUUGGCAGCAAAUUCAUAUGGAGUGUAGACAAUGAUGAGCGAAAAGGUGAUACGCAAUUUCUUUUUUUUUUUUUUUAAGUGAAAUUAUUUGUUAGAUUGAAGCUGAUAUUGUAAGAAGGCCAUUGAGCUAACCUAUGUCGCCACUUGCCUAGAUUGCAGGGGGUCAAGACUCAAAAGAAGCACUGAAAUUUAAAAAAGCAUGCAAUAGUUCUUUUGCCAUGUGUCAAUUAAUGCAAGUUUGAAUAAGUUUAUUGGCUGAACGAUGUUAGCUUCUUUUCCUUUCGUGCACUUUGGUAUGCUAUCAAGUGACAGCCGUAUGUAUGGCUUGCGUAUAGCUGCUGCUGGGAAAAUUGACGAUUUCAUGGCUGGCCGUGUUAUUGUCUUAAAUUAGUUGUGAUAAGCUGUUGCUUGGAGAUUCUGUUGCCAAGACUUUGCUCACAUCAGAAGCUGUGGAAUCUGAACCCUUCGUUAUGUAUCAUCUUUUUCAUUGUUUUAAAACUCUCAGGAUUAAACUUGAGCGAAUUUGUUCGGUUGUCUAUAUAAUCAUGUAUUGAGUAACCUCUCAGGAUACUGAGCAGGCAAAUGUUAUAACUCGGUUUGUUAGCCAAAAACUUGUUGAAGAUUCUUGACAAAGCUGCAUCAAGUGAAUUGUCGGAGCUCUGAGGGUGAGAGAAAUUAGAGGGUGUAUAGGGAUUUGGAUUUGUUAGGAAGUUAUCAUUUUUAUUUUUAUUUUUAUUUUUUUCACAGAAAAUCUUCUGGUGGUGCUAUAUUUUCAAACGACAGUCCGAUUCAAAACUUGAUAUUCCAAUUAUAUUCAUAAGCUUCUACAGUUAUCUUCAAAAAGACAAAUGGAAGGCUUUGAACGGCUUGGGUCUGAGUAUUGUAGUUUGAUUUAUUUUGAUGAAAGUACCUUUUGACAUUGAGAUUCUUUCAUGAGUUAAACAUUCUUUUUAAAACCAACUUAUUAAAAAAAAAAAGUAACUAACAUAUAUUAUUUUGUUAGUGCUUUUUAAAUCAAAUAUAAAAAAGAGAACUGUAAUUCUUAGCAACCAAUUUUUCACUGAGUACACCUACAACAAACUAUUAAAAAAUAAAGUGAUAGAAAAUGCCUGAUUUUUCGUACUUUCUAAUUACUUUUGGUCCUAAAAUAUGGCGAUUUGUGUAAUAAUAAGCCCAUGUAUAUCUUUAUGCCAUUAGUUUGAUAAAUAGCUAUCAAGGAUAACUUAUUAAGCUAAAAAUAUUUGAAGGAUAAAAUGGUAAAACUAAAAGGGUGGAGUAAUAUAGUUAUUUAAGAUUACAUAGUAAGUCAACUAUAUUCGAGGGAUAAAAUAUUAAAACUUGAAUAGUGAUAUUAAAAAUAUCUCAGCUAUUAUACUAUUAAACCAUAUGCCGUAAUAAUAUUUUUUUUCAAACUUUAAAAAAUUCAGGAUUUUAAAUUAAAACAUGGAUUUCUUUAAGAUGCUAUAUGUGUUUUUACAGUAUUGAUAGUGGGAUUAGUGUGGACCUUUAGAUGAAAGAGUUUUAAUCUGAAUCAUUCAUUUAAUAUAAUAGAUAAUUAAAUAAUUAAUUAAAAUAUAUCAGGUAACUUAUAGGUUGCAGGUAAAAAAUUAAUUUUUUAAUUUUAAAUUAAAAUUAAUUUGGAACAAAACCAUCCACACCCCUAAGGUUUACUUAAAUGAUCAUAUAAAUCCCUUUAGUUUCUACAUAGUUAUACAAACCCUCUUAAUUUCAUAAAUUAUUAUUAUACUUUUAAUUAAAACAACCUAAAUGAAUAUAAAUAUAGUAAUAGGAUAGAAAUAAUAAAUAAAUAUCAGAUGAAACAAAUAAAAUAUUACAAUAAAUACAAUUAAUUAAAUAACAUGUAGGAUGAAAAUUUUAUUCAUAUUAAGUUAUUAUUAGUCGAUCUCGAUGGAUUUACUCAAAUUAAUUAAUCCAAAAUUUAAUUUUAAGAUUGAUAUUAAUAUGGACAUAAUUAAAUAAGAUGUUGUAAUAUAUAUUACUUUGAAUGUUAAGUAUAAUUAUCUAAUAUUAUUAGUAUGUGAAAUAGAUUUUAAUAUUAUUAAAAGAAUAUGACAAUAUAUAAUUUUGACAUAAAUUUUUUAGUAUUCAUAAUAUUUUAUAAAUUUUAUCUUAUUUUAUAUAUUAUAUUUUUUAAUUUUAAUGUAUUAUAUAUGAUCAUUUAAGCAAAUUUUGGAGGUGCGGUGGUCUUUUCCCUAUUAAUUUUGUAGCAUAUUUAAAGUGUUAUAUCAUACAUCAUACAUCGCACUUUUGUUAAAGUAUUAUGUUAUUAAAAAUUAAACUUUGCAUUUAUAAUAUACUACCAUUUUAAUGUAAAUGUAACAAAAAAUAUGAAGAUAUUUUUAAGUAGUCAAUUGUAGCUUUCUAUUACAAAAUAGCAGUAUAGAAAUACAAUUGGUAAAAUGUAAUAAAAAUGGUAUGGAAAAAAGUUAGUAGAGGCAAUUAUUUUUGUAGUUGCUAAAACAUAUGAAGUGACACACACACACACACACACACACAUCAAGUACUUGUAUGUUCCCCUAACUUUUAUUAAUAGGAAGGAAAUUAAAUUCGUAAUUUUCCCGGUGAAUUAUGAAUUGAUAAAUGAAAUAUAAAUAUUAGUAAAAAUUAAUUUGUCGACUAAAGAAGUAAACCAUAUUUUAUGGGCAUUUAAUACAUUACUUUAAGGUCAAAUGAGAUAUAUCACAUGAUAUUUGAUACAGUAGUCCAAUUUUCAACAUUUGCAUAUAGUUUCUAAGCUAGUAAUCUAAUAAAAUAUACCAAAUGAGAAAUUCAAGGCUAUUAUUUAUAUUUCACAAUUGGACAAACACCAUACAUUAGAAUAAAAAAAUCUCACAGUACAGACGACAUCUGUUUGCAUGUUUUGAAAAUAGAUUUUGAAAAUAGUUUAAUUACAUGAUAAUUAAAUUAUAUUAUAAAACUAAGAAUAUGAUUUAAGUACUAUUUUAGCAAUUUUGAGUCUCACAUUGAGUAUUCAAGUUAAUUAAAUGUUGAAACUCUUUUCUAUUUGGCUUGAAAUCACUACUUAAUUAAAUUACAAAAAGUCGAUAAUGAAUGAUGUAGGACACAUAUGUAAAAUAAAUUUUAAAGUGUAAUUAAACAUUCCUAUCAAUAUUAGUUUCGUAUACAUGUUCAUAUAUUUUAUUGAAACCAUAUAUAAUUAAAUUUUGUGUAAUUAAGUAAAAUAUAUUAUUCAAGUGAAUUUAUGAGAAUAUUUAAAAUUAUAGGGGUGGUCACUGAAAUUUGCCAAACUUGAGCCAACCGUGCAUGAUCCAAACAAUUUAUUUUAAUAAUUCUCAAUAUGUUAGUCUGUUUGACUGUUGGCAAAAUAAAUUCCUAUCAGCAAUGCAACACAAUUCAAAAUCAUAUCUGCAUACAACGAACAAUAUCUCAUCAAAGAUCAAAUUAUACAUUUUUUACACCAAAGCAUAAAUAUCUAAAUUAUCCCUCUUCAACUCACCAAGCUCAUACCUAACAACAGCAAGAUUAAAUGUCAUUUGAUCCAUCUUUUUUAGUAAGCUUUAUCAAUUCUUCUCAUGGUUGCAAUUUUGAAAGCUCGCUUCGCUAUUUCCAUUUGCUUUUAUGCUUUGUUUGAGCUCCAUCUUUUCUCUCCAUCUACAUUUUACACUGUAAAAAAAAUUUUAAAAAAAUUACAAAGCUUCUUAUACUAGAAUAUGAGCAACAAUAUAAAUAAUAAACAAUAAAGUUAUGAUAGCACAACAUACUCAUUAAAGUGCUUCUUUUUUUUUUUCAACAAGAAAUUACUACUGAAUUAAAGAAUUGGCUUUGCAUUAAGGUUUGCCUUCAAUAACUCAACUCCCCACUUGGGUUUUGUCGUUUUCUUAAAAUCUCUGCUCAAUCAAUUUAAAGAUCCAUUUUUUUUUUCUUUCCAAAGAUCUAAAAGCAAUGUCUUUUAUUGGUACCCAACAAAAAUGCAAGGUCUGUGAGAAGACAGUUUGUCCAGUUGAGCAGUUAUCUGCUGAUGGGGUUGUUUAUCACAAGUCUUGCUUCAAGUGCUAUCACGGCAAAGGCACACUCAAGCUAAGCAAUUACUCAUCCCUGGAAGGUGUUCUUUACUGUAAGCCUCACUUUGAGCAGCUUUUGAAGGAGUCGAGUAACUUCAACCAGAAUUUCCAAUUACCUGCAAAGUCAGCUGAGAAGUUAACUCCUGAGCUGAGAAGGUCGCCUAGCAAAGUUGCCAGCAUGUUCUCUGGGCCCAAUAAAAAUGUGCUUCUUGCAGUAAAACAGUGUGUCCGUGGGAGAAGGUAGCAGUGGAAAACCAAGCCUCUCACAAGACAUGUUUCAAGUGCUCACAUGGUGGUUAUUCCAUUAGCCCGUCAAAUUACGCAGCCCUAGAAGGCAUCUUGUAUUGCAAACAUAAUUUCUCCCAAUUGUUCAAGGAAAAAGGCAGCUACAACCACCUUAUAUCAAAUCUGCUCCCAUGAAGCGUGCUGCAGUCUCUGUUCAAGAAGCUUGAACACGUUAUGUUAUCUUCCAUAAAUCUUAUUUGGCGUGGGUUUUCUCUGGCUUGAGGGUGUGCUUUCUAUUUUGAUCCCUCUUGUUGUUUUUGCGGGGAACUACCAAACCUUCGGUUCCCUCUGCUUCUUUGGAUCAUCUUUGUUUGGACAAAUUUCAUGUAAUUAGAGAUACCGAUUUAUGGGAGGCAUAAUCCCAUGGUCGUAAAUUGACCAUUUUCUGGCAAUGUUCUUUUUAAAAAGAGAUGAGCAGUUGUUUAAAAAAAAAAAAAAUUGCUUGCCUUCAUCAUUGUAUAUUACCAAACUGCUAUGUAUAGCUGCUAACUAUGAGCAUCCGAAAAUAUGGUGCAUCGUGAUUCAUGUAGUGCAAUAUGGCUACCAACGCAUCCUAAAUGGAGUAUUACUCAGUUAGUCAGCAAAAUAAGACAACAUAACUGAUAUUAAAAAAAAAAAAAAACUACAUUAAUAAGUGGGCAAGAUCAUGCCAGUUUAACUUUUCGCGCGUCGCUGCUGGAGAUGAUCAAAUCGGGGCAUAGAAAAGGAGAAUGGAAUCAGAGGCUAAGAUUAAUAAGUGGGCUUCUGCUUGCUUUGCCCUCUUUCUUAAACGAUUGGUAGACUGCUGCUUCCGCCGAUUAACCGGGUCUUCAACCACUGCUUUUACUGCCUGCCAUCUUGUUGUUUGUCGAAGGGAUGAAUUCGAGUCGAAAAGAGAAAGCGCGCUGAAAAAGAUAAAUCACUAGUGGUUAACUGCUGACUCAGCCAAGUGUUGGCUUCACUUGAUUCACCGAUUGAGGUUAUUUUGUCUUCUAUCUAAUGCAGCGAAGAAGCUUUGCUGCUUAACAUGCUGCAAUGCAACUUUAUCCUUUGAAGUUCACACUCCAGGGCUGCGCACUUUAUGUAAUCCUAUGAGUAAAAAGAAUUUGUUUUCAAAUGUGAAAAAAGAAAAUGUAAGGUAGUAACUAAAUAUAUUAUAGCAUCAAAGCAAGAUUUGAUAUGAAUUUAGUACAACAAAGAACAUCAAAUCUGUGAUUCCUUGUCUAAUGUCACCAUCGAGCAACAAAUUUAAAAGCCUACCUAUCAAAUACACGAGGCAAUAAACGGAGAAAAAGUUGAAUUACAAGAACAAGUUUACAAUUCUUGUCAAUGGUUAAUGAUUUGUGAACUGAGAUAUCAUUCAAGAAUCCAAUUUCAAUACAACAACCUAAAAGAUAAACAGAUGAUGAAUUUUAUGAGAUAAAAAAGGAGAUCGUGUUUUAUCGUAUCUCUAUUUUCUUUCUUUUUAAAUUUAUGAGAUAAAGCGGUUGGUCCAGUUACGGUGUUAUGCUAACGGGUUUAAAGGUUCCGAUCCAAUGAGUUAGGGUGGAAUAUGAAUAUAUAAAUUCCAUAGCAUGUAAGGACUAGGAUUUGUUUGUUCAUAUCAAGAAAAAAAAUCUGAAAAUUUGAUGAUCAGAAGAUAAAAACACUUAAACACGUUUAAGUAUCAAUAAAUACUUGCUGCUGUAGUUUGAAAAUAAAAUGAGUUUAUCUUGUUGCUGUUUGAUAAAAAUUUAUACUAUUUUUAUUAAUUUUGUCAAAAUCAAUAUUUAGACAUUAUAUUUACCAAGCAUUAUCAUUUUUUUAAUCUCAUAAUUAAUUAAAAUUUUCAUUUCAUUCAAUACAGUAAUUAAUUAGAAUUGUAGCAUAAGCCCAUUUUAAUUUUCUUUCUUUAGGCUAUAUACGCUACUUAUAAGAAAAACUUAUGGACCAUUGACCUAGGCUUAUACAAUAAGCCAAUUUAGAAAUUGUAGACUCACUCUAUGGAUUACUCAUGAGUUGUGGAUGAUGAGUUCUUCACUAACGAAGUGCAUUGGAUAUCAUAUAACGUAAAAACACACAUUGUCAUUAGUCUAUUGCAAGCAUUCCCAUUUGGCACCGAAUCUUUCUCAUUAGCCUAUUGCAAGCGAUCCCAGCCACUUGGAAUCAAAAUUUAGUGAAUUUACAUAUGUUGUCUCGAAGUGGUGUCUCUUAUGGUUGGGUGUUUUUAUAAAUUUCUUAAUUGCUUCGAAUACCAUGGCUGAUGCAACCGUUUCUACUAUCUUGGAGCAGCUGAUUUCCUUCGCUGCUGAAGAGAUAAAACAACAGGUGAUCGAAGUUGCACCCCUCAUAUUACAAAUGCUUCCAAUGAUUUUAAUUGGUUUUGUUUUUAUCAAAAACAUUAUAUAUUUUUUCUUUAUUUUAUUUAUCUGGUAAUUUUAGAUUUUGAAAUUUGAAUUGAAUUUAAUUAAAAGGUGAUGUAGUAACCACUUAUUUUUAUUUUUUUUUAUUUAUAUUCUCAAUAACUACUCAUAGUUUGGUAACUUACUAUAACUUCCAUAUCUAAGAAAUGAUCCAAACCCACAAUUUUAACUCAAGUUUGUCAAACAGUCAUUAAUUCAAUGUUUAGUAAAAAAAACACUUCUCAGCACAGAAUUCCAUGUCCAUUACUUAGACUCUAUGAAAAAUUUCAUAAUUUUCUUACAUUCUUUGAGUUUGGUAAGUGAUUUCAUAUAUUUUCUAUUCAAUAUAAAUUUUAAUUUGUUUUCUUAUAUACUCUCUUUGCUGAAUUUGUAUCUUUUAUGAUUCUUAGAUUUUGGGCUCUAACUUUUUAGGAUUUGAUAGUCACAUUUUAUGCCAUGCUUAGAUUGAUUUUCAUGAUUUUUACUACCCGUUAAGUGACUUAGAAUUUGACAAAAGUUUGAAAGGAAAUCUGCUUCAGGAUUCUGUUUUAAUUGACCCUUUAGUGGAAAUAAAAUGCUUAUAACUUAAUGUGGAUGCUAUGUAAAAUCAUGAAAUUUGGAUAGAAUUAACUAGAAAUAUGUACAAGACUCUCCAUGAAGUCUCAUAAUUUUUCAUUCGGUCUGGGGUGUUACAGGUGAAGCUUGUGGUUGGUGUCGAAAAAGAAGUGAAAAGCCUUACCAGCCACCUUCAAGCCAUUCAAGCUGUGCUCGAUGAUGCAGAGGAAAAGCAAGUGAAGGACAAAGCUGUUAGACAUUGGCUGGGUAGGCUCAAGUAUGCAUCCUACGACAUUGAAGAUGUGUUGGAUGAGUGGAUCACAGGAAGACGCAAAUUGCAAAUUGAGGGUGGCAUUGGUGAAAAUGCUCUUAUUGCUCCUCAUAAGAAAAAGAAGGUACGUUUCUGCUUUCGUGCCUCUUGUCUUGGAUUCAAAACAGAAGAAUUUGGCUUCAAACAAGUCUUUCUACGUCAUGACAUUGCCAACAAGAUCAAAGAAAUGAAUGAAGAGCUACAUGAUAUUGCUACUCAAAAAGACAUGUUUAAUCUUGUUAAGAGUGGCAAUAACAGUAGUGAAAGACCAAGGCGUGUACAGAGUACCUCCUUGAUUGAUGAGGAAGAGAUUUGUGGUAGAGUUGGUGAGAAGAAUGAACUCAUAAGCAAGCUGUUGUGUGAGAGUAGCGAGCAACAAAAAGGCCUCCAUAUCAUCUCAAUUGUUGGUAUGGGAGGCAUAGGGAAAACUACUCUUGCACAACUAGCUUGUAAUCAUGACGAGGUGAAGAGAAAGUUCGACAAAAUUCUGUGGGUGUGUGUAUCAGAAACUUUUGAGGAGUUUAGGGUUGCCAAAGCAAUCGUUGAAGCUUUGGAUGGUCGUGAAUCUCAUUUAGGUGAAUUCCAAUCUCUUCUUCAACAUAUUGAUGAAUCCAUUGCAGGGAAGACCUUUCUUCUUGUCUUAGAUGACGUGUGGGAUGGAAAUUACUUGAAAUGGGAACCAUUCUACCGUUGUCUAAAGAAUGGUCUCCAUGGAAGUAAAAUUAUAGUUACCACACGUAGUGGGUCCGUUGCAUCCAUGAUGGGAUCCAUAGAUAUUAUUCCCAUUAAGGAAUUAGCUGAAGAGGAAUGUUGGUUGUUGUUUAACAAGAUAGCAUUUUUUGGUAGGCCUAUUGAGGAACGUGAAAAAUUAGAACAAAUUGGGCAAAGAAUUGCAGGCAAGUGCAAAGGUUUACCUCUUGCAGCAAAGACAAUAGGGAGUCUCAUGCGUUCUAAACAAACUGAAGAAGAGUGGAAAAGAAUUUUAAAUAGUGAUUUAUGGAAAGUAGAAGAGAUUGAGAAAGAUGUUUUGUCCUCUUUAUUGUUGAGUUAUAAUGAUUUGCCAUCUAGAGUAAAAAGAUGUUUUUCAUAUUGUGCUGUCUUUCCAAAAGACUACAAUAUAAAAAAAGACGAACUAAUCACAUUAUGGAUGGCUCAAGGUUAUCUUAGUGCAGAAGCAGCAGAACAAGAUGAGGAGUUGGAGACUAUAGGUGAAGAGUAUUUUGGCAUCUUAGCUUCUCGCUCUUUCUUUCAAGAGUUUGAGAAAAGUUAUGAUAAUCGUAUUAUAGAGUGCAAGAUGCAUGAUAUGGUACAUGAUUUUGCCCGCUUUGUAAGUCAAAAUGAAUGUUUUUCGAUGGCAAUUAAUGGUAGUGAAGAACCAAACGCCACAAACGCUCUUGAUGAGAAGGUCCGUCAUUUAAUGUUAAUAUUUAGUAAAGCGGCUUCAUUACCUAUUUCCACUCUUAGAGUUAAAAGAAUGCGUACCCUCUUAAUUAACGAUCAUUCAUUAUUAAAUGCUGCGAUCCUAGAAGAAUUAUUUAGGGAAUUGACAAGUUUAAGGGCAUUAGAUUUUGGCGGAUCGUACCACUCAACGCGGUUGUUGACUCCGGAGGUUCCGAGAAACAUAGAAAAGCUGGUACUACCGGAGACAUUGUGUGAGUUAUAUAAUCUAGAAAAGUUAGAUAUUAGUGAUUGUUUUAAUCUUAAAGAAUUACCUGAAGGGAUUGGGAAGUUAAUAAACGUGAAGCAUUUACUAAAUAGAGGUACUAAUUCUUUAAGGUACAUGCCAGUAGGGAUUGGGAGAUUAACAGGUCUUAGGACCUUGGGUGAGUUCCACGUGAGUGCAGGAGGAGGUGUUGAUGGUAGGAAAGCAUGUAGGCUUGAAUCUCUUAAAAACUUGGAACACCUUCAAGUAUGUGGUAUAAGUAGACUGGGUGAUGUAUCAGAUGUGGGCGAGGCUAAGCGAUUAGAACUUGACAAAAAGAAAUACCUCUCCAGUUUGACCCUUUGGUUUGAUAAGGAGGAGGAAGAAGAAGGAGAAAGAAGGAAGAACGAGGACAAUCAACUUCUUCUUGAAGCCCUGCGACCACCUCUCAAUUUAAAGGAAUUAGAGAUUGAGUACUACCGAGGCAACACUGUUUUCCCCAGCUGGAUGACGUCAUUAACCAACUUGAAGAGUUUAGAUCUCUCUUCCUGCGAAAAUUGCGAGCAGCUGCCUCCUUUGGGAAAAUUGCAGUCCCUUGAAAAUCUCCACAUAUGGCGCAUGGAGAGUGUGAAGAGAGUGGGUGAUGAAUUUUUGGGGAUAGAAAGUGAUCAUCAUGGCUCAUCUUCAUCUUCAUCGGUUAUUAUUGCCUUCCCCAAAUUGAAAUCACUUUCAAUUGAGGUUCUGCGCGAAUUGGAGGAGUGGGAUUAUGGGAUUACAAGAACGGGAAACACCGUCAUCAACAUCAUGCCACGUCUUUCUUCAUUGACAAUUAAUUACUGCUCCAAAUUAAAGGCACUGCCCGACCACUUUCAUCAAACGACAACAUUGAAGGAAUUGCACAUUUGGAAGUGCAGGCUUCUGGAAGAACGUUAUUGCAAUGGGGAAGGAGAAGACUGGUCUAAGAUAUCACACAUUCCCAACCUCCAUAUUGGGCUUUGACAAGUAAUUUCUUCUCUUACUCUGAUUUGCUUUGUUGUUGUUUUUAAUCUAAUUAAGAAGCGUAAAUAGCAUUUUGAAUCAAACUCUAUAUCAGAAAUCUGCAAUACUUACUUUCUAAUAUUCUGAUUUUCAUAUCCUAUGAAUAUACGAUUUUUAAUUUGUGAGAUGGGUAACGUUACUGUAAAAGAUUAUUAAUGCAAUAUGAGUAAUUCUUUUGCAGGACAAGUGACCUACAUUUAGUUUGGCUUUGGAGUUGAAUAAUAACCUUUCGAGGUCCCGACAACCAAAAAACGAAGCUUAAUUUGCCACAGAUUGCACGUAUUGCCAUUAUUGACAAUUUUCUGCACAAGCGUGACUGAACUUAGGUUGAUGUCAAAAGAGGUAAAUUAUUGGCAUGCCUGACUAUUUUGACCAUUACAUGAUUCAUAAGUUUACAUUAAUUUUGAUUUUGAGUUGAGUGAUUAAUUUUCUAUGUUUGCUUACUUUAACUGGGUGACCAAUUUCUUGUAACUAAAUGUAUGAUGUGAUGCAGGAAGCAGGGCAGGAUAUGAAAAGAGAAGCUUAUUAGAGGAAGGAUUGCCAGUAACAGAAUCCAAAGAAAAAGAAACCAUUUCGAGGCAGCAGUUGGCAGUUGGCAGUGAAUGGAGCCCCUUGAAAAAGUUCCCAAGCCGUUGCACUGCAAUUACGAUCAUCCUCGGCCUCAGGUAAUUUCUUCUCCUGCAUUUUUGUUAUUUGCUAUCAAGUGACUAUUUUAAGUAUGAUUGCAUUAAGCUGCUACUGGGAAAUUUGAGGUUUUGAGGACUGCCCAUGCUAUUGUCAGAAGCUGCGGUUCUUUUCAUCAGCCUGAACCUGGACCUGCCGCUAUGGAUAACUCAGGUUUUUUUUUUUUUUAAUCAACUGCCAUCUUUUCCACUGUUUAGAAACUCUUAAGAUUAAACUUUAGUAAAGAUGUUUUAGUUAUCCAUGUAAUCAGGCUGAGGAUACUUAGCUGCCUAUUUAGGCAAAUGUCAGAAUUUAGUUUGUUCGCUGGGAACUGGUGUGGACUGGCAAAGGAUGAUGAGAUAGUUUUUUGAGUGAGUAAAUUUUGGGAGCUUGAGUGUAUUGGGAUUUGCAAUUACAAUCAUCCUCUGCCUCAGGUGAUUUCUUCUCCUGCUCUGUCAUUGUUUGUUCUCUAAUUCAAAAGCAUAAAAUAUUUCAAUCAAUUUUUAUACCAGGAAUAUGCAAAAGUUUCUAAUAUUUUAUUUCCAUCUGUUACAAGAUCAAACUGAAGCAGAACUCAAUCAAAAGUAUGCUGCUUCUUGCGGAAAUCUUGCCUUUGUUCAGAUUAUGAAACCAUUUCCAUGCAGCAAAUUCAUCCAAAAAUUUGAAUAAGUUUCACGGUUGGACACUGUUGGCUUCUUUUUCUUCCGGGGUGCAUUUAGGUGCUAUCAAGUGACAGCUGUAAGUAUGAUUGCACUAAGCUGCCGCUGGGAAAUUUGAGGUUUUGAUGGCUGCCCAUGUUAUUUUCAAUAAACUAUUGAUGUAAGAAGCUGUGGUUCUUUUCAUCAGCUUGAACCUGAAACUGUCGCUAUGGAUAACUCAGGUUUUUGUUAUCAACUAUAUCAUCUUUUUCACUAUUUUGAAACUCUUAAGAUUAAACUUUAGUAAAGUUGUUUCAGCUAUUCAAAUGAAAAACUCAUUGAUUUGAGACUUCCUUCAUUAUUGUUUCUAAUUACAAUGCUAACGAUCCAGAUAAAAUAAUAUUUAAUCAACGAAGGUGUUGAUUGAUUUGAGACUUCCUUCAUUAAUGUAGACUUCCUUCAUUAUUGUUUCUUUUUCUUUUAUUCUAUAAAAUCUUGCAAUGAGCUUAGUGAAGCUGUUGUGCUAAUCAUGCCACUGCAUAAUUUGGCCCCUAAUGUGAGUACUCUGUUACAUUGUUCUGCAAAUUCUCCAGAAGUUAAAAUCAAUAAAUUUUCUAUUAGCUCUAGUGCUUUGACCUAAAUGCUAUUCUAUAUUCUGAUUACAAUGUUUUAACCUUUAAAUUAACUACCCCUAGAUGUUGGAUUUUCUAGAACUUCAAAAUGAUUAAUGGAGAAAGAUCCCAUUAUCGUUAUUGCUAUAAGAAAUUGAUUUAUGCAUCCAAAGAUACAUUAUAUGUUUCUGUGUCUCUAUUUAUAGAUGACACCUAAGCAUCCCAUUAUCUAUUAUUUAUUUUAUAUUUUGAAGAAUUUAAUGGGUAAUCCUAAUUGUUUGUUUAGGCAGGUAUGUGUUGUUAUCUCCUUCUAUCUUACAGUCGUACCUAAAUAGCAUAGUUUCAUCUGUGUUACCAUGUGAUGUACAUAAUUUCACAUUUGCCUCAGAUUAAGCUUAAUUUCCCACAGAAUAGAGCUGCCGCGACUGGACUUAGGUUGAUGUCCAAAGAGGUAAAUUAUUGGCAUGCCUAGAUAAUUUGGCCAUUUCCUAAUUCAUAAGUCUACAUUAAUUUUGAUUUUGAGUUGACUGAUUUCUUUUCAAGGUCUGCUUCCUUAACAGAGUGACCAAUGUUUUUCAACUAAAUUUAUCAUAUGAUGCAGGAAGCAAGGCAGGAUAUGAAAUGAGAAGCUCAUUGGUGGAAGUAUUGCCAGUAAGAGAACCCAAAGAAAAUGAAUCUAUUUCAAGGCAGCAGUUGGCAGUUGCAAGUGAAUGGAGGCCCUUGACAAAAUUCUCAAGCGGUUGCAAUGCAAUUACGAUCAUCCUCAGCCUCAGGUAAUUUCUUCUCCUGCUCUGUUUUUAUUUGUUAUCUAAUUAAGAAGCAUAAAGUAUCUUGAAUCACUUUAUGUAUCUGGAAUAUAUGCAGCAGUUUCUAAAAUUUUGAUAUGAGUGUAAUGAUGGUAAUUUCUGUUUUUUGUCUGUCAUUGAAUGUUAGACAACUUUCAGUGAGACUCUUGAACCGAGACAUUUUGGACAAAUGAAGGACAAGUGCUGAAGAGUGGGAAUGGUGCUAGAUUGGGGAAUAAAGACAAAGGUGGUAAAUUAUUUGCAGUUUAUUCAGCAUUAUUUGCUUUCGACCAGCGCCUGAUUCACAAGUCUACAUAAUUUGGCUUUUGACCAGUUGUUAAUAAAUUUUUAAUUCCAUUGGUGCUAAAUGUACACGUGAAGCAGGCAGAGCAGGACUGUGGAAAUGAGAAGCUUUUUAGGGAAAGCUUAAACUCAGGUAAUUCUAAAAAUUAAUUCUGAUUGUUCCGAUUUAUCUAAAUCAGGAAAUUUUAUUUCCAUCUGUUACAAUAAAACAGAAACAGAACACAGAGAAAAAUAUUCUACUUCUUGUGGCAAUCUUGCCUUCAUUCAGACUAUGAAACCAUUUCCUUUCACCAAUUUCUUCCGAAAGUUUGAACACGUUUCAUGGUUGGACAUAGUUAGCUUCUUUUUCUUUUGGUGCAUUUAGGUGCUAUCAAGUGACAACCAUAAGUAUGAUUGCAUUAUUGGGAAAUUUUAGGUUUUGAUGGCUCCCCAUGUUAUUGCCAAGAAAUUUUAAGUCCUCAUGUCAGAAGCUGCGUUUCUUUUCAUCAGACUGAACCCGAACCUGUCACUAUGGAUAACUGAGGUUUUUGUCAUCAACUCUAUCAUGUUUUUCACUGUUUUGAAACUCUUAAGAUUAAACUUCAGUAAAGUUGUUUCAGUUACCCAUGUAAUCAGGCUAAGGAUAUUUAGCAGCUUAUUUAGGCAACUGCCAGAAUUCAGUUUGUUCGCUCGAAACUUGUAUGGUGACAAGGAUACUGGCAAGGAUAGUGAGAUAGUUUUUUGUGUGAGUGAAAUUUGAAAGCUUGGGUGUUCUGGGAUUUGCAAUUGCAAUCAUCCUCUGCUUUAGGUGAUUUCUUCUCCUGUUCUGUCUUUAUUUUCUCUCUAAUUGAAAGCAUAAAGUAUUUCAAUCAAAUUCUGUACCAGGAAUACGAAAAAUUUACUAAUAUUUUAUUUCCAUCUGUUUGCAUUGAUAACUUGGCCGCAUAUGUACUAGUUAAAGAACAAACAGAAGCAGAGUUCAGGAAAAAGUUUCUUCGGCCACCAUAUUUGAAAAUGAAACCAUUUCCAGGAAGCAGUUGGCAGCAAAUUCAUACAAAGUAUAGACAAUGAUGAGCAAAAAGGUGAUUUGCAAUUUCAUUUUUUUAAAAUGAAAUUAUUUGUUAAGUUGGAGCUGAUAUUGUUAGAAGGCCACUGAGCUAACCUAUGACACUGCUUGCCUAGAUUGCAGGAGGUCAAGACUCAAAAGAUGCACUGAAUUUUAAAAGGCAUGCAAUAAUUCUUAUGGCCAUUUGUCAAUGGUGGAAGGCUUUUAGCUUCUUUUCCUUUCGUGCAUUUUGGGGUUCUAUCAAGCGACAGCCGUAUGUAUGGAUGGAUAUAGCUGAAGGACAACAUUUGUCCAUGAGGUUCCUAAAAUCGCAACUUUUGUGCAGUAAAAUUAAAACGGACGGCGGAAGCUCUAGAAACCUCGGAUCGGCUUCAUUCAAAAACUAAAAUCAAGAGGAAAGAUUGAAGUUUAAUUACCUCACUUGCAGUUUCGAAAAAGACUUCUUGAGGUAGGAGAAAACGACUGAAAACAGCAAGCUACGAACACUGUCCAGAAAAUACAGCUCUGCACGAACAGCUUCUGUUUUGCCACGAUCUGAGAUCCUUAAGCACCCCAAUUGUGAUGCCUCUAAUUAUUCCACACUUAUAAAUGUUCUAGGAGUUCAGAGGAUUUUGAAUCACGAAAUUUCGUUUAGAAAUGAGAGAGAUAAUGAUGAAACAUGAAUGCUAGUUCAUGAUGAUUCCCCUUCCACCAAAUAAAGCACCAUUAUGUCUAAUAAUGGCACCAAACAUUAUCAUGUGCUAGACCCAUCCACUUAGCUAUAAUUUAUUGAAAGUGAUCUUAUCACUUAAAUAAAUUAUUUAAUCAAAUUAAUAAAUAGCUAAAUUAAUUAAUUUCGUAAUUAAUUAAUUAACCCCAUUUUGAUCAAAUCAAAUGGUUAAAUGUGGGCUCAUUUUGUGACAUGUUCUAAUGCUUUCUCUUAAUCCAUAUUAGAUCCAAUAAAAGCCCAAAAUUCUAAACCCAAAAAUGGUCUAGAAGUCCAUAAUCAUAUAUGAACCCGAACAUGUCCAAAAUGGUCAUUUUACGUGCUCGAUAUUACAUAAUGUUUAAUGGAGGAUUUACGAAAUUUAUUUUGUUCCUUAAACUAUUUAUGGAACAUCUAAAUUUCUAUCUUAAAUCAUAUUUAAGAUAUAUUUAUAUAUAUAUGUAUAUUCAUUCUCAAUGAAUUAUAAUAUAAAUAUUGAUUUUCCUAAAAAUAGGAAAUUUAACUUCUCAUUUUCUAGUAACUCCUUUUUCAUUUCUAUUUAAUGUGUGACCUUUUAGGUUCUUAGUUAUAAGGUAGUAGAACUAUUUUAAUGAUAACUCUUUAUUCAUUAAAUGAUGCUAAACUCUUUAGUCAUCAAUUAGAACUCUUCUAAUGACCUUAAGAUGCAUUGAUAAUACGCUUUACCAAUAUUGAUCUUAAGGUUUCUACAAGUCAUGAGUGACACCUAGCAGUAUAUCACAACUAUCCAAAUAACAAGAAUUGUUGGAUCUAUAGAACCUAUUCCAUUGUACCUCUAUGUCUUGGUCUCUUCAUCAUCCAUGUCCAAAGAAAAGCACGGCUUAUGGUUUAUUAUGUUAAGCACUUAUGCUUUAUCUCAAAACAAAUCUAAAUGAACUUGACAUGAAAAUAUAAUUUGAACUCCUUCAAAUAUAUUUCACCUUGGCCAAGGAUUUCUCAUGCCAAUUCAUAUUAUCUCAUAGGGACAUCCUUUUUGUAUAUUACAAAGUGAUGAAUUCCAUAUUGGCCAUGCACUAGUCUUCAUACAUAUCCAACCAUGACAGUUAUUGCUAGAUCUCUUCCGUGAUUAGGAAUCAAUCAUUAUGCAUUCACAUAUCAGAGAUGUCUAUGUAUAAGACAUCUGUUAUGCCUCAGGUCUAAAAACCAUUACUAAACAUAGUGUUUAAUACAAUGUAUAAUAAGCCAUUAACACUCAAGACCAUAUAGCUUACUAUAUUUGGUCAAGUUUAGUAAACUUGUUCUCUCAACAAGUAUCUAUGUGUUUGACUUGACAUCUCAUGUCAAUGAUAUGAAACUCACCAUCUAUUUUAGUAUCACAUACCAUAAGGAGUCAUAACACAUACUAGUGUUUAUAGAAAUUUAUAAUGUCCAAUCAUAAAUCCACCACUAGGAACUAUUUUAGAAGUAUAGUACAAAGGAUACACGUUUCAUAUUCUCGACAAACUCGAGAAUGUGUUCCUUAACUAUUUUACAUCUUGGACUAUAUUCAUUAAAUUAAUUAAUGAAUAUUGAUAACUUUGCCAUUUUAUAAAUAUCAAAAUGCUAUUCAAAUACGAUAAUUCCCUAAACAAACAAACACCAUUUGAUUGGCCUUUAGGGCAUAUUACUAACAAUCUCCCACUUGCACUAAAGCCAAUCGCUAUGGUAUCUCAUACCCAUCUUCUCAAGAUGACGAUCUAACUCUUGUUGAGUAAGUGCUUUAGUCAGAGGAUCCGCAGUGUUAUCAGCGGAGGCUACUUUCUGCAUAGUGAUAUCACUCCUUCCAAUGAUUUCUUUGAUAAUGUGAUAUCUUUUUUCUAUGUGUUUGGACUUCUAGUGAGACCUUGGUUCCUUAGCUUGUGCUAUAGCUCCAUUGUUGUCACAAUAUAAAGAGAUUGACAACGCAAUGGUUGGAACCACUUCAAGUUGUUGAAUAAACUUCCGUGUCCAAACAGCUUCUUUUGCUGCAUCUGAUGCAACUAUAUAUUUCGCUUCAGUGGUAGAAUCUGCAGUAAUUGUUUGCUUAGAACUUUUCCAGCUUACUGCUCCACCAUUGAUAGUGAAUAAAAUCCUGAUGUAGAUUUUCUAUCAUCUACAUCUGACUGGAAAUCUGAAUAUGUGAAGCCUUCAAUUUUUAGCUUACUUUCUCCAUAUGUUAAGAACAAAUCUUUAGUUCUUCUGAAGUACUUAAAGAUAUUCUUAACUGCGGUCCAAUAUUCCUCACCCGGAUUACUCUGGUAUCUGCUAGUGACACUCACUGCAUUGAGCUAUAUCCGGUCUAGUACAUAGCAUAGCAUACAUAAGACUUCCAAUUGCAGAAGCAUAUGGAAUCUUAUUCAUUCGCUCUAUCUCAUCAUAAGUUUUAGGACUCAUGCUUUUAGAGAGAUGAAUUCCAUGUCUGAAGGGUAUAAAACCCCUUUUGGAAUCCCACAUAUUAAAUUUCUUUAAUAUCUUUUCUAUGUACUUAGCUUGACAUAGACCUAUUAAUUUUCUGGAUCUAUCUCUAUAAAUCCUGAUUCCCAAGAUAUACAUUGCAUCUCCUAGGUCUUUCAUGGAGAAGUUUUGAGAAAGCCAAAUUUUGACAGAAGACAUUUGUCCAAUGUCAUUUCCUAUAAGUAAUAUGUCAUCUACAUAUAGCACAAGGAAAGAUAUUGCACUCCCACUAACCCUUUUGUAAACACAUGGUUCAUCCUCAUUCUUGAUGAAACCAAAUGAUUUGAUUGCAUCAUCAAAUCGGAUGUUCCAGCUCCUGGAGGCUUGUUUUAGCCCAUAAAUGGACUUUCUUAGCUUGCAUACUUUAUGAGGAUUUGUCUUAGAUUCAAAACCACAAGGUUGUAUCAUAUAGAUAUCUUCCUCAAUGUACCCAUUAAGAAAUGCAGUUUUGACAUCCAUUUGCCAAAUCUCAUAGUCAUAAUAUGCUGCUAUAGCCAAUAAGAUUCUGAUGGACUUUAGCAUGGCUACUGUUGAAAAGGUUUCCUCAUAGUCGAUACUUUGUAUUUGACGAUAACCUUUAGCUACCAACCUUGCUUUAUAGGUCUCUACCUUUCCAUCUAAGCCGAUCUUCCUCUUGAAGAUCCACUUGCAUCCAAUAGGUAUAAUACCUUCGGGUGGAUCCACUAGAGUCCAGACUUGAUUGGUUCUCAUAGAGUCCAUCUCUAAAUCCAUGGCUUCAAGCCAUUUCUUAGAGUCAAUAUCUGAUAUUGCCUCUUCGUAACUAGUAGGAUCAUCUCUAUGAUUUGUAUCACCCAAUAAAAAAUAUAUCGUUCAUCUGAUGAAGAAAACCAUAUCUUUCUGGUGGGUGAAUUAUUCUAUUAGAUCUACGGAGCUGCUGUGUUCCUUGUGUUUGUACUUGAACAAGUUCUUCAUUGGAUUUAUCCUCAUUAGAAUUCUCAAUAAAUUCUAUUUUUCUUCCUUGUCCACCUUCUUGAAUAAACUCUUUUUCAAGAAAUAUGACAUUUCUACUGACCAAUACCCUUUGAUCAGAUUGGAUGUAAAAGUAAUAACCCAAAGUUUCCUUUGGGUAUCCAAUGAACCUCCCACUAUCCGCUUUAGCUUCAAGUUUCUCACUCUUGAGUCUCUUGAUAAAAGCAGGACAUCCCCAAAUCCUAAGAUGAUUUAGGCUUGGUUGUUUACCAUACCACAUCUCAUACGGUAUUUUAGGUACAGACUUGGAAGGUACUCUGUUUAGUACAUAUGUUGCAGUAAGGAGAGCAUAUCCCAAAGAGAAAUUGGUAAGUCUAUAUAACUCACCAUUUAUCGCACCAUGUCUAACAGUGUGCGAUUUCUCCUCUCAGAUACUCCAUUAAGCUCUGGUGUACCUGGAGGUGUCCAUUGUGAAACAAUACCAUUUUCUUUAAGGUAAGACUGGAAUUCUCCACUGAGAUAUUCACCACCUCGAUCUGAUCGUAGGGUUUUAAUAACUUUUCCAGUCUGUUUCUCUACUUCAUUUCGGUAUUCUUUGAACUUUUCAAAGGCUUCAGAUUUAUAUUUCAUUAAGUAUACUGAACUAUACCUUGAGUGAUCGUCGAUAAAAGUUAUGAAGUAGUAAUAUCCACCCCUUGCCAUUUCAUUAAAUGGUCCACAUACAUCAGUAUGUAUAAGUUCAAGUAAAUCAGUGGCCCUUGUACUUCGUCCAACGAAGGGUGCCCUGGUCAUUUUUCCUUGAAGGCAUGAUUCACAAGUUGGAUAAGGUUCUAAACCAAAUGGACCUAUUAGUCCAUCUUUAGCCAAUUUUGUGACUCUAUCUUCUCCAAUAUGACCUAGCCUUAAAUGCCACUUAUAUUUGGGGCUUAUUUCUUCUCUUUCACGUUUAUGUGUUAUGGUAUUUACAUUCACAACAUGCUCAUUAUUUUCUUUCAUGUUUAGUACAUAUAGAUCAUUAUCUAAAGUACCAUGUGCAACAUAUUUAUUCUCAUGAUAAAUAUUACAAAUUUUAUUUCUGAAAUAAAAUUCAUAAUUGUCUUUGCAUAAACAUGAAAUUGAAACUAUGUUCCUUACAGCAGAAGGAACAAAUAAACAAUCAUUCAAACUUAUUACAUGCCCAGAUGUCAUUUUUAAGAAAAAUGUCCCUAUAGCUGAGGCAGCAACUAUUGCUCCAUUUCCCACUCUAAGAGACACUUCUCCUUGUUUAAGUCUUCUACUUCUUUUCAGAUCCUGCAUUGACAUACAAAUAUGUGCGGUCGCAGCAGAAUCUAAAAUCCAAGAAGUAGAAUGAAUGAUUGAAAUAUUAGUUUCAAUAAUGAGCAUACCUUCAGAAGGAUUCUCUUUAGGCUUGACUUUCAAGCUGUUGAGGUAAGAUUUGCAAUUCCUCUUCCAAUGCCCAUUCUUACCGCAAUGGAAACAUUUUCCCUUGUCAUUGGGCUUAUUAGCUUUCCCCUUCUUAAUCCCACCUUUAGCCUUGGGUUGAAACUUUUUCUUUUUACCCUUUUUAGUUGAGGGCCCUUCUAUAGCCAUAACAUCUUUUGGCUUCUUUAUGCAAGUUUCAGCAGUAUUAAGCAUCUUUAGCAGUUCAGCAAGACUGCACUCCAUUUUAUUCAUGUUAAAAUUCAUGAUAAAUUGAGAGCAUGAGUCUGGCAAGGACUGUAGGAUAAGGUCGAUAGCUAAUUCCCCAUCCAUUGAGAAAUUAAGAGCUUCCAGCUGCUCUAUGUAGUCAAUCAUUUUGAGUACAUGAUCAUUGACCGAUCCUUCAGUCAUUCUCAUUCUGAACAGUUUCUUAGAUAUCUCAUACCUAACUGUUCUGCUUUGUUCACCAUACAACUCUUGUAAAUGAAGUAUCAUGGAACUUGCAUCAGGCAUAUUUUCAUGUUGCCUUUGUAGUUCAUUGGACAUCGAUGCCAAUAUAUAGCUUUUAGCACUUAGGUCAUCAUCUUGCCACUUCUGAUAAGUGACACGAUCUGCCUCACUUGCUCCCUCAGGAAUUUCAUUUAGAUUAGAUGUAUCAAGAACAUAGCUAAUUCUCUCAUAAUUAAGAACAAUUCUUAAAUUUCUGAACAAAUCAACGUAAUUAGGUCCCGUCAAACGGUAGUUUUCCAGAAUUCGUGCUAACAGAUUAUUCAUUAUUAAGUAUUUCUGCAGAAAGUAUAAAUUAAAUUAUUAGCAUUUUAUUUUAUUAUAAUCUAUUUGAUUUUGGUCUUUAAACCAAAUAGUGCCUCCUGUUGAGUGUUAGAAAAUGCAUAUUUAUAAAGGAGAAAACCGUCAUUUUACAUUUCAAGUCUUAUUAACAACCCUUACUUUUAUGUAUUUAACAUUCUUGUGAUUUAAUUACAUGUGUUUAUUUUAAUUAAGUAAUUUAUGUAUUUUAGGGGCAUUAUAGUCAUUUCACAAUAAAAGAGAGAUCAGACGGCAAAACGGACAUCACUUUUGAACUCAGGACGGUCGAAAACCUUAGGAGGAGCAUAAAAGGAAAAAUGACACUAUUCACAUGUACGGUACUAUUCACGGGUACGGUAUUGUCUACGUUACUGUUCACGACAAUGUUCACAUAGACGGAUCAAUGACGUGGCAUUGAUUGAUGACGUGGCAUUGACUGAUGAGGUGUCACGAUCCUGUUGGACUAAAAUUCUUAUAUACUGUUGAUGGUGACGUGGCAGCAUAUUAGUGGACGAAAAAUCUCGCGUACGGUGCAUGCAUCACACAGGAUUAUUUUCAACCAAACCGCGUUACUGUUCAUCCGGGUCAAACCGUGUUACUGUUCAUCCGCGUGGUCAAACCGUGGACUCUUGACUGAUGACGUGGCGCAAUCUUGAGCGUCCAAACUGUUUUUAAUCCGAUGGCCAUGAUUUACUCCAUGUAUCUAUAAAAAGGGGGCCUCUCCCCCCUAAUUUGAUAUCUCUGAAUCCAUUUUUGGGAUCCAUUUUCUGUAAUUCCUUCUCCAUCUUGUAUUUUCUUCAUAUUUUAAUAAAUUUCCAUUUUGCCCCUAGUUCAAUUAUGAGUGGCUAAUUUUCUUUCAAGCUUGGGUUGAAGGUGAAGUCUCAACAUGUGUCAUGGGCUUUAUUUGGUAAAUUUAUUUUCUCUUCCCCUCUAGUUUUUGUGGAUGUUUUGACUUCUCGUCGACAAAUAAUACUAAUCUUGUCUAGUACCGCCUUGGUUUCACCGGCCUUCUAGUACAAGGUUAUUAUUAUUUGGCACGAUAAGCCCUUAGCACCAUAUUGAUUAGAGCGUGGUUCAUGAGGUGUGGAUUCCCCCUUCAUGAUUUAAUUGGCAUUAAUACGGAUUAUAUAGCCCAUGAUGCAUGUUGAUACGGAUCCAGAUACCCAAGUACGUCAAUUUAAUAGAUUUCAUUUUCAAGUUAUUCUUGCCAUUUCAAUUCCAAUUUUAGAAUUUAUUCUCGCCAUUUUAAUUUAAGUUUUAGCAUAUUCCAAAUCAUUUCAACCACAAAUCCCACCACCCAUUUCCAAAAUUAAUUCUACACAUAAUUAAAAUCCACCUCCUCGUGGGAUCGACACUCGUCACCAUUAGUCUAUACUACAAUAGAUUCGUGCGCUUGCGAGUACAUUAAAAUUUGCACAACACGUCCCACUAUUUUAUCAUUUCCUUACACUCCCAUAUGUAAGAAACGGAAACUCUCAUUGGUAAAAGUUUCUAGUAGGAAUCAGAUUCUCAUUAGCCUAAGUUUACCUCACCUAACAGUUCUUGGCUUACUUAUUAUAAUGAGUAGGUAACUCUUACCAAAUGCAUCUCAUGCAUGUACCGAUUAUCCUUCGGCCUCUAAAUCAUUAAUACCUCACCUGACAGUUCUUAGUAUAAAUGAUUUAGUUAAGUUUACCCUAAUACCCUUGCAUAUUUUCAUAACGUCUUACUAACUUCACCUAACAGUUCUUGGUAGCUUAAUGUAUGAAUUACGCAUCAUCGCAUGAUAUAUGGUUUAUUUUCAACAUUUUAAUGAAUGAGUAGCCCAUGUAUCUAUGACAACUAGCCCAAGCAUAAAAUAUUUUAAAUAUUCCAUUGGUAUUAGUAGGCCAUGAUGGAUAUUCUCAAUAUUCAUCAUUACAACUUAACAAUAAUUAUGUUUAUUUAAUUAGGGAGUAUUUGGUCAUUAUUAUGGUCUCACUUUUUAGCAUGUUAUUCCAUUUUCAAUAUUCAAAUAUGUCUAAGCACCCUAAUAUACAUCUCAUGCAUAUUAUAGACAAGCCAACUAAGGAUGAUCAUGGAAUUUUCUAAUAAAACCAAUUUGAGCCAAAAUUAGUUUUAAGGUCCACCUAGGUAUCAAGCAAACAAUAAUAAUUAUGAGACAUCCCAUGCCUCAAAUUAUCAAGCAAACAAUAAUGAUUAUGAGACAUCUUAUGCCUCAAAUUAUUACAAUUAUUAAUUUCUAUUUGAAUGGCCAAAAUAUCAUUGGAAGUGAUGCAACGAUCCACAAAGACUUCUUACUCCAACCUCCAAGGCAUCGCAACGUCCCUCCUUUGACAAUCAUCUUGUAGAAAUUACAUAUUUAGAAGAAUUGGAGUACAAAUUUAGGGGUAAUGGGAUACAAUCAGAUCUUAAUAGAAGGAGAGACAUGCAAGUCCCUAUUUAAAAAUAUAACAACCAUUUAAGCCUUUAGAAAUCGGCCAAAUCAACAAAUAAAUCAAUAGAUCAUUCAAUCACACAUAUAUUCAUUCAUCACAUGACAUAAAUAUAUCAUAAAAUAUCUAGGUCUUUCCAUGAUCGUCCUUCAUGCUAUUAUAAAUGGAAAUAACAUAAAUCAUGCUUCAAAAAUGCGAAAUUGAAUGAAGAUGGCUCUGAUACCACUUGAAGGACAACAUUUGUCCAUGAGGUUCCUAAAAUCGCAACUUUUGUGCAGUAAUAUUAAAACGGACGGCGGAAGCUCUAGAAACCUCGGAUCGGCUUCAUUCAAAAACGAAAAUCAAGAGGAAAGAUUGAAGUUUAAUUACCUCACUUGAAGUUUCGAAAAAGACUUCUUGAGGUAGGAGAAAACGACUGAAAACAGCAAGCUACGAACACUGUCCAGAAAAUACAGCUCUGCACGAACAGCUUCUGUUUUGCCACGAUCUGAGAUCCUUAAGCACCCCAAUUGUGAUGCCUCUAAUUAUUCCACACUUAGAAAUGUUCUAGGAGUUCAGAGGAUUUGGAAUCACGAAAUUUCGUUUAGAAAUGAGAGAGAUAAUGAUGAAACAUGAAUGCUAGUCCAUGAUGAUUCCCCUUCCACCAAAUAAAGCACCAUUAUGUCUAAUAAUGGCACCAAACAUUAUCAUGUGCUAGACCCACCCACUUAGCUAUAAUUUAUUGAAAGUGAUCUUAUCACUUAAAUAAAUUAUUUAAUCAAAUUAAUAAAUAGCUAAAUUAAUUAAUUUCGUAAUUAAUUAAUUAACCCCAUUUUGAUCAAAUCAAAUGGUUAAAUGUGGGCUCAUUUUGUGACAUGUUCUAAUGCUUUCUCUUAAUCCAUAUUAGAUCCAAUAAAAGCCCAAAAUUAUAAACCCAAAAAUGGUCUAGAAGUCCAUAAUCAUAUAUGAACCCGAACAUGUCCAAAAUGGUCAUUUUACGUGCUCGAUAUUACAUAAUGUUUAAUGGAGGAUUUACGAAAUUUAUUUUGUUCCUUAAACUAUUUAUGGAACAUCUAAAUUUCUAUCUUAAAUCAUAUUUAAGAUAUAUUUAUAUAUAUAUGUAUAUUCAUUCUCAAUGAAUUAUAAUAUAAAUAUUGAUUUUCCUAAAAAUAGGAAAUUUAACUUCUCAUUUUCUAGUAACUCCUUUUUCAUUUCUAUUUAAUGUGUGACCUUUUAGGUUCUUAGUUAUAAGGUAGUAGAACUAUUUUAAUGAUAACUCUUUAUUCAUUAAAUGAUGCUAAACUCUUUAGUCAUCAAUUAGAACUCUUCUAAUGACCUUAAGAUGCAUUGAUAAUACGCUUUACCAAUAUUGAUCUUAAGGUUUCUACAAGUCAUGAGUGACACCUAGCAGUAUAUCACAACCAUCCAAAUAACAAGAAUUGUUGGAUCUAUAGAACCUAUUCCAUUGUGUCUCUAUGUCUUGGUCUCUUCAUCAUCCAUGUCCAAAGAAAAGCACGGCUUAUGGUUUAUUAUGUUAAGCACUUAUGCUUUAUCUCAAAACAAAUCUAAAUGAACUUGACAUGAAAAUAUAAUUUGAACUCCUUCAAAUAUAUUUCACCUUGGCCAAGGAUUUCUCAUGCCAAUUCAUAUUAUCUUAUAGGGACAUCCUUUUUGUAUAUUACAAAGUGAUGAAUUCCAUAUUGGCCAUGCACUAGUCUUCAUACAUAUCCAACCAUGACAGUUAUUGCUAGAUCUCUUCCGUGAUUAGGAAUCAAUCAUUAUGCAUUCACAUAUCAGAGAUGUCUAUGUAUAAGACAUCUGUUAUGCCUCAGGUCUAAAGACCAUUACUAAACAUAGUGUCUAAUACAAUGUAUAAUAAGCCAUUAACACUCAAGACCAUAUGGCUUACUAUAUUUGGUCAAGUUCAGUAAACUUGUUCUCUCAACAAGUACCUAUGUGUUUGACUUGACAUCUCAUGUCAAUGAUAUGAAACUCACCAUCCAUUUUAGUAUCACAUACCAUAAGAAGUCAUAACACAUACUAGUGUUUAUAGGAAUUUAUAAUGUCCAAUCAUAAAUCCACCACUAGGAACUAUUUUAGAAGUAUAGUACAAAGGAUACACGUUUCAUAUUCUCGACAAACUCGAGAAUGUGUUCCUUAACUAUUUUACAUCUUGGACUAUAUUCAUUAAAUUAAUUAAUGAAUAUUGAUAACUUUGCCAUUUUAUAAAUAUCAAAAUGCUAUUCAAAUACGAUAAUUCCCUAAACAAACAAACACCAUUUGAUUGGCCUUUAGGGCAUAUUACUAACAAUAGCUGCUGCGUUGAUUUCUAAUGCGGUGGAGUAAUCGUCGUUAGAAUCUGAAUGAUAUGUCUAAGACGUUGCAUGCAUCAAGAAAAUUGCAGACGAUUAAACCUUGCCAUCUAUGCGUUGUAUGAGGUUAUAGCAACUAUCUAUCUGGUCACCGUUUUAAAAGAAUAAGACAAAGGGAAAAAGAGAAAGAAAAGAAUGAUUCGACAAUGGCAUUAAAGUUCAACAUACCCCAAGAUCUUGUAAUAAUGCCAUUAAUCAUUCUCUAGCUAGGCUAGCCUUAGAGAAAAGUGAAACUGUUGCACAGGUAGAAUCAAACCCCUCAGAGAUAUGAUGAGUUCGUGAUGCUUGCAUUUUAUUGAUGCUGAUGAUUCGUUGAAUGUUUUAUGUUUUUGAUUUUUAAGUAUUCCGGAUCGAAGUUUGUGUCUACGCGGAAAUUGUAAAGGCAGCAUAUAAAGUACUCGUCGUUCUUUAGAUUUUAUUGAGUACACUUUUGUCACAUUUAGCGUAUGCUAUACACUACUGAUUUGCGCAUUGACAUAUAUCUUAUUUUAUCAUUUUGAAUGAAUUACACGGCGAGGCUUAUCAACUUUGGAUGAAUCCUCCAAUUGUCACAGUCCAAGACUGGCUGCAGUGAGUGAAAAUUUACCCAUAUAUAUGCUGGCUAUUUUUAUUGGCGACGAAUUCGUUGUAGUUGGUCCAUCUUGCUAUUCUCGGACAAUAUUAGAGAAAAUAAUCAUAUUAUUUCGCGUGAUGUGACCUUCCAUAACUUAUCAAUUGAAUUACUGUAAAAUUAUUGUGUAAGUUUAGGCCCAAUGGCACUUUAGUUCAUCACAUGAUAGCCUGGAUUUAAAAGGAAAACUAUAUUGCAUUGCUUCAAAAAAAAAAUUUAAUGUUUUUAAUAUGAAUAUUUUUAACUAUAUUCAGUUAAAAUAAUAUAUUCUUAAUAUUAAUAUUCAUAGAUGAAAUUCUUUUGCGGAUUUAAGAAUAAAAUAUCAAAUAGUUUUAUUUUUCUUUUGUUGUGUAACUCGGACCGAAAAAGACAAUGAGCUUAACAUGACCCUCCUUCCGGCACUAUGCAUGUUUUUCUUAUAUUAAUGACAGUGCUCUUGGUGCUUCUCAUCUGCUUCUUGCUUUGGUUUCAAACAAGUCUUUCUCCGUCGAGACAUUUAUUGUAAUUUGAUUUGGAGACAUCUGUCGUUCAAAUAUAUUUCAUAUGCAAGCCGUUGAUAAUUCUGCUUGAGAAAGCCUACAAAGCAGCUGUGUGAUGUAAUAGAAGACUAUAUAUGCAAACGGUCAUCAGUUUCUCUUGAAUUCUUUCUUGAGUUUCUUUGAAUUAUUUGUGAAUGAGUUCUUAAUCGGCUGCUGCUCUUCAGGAAAAGGAAAGUGUUGCAAACUGGUGAAGCUGAUCGAUAAAAGCAAUGUACCAUCUUUGCUGGCAUGGAUCGAUGCCAGUGAGUUUUUUUAUUUGUCAACCUUUUUAAUAAUGCAUAUGUUUUUCUUCAACUUGAAGCGGCAUAUAAGACGAAAGAAGUGAUCUUUAAAGCAUUCUAUGGCAUUAUCCUUUCCUAUUAUAUAUAUCCAAUUGCUCCAAAUUAUUUGUAAAUUACUGAACACGAAUGCUGGUGAAUAAACUGAUGGCUCUAUGUAUGUAUGCACAUGCAUGGAGAAAUUUUAAGUCAGACAUUCUCAUAUAUAACUCGUGCUACCAAAUCAUUAAAUAAUCUUGAAAUCAAAGUAAUAAUUAAAUACAAAUAAAUUGCUCGAAUUGUACAUAUAUCUGAAUCAUGUAGUGAAGAAAAUACAACAACAACAACCAAUGGCUCAAAUUCCCCAUCAACUUCUAGUCUCAACACUUUUGAGUGUCAGAAGCAUUACUCUGCUACCAGUUAACAAACAUAUAAUUAGUAAUUAGCUAUUCACUUCCCUUUUAGGCCUACCACAUUUUCUACAAAGAAGCCAUAGAGAAUCAGCAGGAAACACUCAAUUUCAACCUAUGUAGGACCAGGAAUUUCAACCAAAAAAAAAAAAAGUGUGCAAUUGCUUAUCCUAUCCUAUUGCUACUAGAAAGAAAGUGAACAAUUAAUUUCAGUGAAUAAAUUAAAAAAAAAAUUACUUCUGCAGAUACUCAAGCUAAGAACACAUUAACCCAUUAAAGACUCCAAAUUGCAUCAAACAAAUUGUUGUUAAACAAGUAAAACAAAGAAAGAGAGUUAAGGAAGCUGACCUAGUAGUAGGGGAGCUGAAGAAAGACUGCCAGUGAAUGUAAGAGAAAAUAAAAUGCAAGAAAUGGUGAAGUGCAGCUUUUCAUGUCAACUUGAAAAUGAUUUUUCUGUUUUUUUUUUUUUUUUUUUUUUGUAAUCUUUUGGAUUUUUCAAACAAAGAAAAUGAGGAGCAACCAGGGAGAUAAAAAGGGCGCCAAGGCAACUGUGUGUUGGGUUUAGAGCCAAAAAAAAAAAAAAAGAAUAAGACAUCGUGUUCUUGUGGAGACCAGACCUAUUACGUAACGUCCCCUUCAAUACCACUUGUUCCGUAUCUGGUUUUUUCUUCGUCUUUUACAUAUUUAUCCUGUGAUUUUACAAUAACUAAAUAAUCCCCCCAUAGUUUGCAAUUUUAUUCAUUUGAGCCCUACAGAUUUCAGUAAUAGGAAUUAUUAAGGGACAAGAGCGCAAAACAGAAACUCUGUCCACUACUGAUGAUAUAACAACGAACCUUUGUUUUUUUCUUUUUCUUUUUUUAAAAAAAGAGUAACAAAAUAUCAUUAGACAAAUGAAAAUAUUAUCUAACAUCACCCUACUGAUGAUAUAACAACGAACCUUUGUAGUUUCUGCCUGUUAAUAUGAAUUGAUCGGGAGUGUUUCCUCAAUUAAAAAUUACGAAUUUACAAAAUAUGUAUGUAUGUACGUACGUAUAUAUGUAUGUACAUAUAUGCAUACACCUAUGUAACAUUUACUUAUCCAUUCUUUUGAGUUUAAAACUUAAUACACAUUUUCAUGAAAUUUUUUAUUUUAUUAAGUAUACAACUACAUUAAUGUAUAUAUUUUUUAUAUAAGACAUGCCGUCCUAUUAUUCGUAAGUAAAACAAUGUGUUGUGAAUAGUAUUCCGUGUUUUCUCAAAGUUGACUUUUCGUCUUUUAUUUUCAGACGCAGACGAUAUGUCAUUUUGUAAUCUUCCAAACAUAUACAGAGCUGAAUUGGUGUUAUCUGAUUUUGUGAUGCAAUGAUAUUUGCACUUCCUGUGCACUCAAUGGAAUCAUUUCUUUGUAACUAAUUGGGUGGUGGAAUCUAUCAAACUCCAGAAACAGGGAAACCAUGCCACGCUAGUAGACAAUAUGCUAGUUUUAACAAACUUGUUUGAAUGGCAAAAACGACAUGACCUGCUGUAGUAUUAGUUCUUUCCCGAACCAACGGGUGAUUUGCUACGUUGGAUCAUGAAAAUUGAAAAAAAAAAUUAACCAAAAUAAAAAUUCUUAAGGAAUUAGUUAGUUAAUUGAUUGAUCGAAUUUAAUCUAAAUUUGAAAAUGAUAAGAUAAAUUUAAAUUUAUUAUUAUUAUUAUUAUUUUAAAGUGGGUGGGUUUAUACAAUUUGAGCGGUGGAAAUAUCACUGCUGAAUUAUUAAAUAUACAGUGUAAAAUUUUGACCUUUAAAAUAUUCCCUUUUUUUUUAUUAUUUAGAACUAUAAGUUUAAAAAUUUAACAUUUUACCUCAAUAAUUAAAUACUUUUAACUUUAAUCUUCAAAUAUUUACCCUACAACAUUUGGACCUAAAUUUUUAAUCCGACUCGGCCCCUGACCCAAGUGGGAAGAAGAUCAGGCUUAUAAGUUAUAACUAUCACCAACAUAACAUCUUCUGGAAAAUAAUAAGAUUACUCACCUGCAAUUAUGUGAUCAAACUAAUGGUAAGCAAAAUAGAACAGCGUUAUUUCAGCCCCCUUUCAGUUUCUUUAUCAUUUUUCUUUUCCUAUUUAUAAGCUGAAUUCGGUUCAAAAUCGGCUAAUUCACUUUGAUUUCACUUUUCUUUCUUUCGGUUCAAAAAAAUUGAACCCAUUGGCUGUCAAUUCAAUUUUGUUGAAAACCAACUUUGCCUGAAUUUAAGUAAUAAUAGAGGAAAAAAACAAAAGAGUACUUAGCAGAAGAGAUUUCUCAUUUUUUUCUCAUUCAAACUUCUAAAAUAAAGGAAAAAAAAACAAGAGUAAUUGUUAAUUAUCAAAAUUUUGUUUAUACUAUUCCACCAAGAAAAUUAUAAAAAAAAAAUUUUAAAAAUUGGAGAAGAAAUAUGAGGUGAAAUACGUGGAUGGCUUAGACUAAUAAUGUGAACAAAUUCCUCUCGGAAACAUGUCAUUGUUCAUCCGGACAACACGCGGCGAUGAGAUUCAAGAAUGAAAGGAUAGGAAUCAACUGUAACCUCAUAAACAAAUGGGCUUGGAGUUGUAAACACCAAGCUCGGCAGAUUAAUUAAACAAAAAUAUCCGAAUUUUCUAUGAUAAUCUCUAGGAAACGAUCAGCUAUAAUGUACGAAAUUAAAAUAUUGCAUAUAUUUUUGAAUUUUUGAACUCAUGCAUUAAUUUCAAAAAUUAUAUCGUAUUAUAAUUUAUUCACAAAAGAAAGAAAAAUUCACUAAUCAAGUGAAAUCGUAUUCUUAUUGAAAUGAAUUCCAGUAAUUGGAUAAAUAUAAGUAUUUCUUCCAUUGUAAUUUUUGUUUAAUAGAAAAUCUAUUUGAGAUUUUGUGAGAAGAAACUCAACAAUAAAGUUUGAUAGACUUUGUGGAUAUUAAGAGUUUGACAAGUAAUUGAAAUCUGAAGUUUACUGAAGUUUACGAGCAAACAAACUGAAAUCCAAAGUUUACUGAAGUUUACUAUCAAGAGUUUCAAAACAGUGAAAAAGAUGAUAUAGUUGAUGACAGAAACCUGAGUUAUCCAUAGCGACAAGUAACAUACUGAAGUAAGCCGUUGGGAGCUGGCCUGUUCAUGGGCUAUUUUUCUCUGAUGAUCUGCAUUUUUCUUCCUUUUAAGUGAACCUUGACUCGUAUCAAACCUGUCAAAAGAACAGUUCAUCAACUGAGCUGAGAUUUGCUUUCCUUUUUCAAAACCCACCUGAGAUAUUGUAAUUCCCAAAUUUCUCUCUCUCAGCUACACGAGCAAGCAGCCGCUUUUUCACUUCAUCGAAGAAGGUAAGCGAUAUAUCUAUUUCGUCCGAUUGAUUUCUUGUUUCCUUUUCAGUGUUCGGGUAAAUUAUUGGCAUGCCUGACUUUUUGACCAUUACAUGAUUCAUAAAUUUAUAUUAAUUUUGAUUUUGAGUUGACCGGUUACUUUUAUAGGUUUGCUUACUUUGACUAGGUGACCAAUUUCUUGUAACUAAAUUUAUGACGUGAUGCAGGAAGCUGGGCAGGAUAUGAAAUGAGAAUCUUAUUAGUGGAAGGAUUGCCAGUAACAGAACCCAAAGAAAAUGAAACCAUUUCAAGGCAGCAGUUGGCAGUUGGGAGUGAAUGGAGGCCCCUGACAAAACUUCAGUAAACUUCAGAUUUCAGUUUGUUUGCUCGAAACUUGCAUGGUGACAAGGAUACUGACAAGGAUAAUGAGAUAGUUUUUGUGUGAAUGAAAUUACGACCAUCCUCAGCCUCAGGUAAUUUCUUCUCCUGCUUAGUUGUUAUUUGUUACCUAAUUAAGAAGCAUAAAGUAUCUUGAAUCAUUUUCGUUGUCUGGAAUAUAUGCAACAGUUUUUAAAAUUUUGAUAUCAGUGUAAUGAUUGUAAUUUCUGUUUUCUGUCUGUCAUCGAAUGUAAGGCAACUUUAUUAAGACUCUUGAACCGAGUCAUUUUUUACAAUUGAAGGACAAGUGCUGAAGAGUGGGAAUGCAAAAAUUUUUGUUGUUUUUAGCCUUGUUUUCUUUGAACCAGCGCCUGAUUCUCAAGACUCCAUUAAUUUGGCUUUUGAUCAGCUGAUUGAUAAAUGUUCAAUUUCUUUGGUGAUAAAUGUAUAUGUGAAGCAGGUAGCAGGGCAUGACUGUGGAAAAGAGAAGAUUUUAGUGAAAGCCGAGACUCAGAUAAUUCUACGCGUUUUGGCUGAUUUAUAUAAUUCGUGAAAUUUUAUUUCCGUCUGUUACAAGAUCAAACUGCAAUUAGCAAUUUAACAUUCCCUUAAAACCACUAGCUACAUUUCAUCUUUCCACAAUUACACUUAAAAUUCCACUAAAAGAAACUCUUGAGGUGCUCUGAUGAGCAUAUAAUAUAUACAUAUUUUACCCUUAAUUAAAUAAUUGCUAGUUAUAUUUAUUUGUUAUUUUUAAUUAAUUGAAUUAUUUUAUUGCAUAGAGAAUUAAUUGAAGAUUGGAAAUAAAAAGUGCAAAAAGAAUAACAAUUUAGGAGAAUAUUAGUUGAAGUCAUGACAGAGUUAAGAGCCAAGAGCAAUUUGCAUUGAAUUUUAAUUCUCCAAUUGAGUUGCACGUGCAUGGCAUUGCAAAAGUGGAAAGCAAUUUAAAUGGGGCCCACACUUGACUUUCAAAAGUGGAAUUAAUGGCUUAUGGUGGCGUUAUUAUGGAAGCUUUGUUUUAUAAUUGGAAAAGGAUUUUAAUUAGUAGACAAAGAGGAUUCGGUGGUUAAGCAUUAUAAAAAGAGCGUUUUGGCUUUUGAAUGAGGGGAGCCGCCAGAGGACGGAAACAAAAGGGCUGGAAGAGAGCAAUCGGUAGUAGCAAUAUUUCGGCUUCCAUGGCUGAUUUUAUUUCUUGUGUUGCUCUCAAUUUAAGUAUGUCUAGCUAAUUUUCUUAUGCUGAGGUUAAGGAUAAAACCCUAUUUAAUGAAAUAAUUAUCUUUUUAUUUAAUUAAUUCCUUAUAUAUGUUCUUUGAUGAUUAUGGUUUUUAUUUCACAUGAUUAAUUGGAUGUUAAUAAAAUCUUUUCAUCAAUUCUGUCAUGCAUUAUUGAUUGUUAGGAUUAAUAUUCGAUUAAUUCUAUACUUGGAUCUAUAAAGUUUAUACAUGAUUAUCUUUGAUUUUAUGUCUUUCAUUAAAUUGUUGACAUGGAGUGCUUAGGAAACUUUGACUCUUUGUUAUUCAAUAUGUUUACAUGAGAUUCUUAGAUGUCAUACUAUUAAGCAGAAAAAAACCUACAUAAGAUUAAUUUUAUUUGGGCUUAAUUGUUAUAUCCAUGAGAUGACAUAGAUAGAUUUCGAGUUGUCACUCUAAAAUUGGGGAUUAAUUAAUAAUUAGCUAAUUACUAGUUGAAUAGUGGUGGAUUCUGAAACCUUAGUAAUUUGUCUUAUUGAUUUCUCAUUUGCUUUAAUUGUUUUCUUAGUUUAAUUAGUUUAAUUUCUCUUAAAACUCAAUUUGCUCAACUAAGUUAGAAUUAAUAUUAAUUUUAGAUUUAAAUUAGACUUUUCAAUUUAUAACAAUCCCUGUGGGAUCGACCUCGUGCGCUUGCGAAUAUAUUAAAAUUUUCACAACAUGCUCGCAAGCUAUAUAUCAUUAUCCAUUGAAUUCUUACCACAUAUAUCUCACCUUUCAAUCAAUCACAUAAUAAUCAAUAUACAUAUUGUAAGAAUUCAACAAAUGGAGAACAUAAUAUACUAUAAAAGCAUCCAAAAUUUUUCCUUCUCAAAUUAUUACUAAACUUCUUGAACAAGUUGAAGAUUGGGGGGAAAAAGUGCAAGAAGGAAAAGCAUUAUUCUACUAGCUUCUAGAAAGCAAAAUACCUUCUGCUGAUUGCACAUUGGAAUGGGAAUAAGUUGGUAAACAUAUAAGUUACAUAAAUUAUUUUGGAUAAUUCUGCUGGUGAAUUAAUUAUCUUAAAAUCACCCUUUUAUUUUUAAAAAAAUCUUAAGUUAUUUUUCAUAUAUCUUAAGAAGACAAACAAACUUUCAUCGACUCUCCUUUUUUAGCUUUUCCCUUCAAUAAUGUUAGAAAUUCUAACAUUUGAGUCAUGCUUGAGCUUAAUACUAUAUAUCACUCAUUUAUUAGAUGUUGAAUUUUUUAAAUUAUAAAGUUAUUUGACUACCAUCCAAUGAAUGAAUGUCACGUCAUUUAAAACUCAAAGAAAAGUAUUCUACUUCUUGCGGCAAUCAUGCCUUCAUUCAGACUAUGAACCAUUUCCUUUCACCAAAUUCUUCAUAAACAUUGAGUAAGUUUCAUGGUUGGACAUAGUUAGCUUCUGUUUCUUUUGGUGCAUUUAGGUGCUAUCAAGUGACGGCCGUAAGUGUGAUUGCAUUAUUGGGAAAUUUUACGAUUUGAUGGUUCCCCACGUUAUUGCCAAGAAAGUUCUCAUGUCGGAAGCAGCGGUUCUUUUCAUCGGCCUGAACCCGAACCUGUCGCUAUGGAUAACUCAGGUUUUUGUCAUCAACUAUAUCAUCUUUUUCACUGUUUUGAAACUCUUAAUAUUAAACUUAAAGUAAACUUCAGAUUUCAGUUUGUUUGCUCGAAACUUGUAUGGUGACAAGGAUACUGGCAAGGAUAAUGAGAUAGUUUUUUGUGUGAGUGAAUUUUGAGAGCUUGAGUGUUCUGGGAUUUGCAAUUGCAAUCAUCCUCUGCUUCAGGUGAUUUCUUCUCCUGCUCUGUCUUUAUUUGCUCUCUAAUUGAAAAGCAUAAAGUAUUUCAAUCAAAUUCUGUACCAGGAAUACUUAAAAGUUACUGAUUCUUUAUUUCCAUUUGUUUGCAUUGAUAACUUGACGGCAUAUGUACUAGUUAAAAAACAAACAGAAGUAGAGUUUAGGAAAAAGCUUCUUCGGCCACCAUAUUUGAAAAUGAAACCAUUUCCUAGAAGCAGUUGGCAGCAAAUUCAUAUAAAGUGUACACAAUGAUUAGCAGAAAGGUGAUUCACAAUUUCAUUUUUUUUUUAAAUGAAAUUAUUUGUUAAGUUGGAGCUGAUAUUGUUAGAAGGCCAAUGAGCUAACCUAUGACACUGCUUGCCUAGAUUGCAGGAGGUCAAGGCUCAAAAGAAGCACUGAAUUUUAAAAGGCAUGCAAUAAUUCUUAUGGCCAUAAGUCAAUUCAUGUAAGUUUGAAUAAGUUUAAUGGUGGAACGCUUUAAGCUCCUUUUCCUUUCGUGCAUUUUGGGGUGCUAUCAAGUGAUCGCCGUAUGUAUGGAUGCACAUAGCUGCUGCUGGGAAAUGUGAGGUUUUCAUGGCUGGCCGUGUUAUUGUCUUAAAUUAGAUGUGAUAAGCUGUUGCUUGGAGAUUCUGUUGCCAAGACUUUGCUCACAUCAGAAGCUGUGGAACCUCAACCCUUCUCUAGAUAUCAUGUUUUUCAUUGUUUUAAAACUCUCAGGAUUAAACUUGAGUAAACUCUCAGGAUACUGAGCAGGCAAAUGCCAUAACUCGGUUUGUUCUUCAAAAACUUGUUUAAGAUUCUUGACAAAGCUGCAUGAAGUGAAUCUUGGGAGCUUUGAGGGUGUAUAGGGAUUUGGGUUUAUUAGGAAGUUAUAUAUGUAUUUCGUCACUUAUCAUUAUCAUUUUUAUUUUCACAGAAAACCUUCUGAUGGUGCCAAAUUUUCAAACACCGGUCCGAUUCAAAACUUCAUAUUCCAAUUAUAUUCAUAAGACAAAUGGAACACUUUGAACGGCUUGUGUCCGAGCAUUGUAGUUUGAUUUAUUUUGAUGACAGUACCUUUUGACAUUGAGAUUCUUUCAUGAUUUAAACAUUCUUUUUAAAACCAAAUUAUUAAAAAAAGUAACUAACAUAUAUUAUUUUAUUAGUGCUUUUUAAAUCAAAUAUACAUAGGAGAACUGUAAUUCUUAGCAAUCAAUUUUCAACUAAAUACACCUGCAACAAACUAUUAAUAACAAAGUGAUAGAAAAUACUUGAUUUUUCAUACUUUCUAAUUUCUUUUGGUCCUAAAAUAUGGGCAUUUGUGUAAUAAUAAGCCCAUGUGGAUCUCUAUGCCAUGAGUUUGAUAAAUAGCUAUCAAGGAUCACAUAUUAAGCUAAAAAUAUUUGGAGGACAAAAUUGUAAAACUAAAAGGGUGGAGCAAAUAUGGCUAUCUAGGAUUAAAUAGUAAGUCAACUAUAUUUAAAGGAUAAAAUAUUAAAACUUGAACUGUGAUAUUAAAAAUAUCUCAACUAUUAUAUUAUUAAACCAUAUGUUCUAAUAGUUUAUUUUUUAACCUUCAAAAUGUUCAGGAUUUUAGAUUGAAACAUUUUCAUUUGAAAUUAUUUGGUGCAGUCACAAGUUAAGAAAGAAAAAAUUGUCCCAUUGGUCAUUUCACAAAAAUGAAAGCCCUGUAUAACAUGGACUUGAAUGGAAGCCCAAUUGUUUGUGUUUGAUUAAUUGAUUUCAAGCUUUAUCGAACCUUUGGACCUGGAUACUUUACUGCGGCCUCUAAGCGCUAUAAAUUUUUUUGGGGAUAAACGGCGCUUCAAUGAAGGCAUCUCCAAUGCUUAACACCAUUUUGGUGUAACACCAACACUAAAAAAUAUACAUUUUUCACACUAAAUUAUUAUUUCAUCUCUAACUUAUUUACACCAAAUUUUACACCAAAAAAAAUAUUUUUUUUAUUCUUUUAAUUCUCUAGAAUUAAUUCAAUUAACACAAUAAAUAUUACUAUUAAUAUAGAUAAUUAAGUAAUUUUAUCGAUUAACAAAAAAAAUAUAGAAAAUUAUUAAAUUUGUAUUUAAUUAACUAAAUUAGUACAUUAUGAAAAUUAAACAUUACAUUAAUAUAGAAAAAUACAAUAACAAUAAUAAUAAUUUUAUAUCUAAUAUUUUGAUGAUAUUGGAGGAUCUAAUAAUGAUCUUCCAGAUUAUUAAAUAAUUGUUCUAAUUUAUACUAGUAGUAGUAGUUUUUUUAAUUUGUGUUAAUUUAAUUUUGUAUUUUUAAUUUUGUAAUAUAGUAAUUAAUGUUAUUGGCAUUUUAUUUUUAUUAUUAAUUUUUGUGUUGAAUAUUUUUUAUUUAAAUUAUUAGUAUAAUAUUCAAAAAUUAAAAAAUGAAAUAAAAAUAAUAACAAAAAUAAUAAUAAUAACUUAAAAUAUUAUAAAAAAGGACAUAUAUGUAAAUAAGAAAAAGUAAUAAGGAUAUUUAAGACCUUUUCUUCCUAGCACCAAAUGAAUAGUGUUACACCAUAUUUGGUGCAAUACUAUUCAUAACACCAUUUUGUUGUUGGUUUUGGUGCUACAUUGGAGAAGCAUUUUACACUAAAAAUGGUGUAAAAAGUGGUUUGGUGUUAGUUUUAGUGUCACAUUGGAGAUGGCCCGGAAAAGCACUUGAAAACUUUGGAUUUUCGGUUCAUCCAGUUACGGUGUUAUGCUAACGGGGUAAAAGGUUCCGAUCCAAUGAGUUAGGAUGGGAUAUGAAUAUAUAAAUUCCAUAGCAUGUAAGGACUAGGAGUUGUUUGUACAUAUCAAGAAAAAAAAGAUCCGAAAAUUUGAUGAUCAGAAGAUGAAGACACGUUUAUUACAGAGAAACAAACGACAACAUGAUACUAGUAGUAGUUAUUCUUUUCAUCCGAUACAUUACAUUGUAAUAUCACUGCUCGUUCCACUGGUUCCACUGGUGUAAUCAUCCAAAUUCCAACCUCCGUACUCUCGAGAGGAGUUUCCCAUUCAUCAAUUAUUAUUUUUUAUAAUCCAUACCAUCCUGAUAUAAUCAAACAACAUUAAUAAUGUACCAGCCUUUAUAUAGUAAUUAAUUUAUUUAGUUGCCCACCUAAAAGAAUCCUGCAGGAAAUACUGGUUAAAAAAUUUAUUAAAUUUGCUUACCUCUGUAUCAUUAUAUAUAUAAAGACUGAAAUCCAAAUGAAAUAUUUUAUCAUUCAUUCAGCAAACACUUAUAAUUCACGAAUAGUGAAUCUAUGCAUUGAAAAUGUGGAUUAAGAAUUAUAACACAUGAAUUCAAACAUACCCUCGUGAAGUUAAGAAUAAGUUCCUACUUCAAAUGAUUUUUUUAUCUAAUAAAGCAAUCACUUUCAUUAAACGACAGCGUUGAAGGAAUUGUGCAAUUUUUACGUUCUUUUCUAGACAGACGUUACAGAGAUGGGGUAAGUAGAGGGCUGGCCUCAGAUAUCUCACAAUUGUUAGUGAGAUAAAAUGUUAUUGUAAAAGGCGUUUAAUAGAAUAAUAUUAAUUAUUUUGCAUUGUUAUAACAAUAUUUUUUUCUUUUGACAGUUCUGCAGGACAAGUGAUCAGAGCUCAAUGAAUAUAGCCGUGGAGGCACAGCAGAGCAGGAUUAUGAAAAAGAGAAGCUUAUUACAGGUCAUUCAAGUUUACUUGCUUUUAUAUAAUAACUGUUUUGGCCGAUUUAUCUAAUUCAACAAAUGUCAUUUCCGGUACAUAUCUCCAUUGGUAUCAAGAAGAAGCAGAACCCAAAGAAACGUUUCUUGCAUCUUCAUAUUUGUGCGAAUUCAUCCUUUCAUUGAGAAUAACCAUUUCCAGGCAGCAGUUGGCAAUCAAUUCAUGCGCAAGUCGAUGCUAUUCAUAGAUAUUAAAGACAAUGAUGAACCAAAGGUGAUAAAUCAUAAAUGCAUAAUUACCAAACCUCCAUCCUUCUCUCAUUAUGAUUUGAUUUUAAAUGAAUUAUUGCUUGGUAACAUUAUUUCCAACCAUUGCAAGACCCUUUUUUUUUUUUUUUUUUUUGGGAGAAAUUUCAAUUGAAAGUGAAACCUUUAGACAUUUACCUAAUGAAGUUAGUUAAUCGGGAGGGUGGAAAAAAAAAAGUUGACGCAAGUCAAUACACAAUAAUUAAUUAAAUCCGGAGUGACUAAAACAGAGCCACUACUUUUUCAAAAAUAUCUGCAUUCAUCACUUUCUCCAGCAGCUAGUCAGCUACACACGAAUCAAUUUCUCUCCUCGUUUGUCAUCCAAAAUUAUUCACCAAUACCAUGGCUGAUGCAAUCGUUUCCACUAUCUUGGAGCAGCUGAUUUCCUUCGCUGCUGAAGAGAUAAAACAACAGGUGAUCGAAGUUUCACCCCUCAUAUUACAAAUACUUCCAAUGAUUUUAAUAAAUUUUGUUUUUAUCAAAAACAUUAUAUAUUUUUGCUUUUUUUUUUAUUUAUCUGAUAAUUUUAGAUUUUGAAAUUUGAAUUUAAUUUAAUUAAAAGGUGAUGUAGUAACCACUUAUUUUUAUUUUAUUUCAUUUAUAUUCUCAAUAACUACUCAUAUUUUGGUAACUUACUAUAACUUCCAUAUCUAAGAAAUGAUCCAAACCCACAAUUUUAACUCAGCACGAAUAUUCAAUGGUGAUCUAAGCUUUUGCAGAACACUCAAGUUUGUCAAACAGUCAUUAAUUCAAUGUUUAGUAAAAAAAAACACUUCUCAGCACAGAAUUCCAUGCCCAUUACUUAGACUCUAUAUAUGAAAAAUUUCAUAAUUUUCUCACAUUAUUUGAGUUUGGUAAGUGAUUUCAUAUAAUUUCUUUUCAAUAUAAAUUUUAAUUUGGUUUCUUAUAUACUCUCUUUGCUGAAUUUGUAUCUUUUAUGAUUCUUAGAUUUUGGGCUCUAACUUUUUAGGAUUUGAUAGUCACAUUUUAUGCCAUGCUUAGAUUGAUUUUCAUGAUUUUUACUACCCGUUAAGUGACUUAGAAUUUGACAAAAGUUUGAAAGGAAAUCUGCUUCAGGAUUCUGUUUUAACUGACCUUUUAGCGGAAAUAAGAUGCUUAUAACUUAAUGUGGAUGCUAUGUAAAAUCAUGAAAUUUGGAUAGAAUUAACUAGAAAUAUGUACAAGACUCUCCAUGAAGUCUCAUAAUUUUUCAUUCGGUCUGGGGUGUUACAGGUGAAGCUUGUGGUUGGUGUCGAAAAAGAAGUGAAAAGCCUUACCAGCCACCUUCAAGCCAUUCAAGUUGUGCUCGAUGAUGCAGAGGAAAAGCAAGUGAAGGACAAAGCUGUUAGUCUUUGGCUGGGUAGGCUCAAGUACGCAUCCUACGACAUUGAAGAUGCGUUGGAUGAAUGGAUCACAGGAAGACGCAAAUUGCAAAUUGAGGGUGGCAUUGGUGAAAAUGCUCUUAUUGCUCCUCAUAAGAAAAAGAAGGUACGUUUCUGCUUUCGUGCCUCUUGUCUUGGAUUCAAACAAGAAGAAUUUGGCUUCAAACAAGUCUUUCUACGUCAUGACAUUGCUGACAAGAUCAAAGAAAUCAAUGAAGAGCUACGUAAUAUUGCCACUCAAAGAGACAUGUUUAAAUCUGAGAGUGGCAGUAAAAGUAGUGAAAGACCCAGGCGUGUAUAGAGUACCUCCUUGAUUGAUGAGGAAGAGAUUUGUGGUAGAGUUGGUGAGAGGAAUGAACUCUUAAGCAAGCUGUUGUGUGAGAGUAGGGAGCAACAAAAAGGCCUUCAUAUCAUCUCAAUCGUUGGUAUGGGAGGCAUAGGAAAAACAACUCUUGCACAACUAGCAUGUAAUCAUGUUGAGGUAAAGAGAAAGUUUGACAAACUUUUAUGGGUGUGUGUAUCGGACCCUUGUGAGCAGUUUAGGAUUGCCAAAGCGAUCGCUGAAGCUUUAGGCAUUCCCUCUUCUAAUUUAGGUGAAUUUCAAUCUCUUCUUAAACUUAUAUCUGAAUCUAUUACUGGAAAACGAUUUCUUCUUGUCUUAGAUGAUGUGUGGGAUGGAGAUUGCAUAAAAUGGGAACCAUUCUACCUUUGUCUAAAGAAUGGUCUCCAUGGAAGUAAAAUUUUGGUUACCACACGUAAAAAAUCAGUUGCAUCUAUGAUGGGAUCUACUGAUACUGAUAUUGUCACUGUCAUGGAAUUGGCUGAAGAAGAAUGUUGGUCGUUGUUUAAGCGGUUAGCAUUUUUCGGUCCGUCUAUUAAUGAUUGUGAAAAAUUGGAACAAAUUGGGCCAAGAAUUGCAGGCAAGUUUAAAGGUUUGCCUAUUGCUGCAAAGACAAUAGGGAGUCUCAUGCGCUCUAAACAAAUUGAAGAAGAGUGGGAAAGGAUUUUAAAUAGUGAUUUAUGGAGAGUAGAAGAGAUGGAGAAAGGUGUUCUGUCCUCAUUGUUGUUGAGUUACAACGAUUUGCCGUCCAAAGUAAAAAUAUGUUUUUCCUAUUGUGCUGUCUUUCCAAAAAACUACAAUAUAAAAAAAUAUGAACUAAUUACAUUGUGGAUGGCUCAAGGUUAUCUUAGUGCAGAACAAAAUAAGGAGAUGGAGACUAUAGGUGAAGAGUAUUUUAGCAUCUUAGCUUCUCGCUCUUUCUUUCAAGAGUUUCAGAAAAGUUAUGAUAAUCGUAUUAUAGAGUGCAAGAUGCAUGAUAUGGUACAUGAUUUUGCCCGAUUUAUAAGUCAAAAUGAAUGUUUUUCAAUGGAAAUUAAUGUUAGUGAGGAACCAAACACCAUAAACUCUCUUGAUGAGAAGGUUCGUCAUUUAAUGUUGAUCAUUGGUAGGGAGGCUUCAUUUCGUGUCCCUACUUGUAGAGUGAAAAGAAUCCGUAGCCUCUUAAUUGAUAAUAGUAGAACUUCUUGUUCGUAUUUUAAUGGUGAGAUCCUAGAAGAAUUAUUUAGGGAAUCGACAAGUUUAAGGGCAUUAGAUUUUUGGGGAUCAUAUGACGUAAGCCCAUUUUGGACUCUAAAGAUUCCAAGAAACAUAGAAAAUCUAGUACAUUUAAGAUACCUUAACCUGUCUUGUCAGAACAUAAGGAAACUACCGGAGACAUUAUGUGAGUUAUAUAAUCUAGAAAAGUUAUAUAUUACUCGUUGUCUGUAUCUUGAAGAAUUACCUGAAGGGAUUGGGAAGUUAAUAAACAUGAAGCAUUUACUAAAUUAUCGUACAGAUUCUUUAAGGUACAUGCCAGUAGGGCUUGGGAGAUUAACGGGUCUUAGGACCUUGGAUGAGUUCCAUGUGAUUGGAGGAGGAGGUGUUGAUGGUAGGAAAGCAUGUUGGUUUGAAUCUCUUAAAAACUUGAAACACCUUCAAGUAUGUGGUAUACGCAGAUUGGGUGAUGUAUCAGAUGUGGGCGAGGCUAAGCGAUUAGAACUUGACAAAAAGAAAUACCUCUCUUGUUUGAGACUUUGGUUUGAUAAGAAGGAGGAAGGAGGAGAAAGGAGGAAGAACGAGGACGAUCAACUUCUUCUUGAAGCCUUGCGACCACCCCUGGAUUUAAAGGAAUUAGAGAUACGGUACUACCGAGGCAACACUGUUUUCCCCAGCUGGAUGACGUCAUUAAUCAAUUUAAGGAGUUUAGAUCUCUCUUUGUGCGAAAAUUGCAAGCAGCUGCCUCCUUUGGGAAAAAUGCCGUCCCUUGAAAAACUCAGCCUAUUGCACAUGCGGAGUGUGAAAAGAGUGGGUGAUGAAUGUUUGGGGAUCGAAAGUGAUCAUCAUGGCUCAUCUUCAUCUUCAUUAGUUAUUAUUGCCUUCCCUAAAUUGAAAUCACUCACAAUUUCUUCCAUGUUGGAAUUGGAGGAGUGGGAUUAUGGGAUUACAAGAACGGGAAACACCGUCAUCAACAUCAUGCCACGUCUUUCUUCCUUGGAAAUUGUUGCCUGCCCCAACUUAAAGGCGCUGCCCGACCACAUUCAUCAAACGACAACAUUGAAGGAAUUGCGCAUUGUGCAUUGUGGGCUGCUGGAAGAACGUUACCGCACGGGGGAAGGAGAAGAGUGGCCUAAGAUAUCACACAUUCCCAGCAUAGAUAUUGAUUAAGAAGGAGAAGAGUGACCUAAGAUAUCUCACAUUCCCAACCUCGAGAUUUGGCCUUGACAAGUAAUUCCUUCUCUUACUCUGAUUUGCUUUGUUGUUCUUUUUAAUCUAAUCAAGAAGCAUAAAUAGCAUUUUGAAUUAAACUCUGUAUCAGAAAUCUGCAAUACAUAUUUUCUAAUAUUCUGAUUUUCAUAUCUUAUGAAUGUACGAUUCUAAUUUGCGAUAUUUAACGUUGCUGUAAAAUAUUAUUAAUGCAAUAUGAGUAAUUCUUUUGCAGGACAAGUGACCUACGUUUAGUUUGGCUUUGGAGUUGAGUAAUAACCUUUCGAGGUCGCCACUAUAAAAAAGCGAAGCUCAAUUUGCCACAGAUUACAUGUAUUGCCAUCAUUGACAAUUUUCUGGAUAAGUGAUGAAGGGUGAGAAUGGUGCUAGAAUAUUGAAUAAAGCUGUCGUGACUGAACUUACGUUGAUGUCAAAAGGGGUAAAUUAUUGGCAUGCCUAGCUAAUUUGACCAAUACCUGAUUCAUAAGCCUACAUCAAUUUUGAUUUUGAGUUGAGUGAUUAAUUUUGAAGGUUUGCUUACUUAACUGGUAACCAAUUUCUUUUAACUAAAUGUAUCAUAUGAUGCAGGAAGCAGGGCAGGAUAUGAAAUGAGAAGCUUAUUAGUGGAAGGAUUGUCAGAAACAGAACCCAAAGAAAAUGAAAACAUUUCGAGGCAGCAGUUGGCAGUUGGCCGUGAAUGGAGCCCCUUGAAAAAAUUCCCAACCCAUUGCACUGCAAUUACGAUCGUGAGUAUGAUUGCACUGCAAUUUCGAAGCUUCUUCUCCUGCAUUUUUGUUAUUUGCUAUCAUCCUCUGCUUCAGGUGAUUUCUUCUCCUGCUCUGUCGUUGUUUGUAUCUCAAUCAAAUUCUAUAACUGGAAUAUGCAAAAGUUUCGAAUUUUUAUUUCUAUCUGCUUGCAUUGAUAACAUCGCGGCAUAUGCACUAGUUAAAGAUCAAACAGAAACAGAGCUCAGGAAAAAGUUUCUUCUGCCAUCAUAUUUGAAAAUUCAUGUAAAAUGUAGACAGUAAUCAGCAAAAAGGUGAUUCGCAAUUUGAUUUUUUUUAUGAAAUUAAUUGUUAGGUUGGAGUUGCCAAUUAACAAUUUUAACCACCUUUGACUUUGAAGGAAUUAGAGAUAUGGUCAUACAGAGGCAACACUGUUUCUGCAAGUAGUCCUCUCUUUUCUUUUUAUUAUAUUUUAUUUAGUUAUUAUUUAUUAUUUAUUUUUUGGUUUACUCUGCUUCUUCUUUUUACGUUUCUCAAAUUUUGAAUUUCAUUGCUUUUGAACAUACGACAGUCUGUUAUGUGGCGACCCUGGUUCUUAAUUAAGGUUGUGAAAUAUUAUUGUAAAAGAUGAUUUAUUCAAUUUGAGUAAUUCGUUUGCUUUGAUAAUGAUAGUAAUUUUUUAUUUUGACAAUUUGCAAGGUGAGAAUGGUGCUGAUUGGUGAUUCAGGAUAUGGUUCAAACACCAUUGAAUAAAGCUAUGGACAUGGUGGCUCAACUUAGCUAGAUUGCUAUCAAAAUUGGUAAGUUGGCUUGUCAAUGUACCGAUGCUUUUGUUUUCUCUCAACCCUAAUUACCUUAACUUCAUUUAGUUUGGCUUUGGAGUUGAGUAAUAACUUAUUGUUCAAAUGUUAUUUCCUUAUUGUUCUAAUUCAUCAAAUGUUAUUUCCUUGUUGUUCCAUUGAUAUAUUGGUUGCAUAUCAAGCAGAAACAGAACCCAAAGAAAAUGAAACCAUUUCCAGGCAGCAGUUGGCAGUGAAUUCAUGCAAAUGUUGAUGCCAUUCAUAGAUGUUGAAGACAAUGUUGAGCCAAAGGCGAUAAAUCAUUAAUGCAUAAUUCCCAAAACCUCUAUCCUUCUCUCAUUGUAAUUUGAUUUGAAAUGAAUAAUUGCUAGGUAAUUGAAGCCAAUGUUGUUAAAGACCGUGUUGAGCUACCCAAGCUAAGAAGUUAGUUGCCAAAAAAUGCAGGGGAUCAAAAGAAGCAUUGCAUUUGAAAAGGCAUGAGAUUCUGGUGGCUACAUGUCAACUCAUAUAUGUUUGAAUAAGUUUGAUGGUUCAAGAUUGUUAGCUUCUGUUUAAAUUUGUGCUACUGCAGUGCUACAAUGCUGCUACUGGGAAAUUUGAAUCCCAUAUUAGACUUUCCUCACAUCAGAAGCUGUGGAUCUUCGGACAUCAGGUUUUUUCACAGUUCUGAAACACUCAGGAUUAAACUCUAUUAAAGUGUUGUAGUUAUCUUGUUGUCAGAAUUCCCAUAUUAUUAUCUUUUUCAUGUAAAAUUAUCUUGUUGUCUUCGCCCAUGAAUCUAAGCUAAAAUUUGAACCAAUUGUUUGCUAUUAUAAAUUUCAUUGUUAAAUGUUAAUUGUGAUGUUCGUGUUGAGUUUCUUUUAAAGUCAUAGAAGCCUGACGAUUGAGUUCCAUGGGAUUCUGAGAAGCAGUAAUAUUUUGAACAAGUGAAGGUUCUUCGUUUUUAAUUAUGUUCUGCACUUUUACAGUAUGUGCAGAUGUCUAAGAGGCAGGAUUUUAAUUUCUGUAAUGCUAAAUUUCGCAAAACAAUAAAAAAAAUAAAUGCAUGACAGUGACUUCAAGAAUUUAGAUUAUUGAAUUUGGUCAUUUUAAAAUUGUUGGAAUAUUGAACUUAAGUCAUUUUGAUAAACCAGAGCUCAGAAAUGUAGAAUAUAAAUAUUGGAGAUUUGGACUUCAAUCAUUAGAUUUGAAGCUAAAGAGGUAAGCCAUUAAUUACAUCAAAGGAUUUGGAAAAUGGAGGGAUUGGAAAAAGGAAACUUUUUCAUAAACUACAAGCAUUGGGCAGUUUCAUUUGUCCGAUUCAAGAGGAACGUCACAGAAAGGGGUAAAGAAAAGAGUAGCCUAAGAUAUUUAAGACAAUGUUGAGCCAAAGGAAACAUAAAUCCCAACCAUUGCAUGCGAACAUGAUCACAAUAAGGUCAAGAACCUACCAAACCAUUUUUUUGAGAAUUUUCAAUUGAAAGUGAAACCUUUGGACAUUUACCUAGUAAAGUUAGUUAAACGAGAGAAAUAAAGGGGAAAAGAAAAGUUCACUCAAGUCAAUACAGAAUAAUUAGUUCAAUCUGGAGUAACUAAAACAGAGCCACUAUAUUUUCUAAAAUAUCUGCAUUCAUCACCUUCUCCUACAGCUAGUGAGCUACACACGAAUCAUUUCCUUUUAGCAUUUUUGCAGCAUCAAUUUCUCUCCUCGUUUGUCAUCCAAAAUUAUUCACCAAUACCAUGGCUGAUGCAAUCGUUUCCCUUCUCUUGGAGCAGCUGAUUAUCUUUGCUGCUGAAGAGUUGAAACAACAGGGGAAGCUGGUGAGUGUUGGAUGAGCGGAUCACAGCAUGCGCCAAAUCGCAAAUUGAUCAAUGCUCUUGGUGCUUCUUAUCUGAAGAAGAAGGUGCAAAUUGGGAGCUGCAUUUCACUGUCAUAACAUUUAUUGUAAUUUCAUUUGGAGAUAUGUAAUAUCUGUUGUCCAGAUAUAUUUCAUACACCAGCUGCUAAUAAUUCUGCUUGCAGAGAACUUGCAAAGGAGCUGUGUGAUGUAAUAGAAGACUGGAGUCUGGUCAAUUUUUUCAACCUUAGAUAUUAGGAAGUUAUGUAUUUCAUUAUCAGUUAUCAUUAUGAUUUUUAUCUUCAAAAAGAUAAAUGGAUGGCUUUGAAUGGCUUGUGUUUGAGGAUUUUAGUUGGACUUAUUUUGAUUGAAGUACAUUUUGACAAUAGAAUUCCUUCAUGAUUUAAACAUUCUUUUUAAAAUCAAAUAAUCAAAAAAAUUAAAUAAAUAAAUAAGGUAACUAACAAAUAUUAUUUUAUUUUGUUAGUGUUUUUUUCAUUAAAUAUACAUAAGAGUAUUGUAAUUAAUUGCAACCAAUUUUUCACUAAAUACGCCUACAACAAACUAUUAAUAAUAAAGUGCCACUCUACUGUGCUUCCUACAAGCACCUUGGCCAUACCAUUGAGACGUGUUACGUGGCCAAUUCGGGGCUUCAACCCCAGCGACCCAGUGGGAAUCGGCAGACUAGAGUAGAAGAUGGUAAGAAGUCAGAAGUUCUACCGUUAGAUACUCCACAACCCUCAGAUACUCCUCGACCUGAGCCUUCCAUCACUAAGCAGAUUGCAAACGCGGGGUCCCCGAUCACCAAACCUUCGGAGAACCGGCCUAACGUUACAAAUUCUACAUCCGUUCAGGAGCCGAUUGCCCAAGAUGACACAACUCAUGAUUCUAAGGAACCUCGUGAUCAAAGCUUGUCUCCCCUGCGGAGCAUUGGUGAGUAUAAUCCACAUCUUCAUCAAGCAUCCAACAUAGAUUUUAGGCAUUACAAUUCUCAUAUUGAUAAUGAUGAUAGUUUUGACGAGCACCUAGCGAAUAACAAACACUUUUUAUCUGCUCCUGAGAAUUCUGAGAGAAUAGACUUAAGUCCUGAUUUUAGCAUUGUUGGUCAAUCGAAAAAGGGAUUUAAAUUACUUAUCGGCCGUAAGUAUCGUAAAACAUAUUAUCACCAUCUUCAUCAGUCAUUUUAUUAUGAUUCUCAUGUUAGGCUAUACCUUAAUCUUUUCUUUUUCUGUUGUAUUUUUUUCUCUUGAUUGGAGGUUUUGGUUUUUGUCCCCCUCCUUGUAUCUUUCAUUAUCUUUUAUAAAUUGACAGGUAGGGGUCCCGCCUAACCCUCCACCUUAGAGUGGUAUGCUUAUUUAAAAAAAACUAUUAAUAAUAAAGUGAUAAAAAAUGCCUAAUUUUUCAUACUUUCUAAUUUUUUUUUGCCCUAAAAUUUAGGUAUUUAUGUCAUAAUAUGCCCAUGUGGAUCUCAAUGCCGAAAGUUCGAUAAAUGGCUUUCAAGGAUUACUUAUUAGGUAAAAAAUAUUCAAAGGACAAAAUGGUAAAACUAGAAGGGUGGAGUAAUAUGGCUACCUUGGGUUACAUCGUAAGUCGACUAUAUUUAAAGUAUAAAAUAUUAGAAACUGAACGGUGGAGUAAUCGUCGUUUAGAUGAAUGAUAUGUCAUCUAUGCGUUAUGUGAGGUUAUAGCAACUAUCUAUCUGGUCACUGUUUUCAAGUCUCAAUUGGUAGUCCAAAGAAAAGAAUGAUUCUGCAAUAGCAUUAAGUGUUAAUUGGACACAAAAAGAAGUGUUUUAACCACUUUAAGGAAAGUAAAUGUAAUUUUCUGUCCUAAAGAAAAGGUAAAUGUAUGCACUGUCAAUUAAUCUUUGGUCGACCAGCAACAUCAUAAUUUCGUGUAGGUUCAUUUUUGUUUCUUAAGAGUUUGUAAAAAAAAUGGAAAGAUUUUAAAAUAUAAAUUUCAUAUAUGUUUAUAACUGUUGUUUGGUCUAAUUUCUUAUGUAGAAUUUUCAGAAUCUGUAGGACAUUAGUUUAUAAUUUUGAGAUUUUGCAGCCAUAAAUGUUUUUUUUUUCUUUUUCUUUUUUUGUUGCCAUUUUAUUUUGCUCCUUUAUCUAUGUGCAUGUUGACUGGCUGCAGUGAGUGAAAAUUUACCCAUAUAUGCUGGCUAUUCUUGGACAAUAUUAGAGAAAAUUAUCAUAUUAUCAUAUUAUUUCGCGUGAUGUGAACUUCCAUAACUUAUCAAUUGAAUUGCUGUAAAAUAUUAAAUAGUUUUAUUUUUCUUUUAUCGUGUAACUUGUGUUGAAAAGUGAUUUUAAAAAAAAAAGAGAGUUGAAAAAUCAAAUCUCCAAGUGGGAGAUUGAAGAAAAGGAAAGCCGCAAAAUGAACAGUAGCCGCAAGAUGAACAGUAACCGCAAGAUGAACAAUAGUCAAUGGUGGCUAUAAAUAGAGGAGUGCUCCUCCUUAUUGUUUGUAUCCCAAAUCCCAGAGAAGCGAUCCAAAUUUUGGUGAGAAAUUGAGAGAGAGAAAUAUUCUUAAGCAUGUAGUUAUAUUGGAGAAGUUGGCUCCUCAAUAUGGAUAUUACGGGUUUGCUUUGUUAAGGGAUAUUUCUCGAGAUUAUGUAUUUGGGGCUUGGGUGAGAGAAAAUUUAUUUCUGAAAGUGGUUGUAAUAAUUUUCCACAUAGUGAAUAUUUUUCUCUGGUUGUCUUGUGACAACGGCCGUAGUUUUUCUCCGAAUUUGGAGUUUUCCACGUAAAUCUUGUGUUGUGUGAUUGGUGUAUUCUCCAUUUAAUUUUUCUUAUUAAUUUGUUGCUUGAUAAUUGCUUGAAGAGAUCUUGGGAGGAAGCUCAAUUUCCUAACAACUUACACCAAAAAAGGAAAUGAGUUUAACAUGACCCUCAUUCCGGCACUAAGCAUGUUUUUCUCUAAUGGUUCUUGUAUUGAUGACAGUGCUCUUGGUGCUUCUCAUCUGCUUCUUGCUUUGGUUUCAAACAAGUCUUUCUCCAUCAUGGCAUUUAUUGUAAUUUCAUUUGGAGACAUCUUUCGUUCAAAUAUAUUUCAUAUGCAAGCUGUUAAUAAUUCUGCUUGCAGAAAGCCUACAAAACAGCUGUGUGAUGUAAUAGAAGACCAUAGUCUGGUCAAUUUUUCAACAUUAGAUAUUCAGGUCAUCAGCUUCUCAUGAAUUCUUUCCUGAGUUUCUUUGAAUUAUUUGUGAUGUAAUAACUUGUGCAUUUGAGAAACUGUUCUCUUGAAUUCUUUCUUGAGUUUCUUUGAAUUAUUUGUGAAUAAGUUCCUAAUCGGCUGCUUCUCUUCAGGAUAAGGAAAGUGUUGCAAACUGGUGAAGCAGCUGAUAGAUAAAAGCAAUGGGUACAUCUUUGCUGGCAUGGAUCGAUGCCAGUGCGGUUGAAUUCAGCAAGAUUGGCGUUCGUGAUGUUGUUGAUUGGGAUUAUUUCAGAUAUCCUUCUUUUCACCUAUUUUCGGCCUUGUGAUUCUCAUAUCCAUAGAACGUUUUGGUUAUUUAAUCAUAUUUCAUCGUAUGCAUCUGCAUCUUCUAACCAGUGCGUUUGAGAAACUAAUUUUGCUGUUAGGCAGGUUUUAAGCUUGAUUCAUUUGUUUUUCAUAAAUGUACCAAAGUUAUGUAAACCAAAUAAUCAAAAAUAAAUGAAAGGAAAUGAGUUUAAUAUAACCUCCAUUCCAGCACUAGGCACGUUAAUUGUUCCCCAAGGACUUCUCCUGAUUCCCAUUCCCAAUAAGAAUGGUAAAAUGUCGGGUCGGGCUCGGGCUUGGUCAAGCCCUACACGACCCGAUCAAAAGAAAUUUGAAACCCGACCCUAAAAAAGCCCGAACACUACUUAGUUAGGGUCGGGCUCCGAAUCGUGGCAACAUCGGGUCGGGCCCAACCCGACCCUACCGAAAUAGUUAACCCCACAAUUCAAUUCCCAUUUUCCACCACCAUUUCAACCUAUUCGGCAAUUACUCAACCAUUUCAAACACAAUUCAAUCCACUUUCCACAACCAUUUCAACCAAUUCCACAACUAUUUCAACCCCACACACAAAUCAAUUCCAAAAUCCAACAUGAAAAACACACAAUGCAAUUAAAUUAAAAACAUUCAAUGUAAUUCCACAACCAUUUUACCCAUACACAAUUCAAUUCAACAACCUAACAUAAAAAAUAAAAAAUAAAAAACUAAUGUCUUAUAUAAAUAAAAACACAAUGCAAUUAAAUUAAAAAUACACAAUGUAAUUCCACAACCAUUUUAGUCAUACACAAUUCAAUUCAAUAACCCAACGUAAAAAAAAAAAAAAAAAAAACCUCAUGUCUUAUACAAAUAAAAAUACAAUGCAAUUAAAUUAAAAACAUACAAUGAGUGAUGUUGUGAGGAUGUGUUGUGUGCGUGUGUUAACUUGUGUUAUUUUUUUUUUUAAAUAGGGUCGGGUCGGCAUUAAUCCCGACCCUGACCCUAAAUUUGUUCAGACCUUAAAAUCUUGGCCCUAACCCGACCCUAAACUUAAAAUUUCGGGCCAAAGUCCUAAAAAUUAAGGUCGGAUCAAUCGGGCCAAAAAUAGAGUCGGGCUAAAUUGCCAAGCCUAAUUCCCAACCUCCAUGCUCUCAUGAGGAGUUUAGCACCCAUCAAUUUUUAUUUUUGAAAACUCGUAAUGGUCUGAUAAAAUUAAAGAACGUCAAUAAUGUUACCGGUCUUUAAAUAGUAAUUAAUUUAUUUAAUUUGCCACCUAAAAGAAUCCUACUGGAAAUAGAGGUUAAAAUUUUUAUUAGAUCUACUUACCUUUGUUCACUCAGCAAACAAUUACAAUUCACAACUAGAGAAUCUAUUCGUUGACAAUUGUGAAUUAAAAUUAUAACACUUGAAUUCAAACAUAUCCUUACGAAGUUAUGAAUUUGUUCAUACUUCCAAUGAUUUUUUUUUCCCAAAGCUAAUAAAGCUACCACUUUGAUCAAACGACGACGUUGAAGGAAUUGCGUAUUUUUCAAUGUCCUUUUCCAAACACACGUUGGAGAGAGGGAAAGAAGAAGACUGGCCUAAUUAAGAUAUCUCACAAAGAUUAUUGAUUUAAAAUGUUAUUGUAAAAGAUGUUUAAUACAAUAAUAGUACUUCUUUUGCAUUGUUAUAAUGAGGCUGGUGGGUUUCCUCAGAGGAUGGAUCUAGCUCGCUAGUAUGCACUUGGGAAGAUGCUAAUUAUCGGCCAUAAAAAAGUCUAGGGGUUGUGGCUCUUCCGUGGCCCAGAAAUUCCUAAUCUCAUAUCUCAAACUUGGGCAUUAUGUAAAUAUGUAUUUUUGAGAAUUAAACUAUUGCGUUAGAAAAAUUUUGAGCCAUUGUAAAUUUGUAAUCAUUUUAUUUUGCUAAGAGAAAAUUUUACUUUGUGUUUCACUUUGACUUUUGUUUUGUUUGUGAUAAUAAGAUUCAUACCAAUGUGAUUACACACCUAUCAUGCUUCUAUUUUCAUUUGCUUGUCAUGAUAGAUCAACAUGCUCGAAAAUAUUUAUUUAGGUUGGAAAUAUUUGAAUCCACUAAAAUACUAUACAGAUCCAUUUUAAAAUAAAAAAAAAAUAAUUAUCAUAAUACUCGUGAAGAUAACGCGAUAUCAUACAUAAAAUAAAAUAUUUCGCAAAAAAAAAUACAAAUCUUAAGUAAGUGGGUAUAAAAAAUAUUUUAGUGGGUUCAAGUAGCACUAAUGCCCCCUUAUCAAAAAAUAUAUAAAAAUAAGUAGUCUGAUUGGGUAUACAGUUGGCUAAACUAAAGUUCUGAAGAUAUAUAUAUAUAUAGAUAAUUUAUAAUGUACAUUAUAGAGAAAGAUUUUGAAAGUAAUAUUUUUUAGUAUUAUUAUAUAAUAUUUUGUAAAAAGUAGAGAGAGUGAGCAAAACCAAAUUAAUUUUCUAACCCCUACCUCAUUUAGGAUUUAAACUCAUUCUUUAGUGUCGCCGGCCAUUCAAAUUUUCUAGUCGAAUAGGCUAAAUUGCAUGAAAUUGUGCUAGCUUAGCUUGAUUCUAGAAAUUUUCAGUACACUGUAACACAUUCCCACACUUGUACAUAGCUCGAAAUUCUCUAGAAUUUACUAUAGUAGUGUAGCAUGUAGCUUGUACAUAGGUUUUUCUAAAACACUCCAGACAUUACUAGGCAUGAGAGCUCUCACCAAGCUUUGAGAACUCUCUAGGCAUAAAACAUUCUAGGGCAAGCCUACCCUAAAAAUAGGGCAUGAAGCUUGCCAUUUGAGCAUACAACACAUAAGAACAAUUCAAGCAUACUUGUAAGCUCUCAAACUCUCUUGUACACACUCUUGUGAAUAAUAUACUUUUCCUUUGGCUAUAUUGUUCUCUCUUCUCUCUAGUUUUUUCAAAAGCAUCAUAACUUAGCUAGUCGAAAAAUUCAAGGCUUACUUUGCAACUAUCUCGUAAAAGUUGUUUAAGUACCACAGAAGUUUGCUGUGCAAAAUACUCAUCCCGUAACAUUUGUCAAAUAAAAUUGUUUGAAAGCCACUUACCUAGACUAUUGGACGGAUAUUAUUAUUUUAAUAUGCAAUCUUUUAAUAUAAACUUUUGUCUUAAUUUUCUAUCUCCUAUGAUAAAUUUUAGAAUUUUAAAAAUUUUAAAAAUUAAUAACUAUUAGAAAGAGCAUUCAUUACUGUUAAAAGAAAUCUAUAUAGAUAUAUAGAUACAUAGUAAUAUAAAAACUUACUACAGUAUAAUGUUUUUAGUUUCUUAUUUUUUCAAGAUAAAAAUUCAAAGACACAAGUUAAAUGUUGUGGAAAAUCUUCCACCCAUACAAGAAAUCGUCACAGCUAAAUGCAAACCGAGCUAAAGUAUUAGUUGUUUUAUUACAAUCUCUAAAAAGAUGAGCAAUUCCAAAAUCUUUCUUUGUAACAAUAAGCACUACAGUUCAGCAACUAUCCAAGUCAAAAGCAACUCAAUGUGAGUGCUAAGCUAAAUCAAUUUCAUUAACAAAUUAGAUGCCAAAGAGCAAAGGCUUCAUCCUCAAUUAUAUUGACAUUAUCUGAGUAAACUCUAAAUACCACAAUCAACCCCAAAAAACAUGACUAAACUAUUAUGUUUAAAAUAAAAAUAAAUAAAUUUUUUUGAACGGAAAAAAAUCCCCAAUAACUAAAUUGUUCAAACGUUUUUUAACAUCAUGUGUUUCUAAUAAUUUAGGGUUGGGCAUUCAGUUCGGUUUUUACCGAACCGAACAACUAAAUUAAAUCGAAAUUACCCUGUUCGGUUCAAUUGAAUAGACAAAAACUAGAGCUGGCAAAACGGGUCAUCGGGUCGUGUUCAUGUCGUGUCGUGUCAAAUUUAGUUCAACCCAAACCCGACCCAUUUAAUAAUCGUGUCAAAAUAUUGAGACCCAAACCCGACACGAAAAAAUAAUCGGGUUACCCAAUAACCUGCUUAAUAUCUAUAUAUUUAACAAAAGUUACAUCAAAUAUUUACACAUUAUCAUACAUGCGUAUGUACAUACAUACAUACAUACAUAAUUUAUCGAUAUUAUAAAAUGUACAUAUCUACCAAAAUAUUACACAUUUACACUAUUGAGGUUUUAAUUAAUUUUAUAUAUAUAUAUAUAAUAUUAUAUAUUAAUAUUAUAAAAUAUACAUAUCUACCAAUAUUUCUCAGCCUUGUUGGCAGGUAACUCCGUUCCUUGAUUUCAAGCAGCUUUCUCUUUGAUGGCCAAAAAUAUUGAUUUGGGCUUUGCCCUUUAAAUUAAUGUAAGAGCGGUAGGGAAUAACCGAGUUAUAGUCUUAGCUUUAAGUGAACAUUGAUGGUAACAUGCAUGUGAAGGUUGUAUGUGUUCAGCGGCAAGCUGUAUGCCAAUUUGGUCUAUAUGGUUUUUUUGUUGGUAACUUAUUAAUUUUUAUGCAGGAAGGUUACAGUCAUCAAUUUGGAUCCUGCUAAUGAUAGUUUGCCGUAUCCUUUGUCAGAACCUUUUUACAAAUGCUGUGGUUUGUUGUACUAUAAUUAGUUCAAUCUGAAACUUCCUUGAUGUUAAUAUAGAUAUGAGUGUGCUGUGAAUAUGGAGGACCUCAUUAAACUAAGUGAUGUGAUGAUGGAGCAUUCGCUGGGUCCAAAUGGAGGUUAGUCAGCCUAUUGUUGUUUACUCUUUCUAGCUUUAUCACGCAAUGAUAUUCCUUUGCUUUACAACAAAUUUCAUGAAAUUAACUUCAAUCUAGUGGCUAUGUUCAUAUGCUGUUGAGAUUUUAUGGACAAUGAUUUGGUAGACUUUAUAUGCCGUCUUCUUUCUUUUUGCAGUGAUAUGUUUGUAUUCAAUGUGCUUGUACUUAUUCUACGGUUUCUAAAGUAGGUGUUUUUAUGAUAAACUAGGUCUUGUGUAUUGUAUGGACUAUCUAGAGAAGAUUAUUGACUGGUUGCAGUCGAAAUUGGAACCACUUUUGAAAGGUAAGAAGAGAUCAUUUUGCUUCAUUCUAAUGCCAAUAAUGCUGUCAUGAGACUCAUAAAAAUUGUUAAAACGUUAAUGUUUUUGGUAUUUUGCAGAUCAUUAUCUUCUGUUUGAUUUUCCUGGCCAAGUUGAAUUAUUUUUUCUUCAUUCCAAUGCCAAGAAUGUUAUAUGAGACUCAUAAAGAAGUUAAAUCUCAGGGUAUUGUUACAUCUUACAUCUAUGAAGGGACUCAAAGAGUUGAGAUGAAUUCAUCUUUGUUAUUUUGAUGCCAGAAUUGUGCAAUUCUCAGUUGGUUCCUUUCACAUGCAGUUGACUUCAGUGCAUCUAGUUGAUGCGCAUCUUUGCAGUACUAGAAAAGAAGAUAACAUGGAGAAUUCAACAACUAUACAGUCAUAUUGAUGUCUGUCAACUUGGGUCAUAUGGUGUUGUUUGGAUGGAGAUGUUAGGCCCCAGAUGGUAUACUUGUUAUCAAAUUCCAGUCUACUUCAUUCAUGCUUUGAUGACAUAUGCGGUGCAGCUUCUUAUCUAAGACCUGCAUAUGUUACAGUCAACACUCUGUUCUGUAUUUGGCUGCCAUUCUUUUCAAUGAAUUCAAACCACUUUCUGAAUACUUGCAAAUUCAUCCAGUGUUGUCAUUGAGAUGCCAAUAUGAAAAGAAGCCAUAAUUGCCCUUGAUAGUAUUCUUAUUGAUUGCCUCUUGCCUCACUCAACCUCAGGAAUCUGCUUGUAUGGUGUUCUUCUAAUUUCAAUUGGAGAUUCUUCUAAUUUCAAUUGGAGAUAAGUAAUAUCUGUUGUUCAAAUAUUUUUUAUUUACAAGCUAUUAAUAAAUCUGCUUGCAGAAAGCUUACAAAGGAGCUGUGUGAUGUAAUAGAAGACUACAGUCUGGUCAAUUUUUCAACCUUAGAUAUUCAGGUCAUCAGUUUCUCUUGAAUUCUUUCUUGAGUUUCUUUGAAUUUGUGAAUAAGAUCUUAGUUGGCUGCUUCUCUUCAGGAUAAGGAAAGUGUGGCAAAACUCGUGAAGCUGAUAGAUAAAAGCAACGGGUACAUCUUUGCUGGCAUGGAUGCCAGUGCAGUUGAAUUCAGCAAGAUUGCCGUUCGCAAUGUUGAUUGGGAUUAUUACAGAUAUCCUUCUUUUCACCUAUUUUCAAUCUUGUGAUUCUCAUAUUCAUAAAACUUUUUGGUUAUUAUUAUGGGUCAUCAUAUGCAUCUGCAUCUUCUAACUUGUUUGUUUGAGAAACUAAUUUUGCCGUUAGGUAGGCUUCAAGCUUGAUUCAUGCUUUUUUCAUAAAUGUACCAAAAUCAUGGAAACUUCUUUUUCCCAGAUAUUAUAUCCACACUUUUCCCAUGUAAUUUAGUCAGACAAGUUUUUCUUAACAAAGAUAUCUAGAGUAGCCGAAGUGCAGGAGAAGUACAUUAAGUAUGAUGAAAAUGUUAACUAAAAUGGGACGAGAAGAUAUGUGGAGUGCAAACCGUAAGCGUGCCUCUUACUUUUGUGCAUGUUUACUUGAUUGUGAUUCACGUUUGUUAAUCUAUUUUGGUCUCUUGCAGGAGUUAUAAAGUUUUCAAUCAAUCAAACAUUUAACUCAAGUCCUUAGCUCUUCACUGCUUGAAUGGGUCAGAUAGGACAAGCGCCGAAGAGGUGGUUUUAAUCAAACCCCUCCUAAUUAUGAUGUAUGGUCCGAAUCUCGGACUUUUUGUACAAUAUCAGGCGAUUUUUUUUAGUUGAAUUGGCUAGUGUACACAAAUGUCGAUCAUUGAUUUUUCUCUAGUAUUGUUUGUCAUUACAAGAAACGAAGUAAUGAAAUUUAUCACUGCGUUCAUAGUUACGCUUAAGCUCAAAGAUUACCGUCAAGAUCAUCAACCUGUUGAUGAUCUGAAGCUUCCAUAGAAAAAGGAACCGGACAAAACCCAAGAGAGAGAACAAAAAUAAAUUAAUUAAAAAAAAAGAAGAAAAAUUGCCAAAGCUACUGGUCAGUUGAUAUCAAUCUUUUGCACGUGGGAUGGAAAUGGAACAGUGGGCACUUUGGAUGACUCAUAACUCACUAGAGAGAAACGAAUUUAGGCCGAAUCAUAUAAAGUACGCUAAGCCUUAGUGCGCGCGCUGUUGCGCUGCUGUGUCUGCCGGUGAGAAUAAUUUUUCGUUUUUAAGGUAAUUUUUAUUUAUUUAUUUAUUUUUUUGGUGCAUAUGGUCGAACACUUGGUGGGCACCUCAAUUUUUGGAAUGUUCUCUUCAAUGAAUACAGGGAAAAAGGGACAAAAAUUAAGAACUUUAUUUUGUUCGCGUGGAAUCGAUAUCUGGAUUGGGAUUGUAUGUCGUGUUUAAUUUGAAUUGGUUGAUUCCUCUAAUGAAUUAUUUUGAUAAAUUUAGUAGCAGUAUUUGGCGGCAAAAGUAUCAUUAAUUUUUGGAAAUAUGAUUAUGUUAUUAAUUAUUUUAGCAUUCUAAAAAGUCAAUGGUUAUGUUGGAAAUACUCUAAGGUAGAAUAGAGUACAAAUCACAGUCACACAUACAAAAUGAUAAAUAAUAAAAAAUAUAUUAUAUUUUUGAUCAUAUGAUUAUGAAGACGUAUUUUACCUUAAAGAAGUUCUAAUAAGCGAAUUCUUCAAAAAAAAUAUAAAAUUUCUUUUUUAUCAUACUCAACCGCUUCAAACUUCUAAGAAGUAGAUAUACAAUUAGUGGAAUACUGAAUUGAGUGCGAGCUGCGGAUAAUAUAUAAAAUUGGGAUACAAGCUUCAAGGAAAGUGUAUUGCUAUUCAAAUGUAGAUUUCAAAUUAAGAAGAUAUGCCAGCAAAUUGUAUAAAAAUGUAUAAAUUGAUCAGUAACAUUAAUUCCAAAUGAUGAAAUGAGUUAUCUUGAUCAAAAGGUCAAGAACCUACCUUACUUCUCUUAGAGAUAACUUGCAUCAACCGUUGUGGUAUUGAUACUUGUCUUCAGCUAGUAAAAGACUAAAAGUGAAAGUUUCACAAUUGAAAUAAAGCUAAGGGAAGAUGCUAUGCUCCAUUUAUUAUUAUUAUUAUUGAUGUGGUCGAGAAGUAAAGCCAUGCAUAUGAUGAAGUAUAAAUAAGAAUGCAAUAGCCCGGAAUUCAUUUACACAAACACUUCAAUAUCCUUUUGAUCACUUUUGCAAACAUCAGUUUGUCUCCUCUUGUAUUCACCAUGGUUGAUGCCAUCGUUUCCUCUCUUGUGGAGCAGCUGACUUCCUUCGCUGCUAAAGAGAUAAUACAACAGGUGAUCGAAGUUACACCCCCCAUAUUAUAAAUACUUCUAAUGAUUUUAAUUGGUUUUGUUUUUAUCGGAAACAUUAACUUUGCUUUAUUUUAUUUAUUUAGGCAUUUUAAAUUUUAAAAUUUGAAUUGAAUUCAAUUAAAAUGUGAUGUAGCUAGUAACCACUUUUUUUAUUUCAUUUAUAUUCUCAAUAACUACCCAUAUUUUGGUAACUUACUGUAACCCCCGUAUCUAAGAAAUGAUCAAAACCCACAAUUUUAACUCCACAUAAAUAUUCCAUGUUGAGCUAAGUUUUUGCAUAACAUUCAAGUUUGUUAAAUAGUCAUUAAUUUAAUGUUUAGUAAAAACUUAUCUCUGAAAAUUUUCAUAAUUUUCUUACAUUCUUUGAGUUUGGUGAGUGGCUUCAUAUAAUUUCUUUUCAAUUUAAAUUUUAAUUUGGUUUCUGAUAUAGUCUCUUUACUGAAUUUUAUAUCUUUUAUGAUUCUUGGAUUUUGGGCUCCAACUUUUUAGGAUUUGAUAGUCACAUUUUAUGGCAUGCUUAGAUUGAUUUUCAUGAUUUUUAGUACUCGUUAAGUGACUGAGAAUUUGACAAAAGUUUGAAAGGAAAUCCGUUUCACGAUUCUUAUGUGGAAGGUUCGUAAAAUCAUGAAAUUUGGAUAGGAUUCACUAGCAAUAUGUACAAGACUCUCCAUGAAGUUUCAUAAUUUUUCAUUCGGUCUGGGGUGGUACAGGUGAAGCUUGUGGUUGGUGUUGAAAAAGAAGUGAAAAGCCUUACCAGCCACCUUCAAGCCAUUCAAGCUGUGCUCGAUGAUGCAGAGGAAAAGCAAGUGAAGGACAAAGCUGUUAGACAUUGGCUGGGUAGGCUCAAGUAUGCAUCCUACGACAUUGAAGAUGUGUUGGAUGAGUGGAUCACAGAUAGACACAAAUUGCAAAUUGAGGGUGGCGUUGAUGACAAUGCUCUUGCUGCUCCUCAAAAGAAAAAGAAGGUAUGUUUCUGCUUUCCUGCCUCUUGUUUUGGAUUCAAACAAGAAGAAUUUGGUUUCAGACAAGUCUUUCUACGUUAUGACAUUGCCAACAAGAUCAAAGAAAUGAAUGAAGAGCUACAUGAUAUUGCCACUCAAAAAGACAUGUUUAAUCUUGUUAAGAGUGGCAAUAAAAGUGGUGAAAGACCAAGGCGUGUACAGAGUACCUCCUUGAUUGAUGAGGAAGAGAUUUGUGGUAGAGUUGGUGAGAAGAAUGAACUCAUAAGCAAGCUGUUGCGUGAGAGUAGCGAGCAACAAAAAGGCCUCCAUAUGAUCUCAAUUGUUGGUAUGGGAGGCAUAGGGAAAACUACUCUUGCACAACUAGCUUGUAAUGAUGACGUGGUGAAGAGAAAGUUCGACAAAAUUCUGUGGGUGUGUGUAUCAGAAACUUUUGAGGAGUUUAGGGUUGCCAAAGCAAUCGUUGAAGCUUUGGAUGGUCGUGAAUCUCAUUUAGGUGAAUUCCAAUCUCUUCUUAAACAUAUUGAUGAAUCCAUUGCAGGGAAGAGCUUUCUUCUUGUCUUAGAUGACGUGUGGGAUGGAAAUUACUUGAAAUGGGAACCAUUCUAUCGUUGUCUAAAGAAUGGUCUCCAUGGAAGUAAAAUUUUAGUUACCACACGUAGUGGGUCCGUUGCAUCCAUGAUGGGAUCCAUAGAUAUUAUUCCCAUUGAGAAAUUAGCUGAAGAGGAAUGUUGGUUGUUGUUUAACAAGAUAGCAUUUUUUGGUAGGCCUAUCGAGGAACGUGAAAAAUUCGAACGAAUUGGGCGAAGAAUUGCAGGCAAGUGCAAAGGUUUACCUCUUGCAGCAAAGACAAUAGGUAGUCUCAUGCGUUCUAAACAAACUGAAGAAGAGUGGAAAAGAAUUUUAAAUAGUGAUUUAUGGAAAGUAGAAGAGAUUGAGAAAGAUGUUUUGUCCUCUUUAUUGUUGAGUUACAAUGAUUUGCCAUCUAGAGUAAAAAGAUGUUUUUCAUAUUGUGCUGUCUUUCCAAAAGACUACGAUAUAGAAAAAGACAAACUAAUUACAUUGUGGAUGGCUCAAAGUUUUCUUACUGUAGAAGAAGAUGAGGAGAUGGAGACUAUAGGUGAAGAGUAUUUUAGCAUCUUAGCUUCUCGCUCUUUCUUUCAAGAGUUUAAGAAAAGUUAUGAUAAUCGGAUUAUAGAGUGUAAGAUGCAUGAUAUGGUACAUGAUUUUGCCCGAUUUGUAAGUCAAAAUGAAUGUUUUUCGAUGGCAAUUAAUGGUAGUGAAGAACCAAACGCCACAAACUCUCUUGAUGAGAAGGUCCGUCAUUUAAUGUUAAUCUUUAGUAUAGAGGCUUCAUUACCUGUUUCCACUCCUAGAGUUAAAAGAAUGCGUACCCUCUUAAUUAACGAUAGUGGAUCAUUAAAUGGCGAGAUCCUAGAAGAAUUAUUUAGGGAAUUGACAAGUUUAAGGGCAUUAGAUUUUGGCGGAUCGUUCCACUCAACGCCGUUGUUGACUGCGGAGGUUCCAAGAAACAUAGAAAAGCUGGUACAUUUGAGAUACCUUAAUUUGUCUUUUCAGAAAAUAGUGAAACUACCGGAGACAUUGUGCGAGUUGUAUAAUCUAGAAAAGUUCGAUAUUAGUUGUUGUUUGUAUCUUAGAGAAUUACCUGAAGGGAUUGGGAAGUUAAUAAACAUGAAGCAUUUACGAAAUAGAAGUACUAGUUCUUUAAGGUACAUGCCAGUAGGGAUUGGGAGAUUAACGGGUCUUAGGACCUUGGAUGAGUUCCACGUGAGUGCAGGAGGAGGUGUUGAUGGUAGGAAAGCAUGUAGGCUUGAAUCUCUUAAAAAAUUGGAACACCUUCAAGUAUGUGGUAUAUGUAGACUGGGUGAUGUAUCAGAUGUGGGCGAGGCUAAGCGAUUAGAACUUGACAAAAAGAAAUACCUCUUCAGUUUGACCCUUGAGUUUGAUAAGAAGGAGGAAGAAGACGGAGAAAGGAGGAAGAACGAGGACGAUCAACUUCUUCUUGAAGCCCUGCGAUCACCUCUGGAUUUAAAGGAAUUAGAGAUAGGGUUAUACCGAGGCAACACUGUUUUCCCCAGCUGGAUGACGUCAUUAACCAACUUAAAGAGUUUAAAACUCUCUUUCUGCGAAAAUUGCGAGCAGCUGCCUCCUUUGGGAAAAUUGCCGUCCCUUGAACAGCUCUUCAUAUCGUACAUGUCGAGUGUGAAAAGAGUGGGUGAUGAAUUUUUGGGGGUAGAAAGUGAUCGUCAUGACUCAUCGUCAUCUUCAUCAGUUAUUAUUGCCUUCCCCAAAUUGAAAUCACUUAGUAUUGACGGAUUGAUGGAAUUGGAGGAGUGGGAUUAUGGGAUUACAAGAACGGGAAACACCUUCAUCAACAUCAUGCCACGUCUUUCUUCAUUGGCAAUUAAUUACUGCCCCAAAAUUAAGGCACUGCCCGACCACUUUCAUCAAACGACAACAUUGAAGGAAUUGCGCAUUUGGGGGUGUGACCUUCUGGAAGAACGUUAUUGCAAGGGGGAAGGAGAAGACUGGCCUAAGAUAUCACACAUUCCCAACCUCCAUAUUGGGCUUUGACAAGUAAUUUCUUCUCUUACUCUGAUUU